rnacentral:lncRNA from 1 species
CCUUAAUAUCAGAUGAGAAAUGACGGAGAAUAUCUUAGAGCUGUGUUCCUCAUUGCAGAACUUUCCAAGUUAUCCUGCUUAUGACAGGGCUCUCACCAUUUUCAUAAGAAAAAGACGCAAAUAAACCGACUUUAAACUAAAAAAGUGUUGAGGCUUCCGCAAUUUAACAUUUCCAGAACUUUUCCAUUUUCAGUUCCACAUAAGUCUGCACAAGAAUCCCAUCCAUCAAUUCACAAAGGGAAUCCCAGAAGGAACCUGCUGGGCAUAAGCAUCAUAAUGUGACCCAAAGAACUCCCUCAAGAAGUACUCUUCGUAUGGUAUUCUUUGUGAGAAAAAACGCCAAACAAUGAGAGAAAAUGCAACUGUGGAUAUUGGAUUGCACAGCAUUAUUUGAGUGCCAACUGACCAUAUGAGGAAACCUGAAUAUCCAGGGUGACGGACAUAUCCGUAGACUCCAUGCCUCACCAAUUCAUGGUGCUCCUCAUGACGAACUUUGAUAAGAUGAGUGAAUGCCCUACCCGCAGUUAUUAUUGCCAGUUUCCUAAUAACUUCCCCAACGACAACCAUGGCUAGACCAAAGUUACUUAUCCACCAAUGUUCCUUUAAACCAGGGAAAAUAUAAACUUCAACCAAGUACUCUAGCAAUGAAAAUAUCAUCGCCACGAGAUAAUUUUUGCUGAUCAGCAAAGACUUGAGAGUAACAUUCGACUUCCCGUGGAAAAUAAUUGCUAGAAUGUAUUCCGAAACAUGAAAGAAAGCUAUAGAAAAUAGCAUUUCUGAAACCUGUCUACAGGCUGUAUAACUAAAGACUUGUGUCAUUUUGUGAACUAUAUAUAUAUAAGCCCCUCUCCGCAAACCAAGCCCGAACCACGCCUAGUAUUUCCUUCAGCAAAGAGUCAAACUAACUGCUGCCUUCUAAUCCAGACCUGAAAAUUUUGCAUUGGUAAGAUUGGAUUAGCUUGCCUAAUCCCUAAUUCAAUACUCCCUCCGUCCUGGUAUACAAGUCAGAUCGACUUUUUGCAUAUAUUUCAGAAUGCAUACAAAAGAUAUCUCUGCUUGAUAUUUGAAUUUCUAUAUAAGUUACUUUUCUAUAUAAGUUACUUGCAGAAAGUAAUGGGACAGGACGGAGGGAGUAUAGUUUAUCUAUAAUCUCGAUAAAGUAAAAAAGAAAUUAUUGAGAGCUAACUAUAUAUAGCAAGUAAACAGGAGGUAUCUAGCAAAUUAGCAACCAAGCAAGAGGUGCUUAAUAAUAGUUGAGCAGCAAUGUACGAACUACAAUUAGGUGGAAAAUACAUGAGGAUGAAACUAGGGUUCACAUAUUACAAAUUACAAUAGAGCAUGCUAAAGAGUAAACCAAAUAAGUAACUUACAGAGAAAGAGUGAUUAAAUCGAAAAUUGCCUUGGAUUGAUUUGGAUAGUCUGACACUCCGGCUUGUAGUAUCCAGUGCUAUCAGAGUCUCGGCGUUGAUCGGCAGCGGAGAGGAGAGAAACCGUUCAAUUUUAUUGUAUUUGGGUUGGGCUAGAUUCUCAUGGACUUGUAACAAUAUAGGACUAUUGGGUAUGGAGUAAUUUGCUAUAGACCUCUGACCCACACAACCCAAAUCUAAACAAGUAGAAAUGGAUUGGAGCAAAACACUAUAACCCCGUUACCUUUUCCCCUUUUUUCUUUGAAAAUAUAACCCCGUUACUUUCAGUUAAAAAUAAAAUAAUGUUUGUCAAAAAAAAAAUAAUGUUACUCUCGAAAAAAACUUAAUAAUUAAUUUAAAUCUAGUUCUUACAAAAAAUGACUCUUAUUGAUUUUGAUUUUAAAUCAGUUUAUGAAGAUAUCUAUACUAUACUAUUAAAGCCGAAACAUUAAAAGUUUGGUCGGUCGGUCGGUACUUGGGCCAAAAUACGGGCCUAUCUAUAUAACCAAUUAUUCUGGGCUUAAGUACGGGCAUAUCUAUAUAACCAAUUAAUAAUAAUCCUUUUAAAACUGAAACAUUAAAAAUUUGGUAGGUCAGUACUUGGGUCAAAAUACGGGCCUAUCUAUAUAACCAAUUAUUCUGGGUCUAUCUAUAUAACCAAUUAUUCUUUUUAAUUUGGGCCAUAUUACGGGCCUAUCUAUAUAACCAGAUAAUCCUUUUAAUUGAAAUAUAUUACUUUUUUAUAUUUUUGACUAAAAAACUCAAUCUUCUAAAAUAACAUUGAGAAACAUGGUAAUUACUUUUUUAACUAAAAUAUAUUAUCUUUUUAUAAAUUUUCCAACUAAAAAAUUAAUCUUUUACAAUUAAUACGGACAUGGGCGACAUAUUUAUACGUAAAGAUGUGUGCCAAAAGUAUAAAAGUCAAAUAAUAAAAAAUAGAGGGAGUAUUAUUAUAUUGGUCGGGCGGUCGGUACUUGGGCCGAAGUACGGGCCUAUCUAUAUAUAUAACCAAUUAUUCUUUUUAACUAAAAUAAAUUAUCAUUUAUAUAUUUAUUAGAUAAAAAACCUAAAUCUUCUAAAAUAAUAUCGAGCAACAUAGUAAUUGUCUUUAUAAUCAAAACGUUUUAUCUUUUUUAGAUUUUCUAACUAAAAAAACCGAGUUUUUACAAUUAACACGGGCGCCAUAUAUAUAAAAAUAUAAUAUCAUUAAAUAUAAUUAUUAAUAAAUAACAUGUGAUAUUAUUCAACCAAAAUACAUUAAUAACAUUAUUUUUAAAUACUCUAAUGAUCUCAUAUUAAAAGAAAUAUUACAAAUCUAUCAUAUACUAUAUAUUAUUACACUAUUAAAGCCGAAAAUAAAAAUUCACUUGGUUGGUCAGUUAGUUGAGUUUGGUGAAUCCUUUGGUAUUCGACCCACGGAGCUCUUAAAUUUAUAACAUGUUAUAGUAUAUUUUUUAUUAUCAAUUAAACCAAAACAUCAAAUUUAGGUUAGUAUGAUGGGGAGGUAUUUGGUUCAUGCGUAUGUUUUAUACCAUAUUAUUAAUUAUUAUUAACUAAAUAUCAAAGGUUGAUUGGUUAGUUUAUAUCUGAGUUUAUAGGCCACCUUAAAUUAUAACAUGUAAAAGAAAAUAUUUUAACAUUCUCAUUAAAAUAUAUAUGUUCGACCUAAUUUUUCAAUUAGUCCAUNNNNNNNNNNNNNNNNNNNNNNNNNNNNNNNNNNNNNNNNNNNNNNNNNNNNNNNNNNNNNNNNNNNNNNNNNNNNNNNNNNNNNNNNNNNNNNNNNNNNNNNNNNNNNNNNNNNNNNNNNNNNNNNNNNNNNNNNNNNNNNNNNNNNNNNNNNNNNNNNNNNNNNNNNNNNNNNNNNNNNNNNNNNNNNNNNNNNNNNNNNNNNNNNNNNNNNNNNNNNNNNNNNNNNNNNNNNNNNNNNNNNNNNNNNNNNNNNNNNNNNNNNNNNNNNNNNNNNNNNNNNNNNNNNNNNNNNNNNNNNNNNNNNNNNNNNNNNNNNNNNNNNNNNNNNNNNNNNNNNNNNNNNNNNNNNNNNNNNNNNNNNNNNNNNNNNNNNNNNNNNNNNNNNNNNNNNNNNNNNNNNNNNNNNNNNNNNNNNNNNNNNNNNNNNNNNNNNNNNNNNNNNNNNNNNNNNNNNNNNNNNNNNNNNNNNNNNNNNNNNNNNNNNNNNNNNNNNNNNNNNNNNNNNNNNNNNNNNNNNNNNNNNNNNNNNNNNNNNNNNNNNNNNNNNNNNNNNNNNNNNNNNNNNNNNNNNNNNNNNNNNNNNNNNNNNNNNNNNNNNNNNNNNNNNNNNNNNNNNNNNNNNNNNNNNNNNNNNNNNNNNNNNNNNNNNNNNNNNNNNNNNNNNNNNNNNNNNNNNNNNNNNNNNNNNNNNNNNNNNNNNNNNNNNNNNNNNNNNNNNNNNNNNNNNNNNNNNNNNNNNNNNNNNNNNNNNNNNNNNNNNNNNNNNNNNNNNNNNNNNNNNNNNNNNNNNNNNNNNNNNNNNNNNNNNNNNNNNNNNNNNNNNNNNNNNNNNNNNNNNNNNNNNNNNNNNNNNNNNNNNNNNNNNNNNNNNNNNNNNNNNNNNNNNNNNNNNNNNNNNNNNNNNNNNNNNNNNNNNNNNNNNNNNNNNNNNNNNNNNNNNNNNNNNNNNNNNNNNNNNNNNNNNNNNNNNNNNNNNNNNNNNNNNNNNNNNNNNNNNNNNNNNNNNNNNNNNNNNNNNNNNNNNNNNNNNNNNNNNNNNNNNNNNNNNNNNNNNNNNNNNNNNNNNNNNNNNNNNNNNNNNNNNNNNNNNNNNNNNNNNNNNNNNNNNNNNNNNNNNNNNNNNNNNNNNNNNNNNNNNNNNNNNNNNNNNNNNNNNNNNNNNNNNNNNNNNNNNNNNNNNNNNNNNNNNNNNNNNNNNNNNNNNNNNNNNNNNNNNNNNNNNNNNNNNNNNNNNNNNNNNNNNNNNNNNNNNNNNNNNNNNNNNNNNNNNNNNNNNNNNNNNNNNNNNNNNNNNNNNNNNNNNNNNNNNNNNNNNNNNNNNNNNNNNNGGUUAUUUUUUUAUAAUAUUUGUUUUGUUCAUCGGACAUGUUUGUUGUUGUUAAUUUUUUAUAUUAUUUACUUUGUAUACAUGAAAAAAUUAUUCAUGCAUUAUCUGUUUGCUCCGUUCAAGCAACUUUUAGCUGAAGACUGUUCAGUAUUAAAAAUUGGAGGAAGAUGACAAUGUAAGAACAUGAUUACUUUUCAAAUUAAAAAAAUAAAGUUUGUUGCAAGUAAAGAUAGUUAUAGACCGCUAUAUUGGAGUCGACAAAUCCAAACACGGGAAAAAAAUAUAGUCUUGACAUGUAUCGAUGGUUGAUAUCAAUAAAUUAACUAUUAGUGAUGUAUGUUUGUUGGUUAUUGUUUUAUAAUAUUUGUUUUGUUCAUCGGACAUGUUUGUUGUUGUUAAUUUUUAUAUAAUUUACUUUGUAUACAGGAAAAUAUUAUUCAUGCAUUGUUUGCUCCGUUCAAGCAACUUUUAAGUAAAGGUUGUUUAUACAGUAUUAACAAAUUAAGGUGCUUACAAGCAAGGGUUGUUAUAGACCGUUAUGCGCUAUCUCAUAUAUUUAAGUUAGAUGUUUUUGUGCACAAUCAAUCCAUAAAAAUUGGAGAAAGGUGACAAUGUAAGAACAUGAUUACUUUUCAAAAAAAAAAGCAAAUAAAAUUAAGAUCCGUCAUGCUUUAAAUUGUUAAUUACGUGUAUAAAUUUAUUUUCAUUUUUUCACCAUGAAUUAUAGUCCAAUUUUACAAUUUUAUAUAUCAUUAUUGGUAUUACAUCAAGAUUUUUAUAAUAUAAAUCUAUUUUAUGCUACAAAUAUUAAUUUUGAAACAUUAAUAUACUUUUUAUAGACAGCCACCAAAUUAUUUUAUUCUACAAAUAUUAAUAUUGAAUCAUUAAUAUAAUUUUUAUAGGCCGCCGCAACGCGCGGUUUCUCAACUAGUUGUCAAAGUUACAAGAUAUUUAAAUUNNNNNNNNNNNNNNNNNNNNNNNNNNNNNNNNNNNNNNNNNNNNNNNNNNNNNNNNNNNNNNNNNNNNNNNNNNNNNNNNNNNNNNNNNNNNNNNNNNNNNNNNNNNNNNNNNNNNNNNNNNNNNNNNNNNNNNNNNNNNNNNNNNNNNNNNNNNNNNNNNNNNNNNNNNNNNNNNNNNNNNNNNNNNNNNNNNNNNNNNNNNNNNNNNNNNNNNNNNNNNNNNNNNNNNNNNNNNNNNNNNNNNNNNNNNNNNNNNNNNNNNNNNNNNNNNNNNNNNNNNNNNNNNNNNNNUUUUUUGGAAUUUUUGGAUGAAAAAUAUCAAAAAUUAGAACCACCUUUUUAGUUUUGGGUGUAUUAGAAGCAAGUUUCAGAAUCUGAUUUUGUUUCAGAUUAUUUAUGGAAUAUAGUAGUUUGAAAAUUUUAAUCUGAUUUUGUUUCAGAUUAUUUAUGGAGUAUAGUAGUUUGAAAGUUUUAAUCUGAUUUUGUUUUAAAUUAUUUAAUUAUGGAAAAGAGUAGCACACAAGUCUCUCUGCACCUAUAAAUACCCCUAUAUAUUGUAGGGUUUUGGAUCAUCUAAACAAAACCUCCUCUCUCUCAAUACCACAACUCUACCUCUCUCUGGUGAUAGUUUUCUUGCUUGAUUUCUAACUCGGUGGUGCCGUUCUUCUGCAACAAUAAGUGAAGGCUGUUUAUAUAGUAUUAAAAAAAUAAAGAUUGUUGCAAGCAAAGGUAGUUAUAGAUCGCUAUGUAGGAGCCGACAAAUUCAAACAAGGGAAAAGAAUAUAGUCUUGACAUGAUAUUGAUGGAUGAUAUUAAUAAAUUAACUAUUAGUGAUGUAUGUUUGUUGGUUAUUCUUCCUAAAUAUCAUUAAAUUUUUUAACUUAGAAUUCUGAUUGAAUACUUCAAGAUUUUAUUAUAUUUUAAAAAAAAAACUAAAUUUAAUACAACCGAAUUUCAAAUAUAUUUUCCUGAACAAAUUUAAUUAACUAGCCCCUCUUACUAUUUUUUUUGACUACACCCUCAUAAACAUUCUUAUUAGAAAAUACAACCCCAUCUAUUUUAUUAGAAACUUAAUUAACAUGUUAGGGAAAAACUUACUUAAUAUAUGCAAUAAAAUAUAUAUCAAUUUAAAUAUGUUUAUUAAUUAUAUAUAAUCUAUUCUAGUUGAAAUAUAUAUUAUUUAUAUUUUCAAUAUAAAUAUAAGUAUUUAAAACCAAUUCAUUAUCUAAAGAAAAAAAAUCAUUUUUUUUAAGUUUGUCCAAAAAAAACUUCCAUGCGCUACUUGCUAAGCGUAUCACUAUUGAGCUUUGCAACAAAACUCUAUAACUUAAAAUCAAUAUACUUAUAUAAAGGAGAAGCGGGGGGCGUGUAGGUAAAGUCUCUCUGCACCUAUAAAUACCCCCGUAGAUAGUAAGGUUUUGGAUCAUCUAAACACAACCUCCUCUUUCUCAAUACUACAAACUCACGGAUUUAAGUUAGAUGUUUUUGUGCACAAUCAAUCCAAAAAAAUUGGCGGAAGGUGACAAUGUAAGAACAUAAUUUUUUUCAAAAAAAAACACAAAUAAAAUUAAAAUUCGACGUGUUUUAAAUUGUUAAUUGCCUGUAUAACUUUAUUUUCAUUUUUUCACCAUGAAUUAUAGUCCAAUUUUACAAUUUUAUAUAUUGGUAUUGGUAUUACAUCAAGAUUUUUAUAAUAUAAAAUUUAUUUUAUCCUACAAAUAUUAAUUUUGAAACGUUAAUUAGUUUUUAUAGACAACUACAAAAUUAUUUUAUUCUAUAAAUAUCAAUAUUGAAUCAUUAAUAUAAUUUUUAUAGGCUGCCGCAACGCGCGGCUUCUCAACUAGUUUCAGAUAUGAAAAAAUAAUGAUCCAAUGAUCUUCUAGUGUCUCAUCAAAAAUUCUGUAUUUUUAUAGUGUGUCGAUGGACACAUGCUAAGCAACAAACUUCAUAUAUUUAAUUCAUUUUGAUUGGGUACUACUUAUUUAUAAUGGUGACCCCCAACAUAUACAAAAACAUUACAAUCAAAACAAGCUAAAUAUAUCAAAUUCAGAGCUUAGCAUGUGCUCAGGGGCAUACACUAACCAAACUCUUAAAAAUUUAGGAAAAGAGUAUCUAGUUGUUCAUAACUUAUUAUUAUUAAAUAUAAUUUUUUUUCUCUUCGAUUCUAUUUAAUUUUCUCUCUAAUUUUUUAAGAUAAUAAUAAUAAAUAUAUAUUGAAUAAAUAUAAAAAAUAGGAUUGAAAUUCUAUUAUAUGUGUUUUUCGAAAAUUUGCUUGGUGCCCCUCUAAGAAAAUAUUCCUAGAUCCAUCCCCGACUGAAUGCAUGUAAGGUAAAUACGUUAAUAUAUAGUCCCUCUGUCCCACCGAAUUGUUUAUGUAUGGUUUGGGCACAGAAGUUAAGAAAAUACUAUGUAUAAGUAGCGGAAAAAAUAAAGAAAAAAGUAAGUGAAAUGAUGGUACCCAUUAAUUUUUAAUAUAUAAAAAGGGAUAAUGGACUAAGAGUGUUGUGAAAAAGGAAGAAAAUGGGAAAAUGAUAAGAUCCUUAAUUGUUUUUAAUAAAUUUUGAAAUAUAAAAAGUUGAAUGGGACCAUCCAAAAUAAAAAUAUAAAGAAAUGAUUAUCACAGCCUCACAGAGUACUCCCUCUGUCCCAUUUAAUUGUAUACGUUUCUUUUCAACUGCAAAAAAUAUAGUCUUGACAUGAUAUUGAUGGAUGAUAUUAAUAAAAUAUUAAAUAUAAUUUUUUUUCUCUUCGAUUCUAUUUAAUUUUCUCUCUAAUUUUUUAAGAUAAUAAUAAUAAAUAUAUAUUGAAUAAAUAUAAAAAAUAGGAUUGAAAUUCUAUUAUAUGUGUUUUUCGAAAAUUUGCUUGGUGCCCCUCUAAGAAAAUAUUCCUAGAUCCAUCCCCGACUGAAUGCAUGUAAGGUAAAUACGUUAAUAUAUAGUCCCUCUGUCCCACCGAAUUGUUUAUGUAUGGUUUGGGCACAGAAGUUAAGAAAAUACUAUGUAUAAGUAGCGGAAAAAAUAAAGAAAAAAGUAAGUGAAAUGAUGGUACCCAUUAAUUUUUAAUAUAUAAAAAGGGAUAAUGGACUAAGAGUGUUGUGAAAAAGGAAGAAAAUGGGAAAAUGAUAAGAUCCUUAAUUGUUUUUAAUAAAUUUUGAAAUAUAAAAAGUUGAAUGGGACCAUCCAAAAUAAAAAUAUAAAGAAAUGAUUAUCACAGCCUCACAGAGUACUCCCUCUGUCCCAUUUAAUUGUAUACGUUUCUUUUCAACUGCUCGACACGCAUUUCAAUACUCUUAUAAAAUAUAGUUCCGUAACUUAUUUUUGAGAUAUUCUUUUUCUGAGUAAAAAUUUAACAUCCAAAUUUUAUUCAGGAAAAAAAAUCUUAAAAAUAAAUUAUACAACCACAUUUUACAGGAGGAUUAAAGUCCGUGUCGCGUCCCCGUACGGAGGGAGUAAUAGUUAUCGACCUAAAAUAAGUCAGAAUAUUACGUACCCGCCGAUGACCAAAUUCGAGCCAACAAUGAGCUCUGAGACAUUGAUCAUCCUUGAACGCAAGGUAUAGCUGCACAUGCCGUAUCUCAUCCUUAUCUUUUGACUCUUGAACUUUUGUUGACCGAUCUAUCUUUCCUCGACAUUUCAAAGCAAGUACAAGGAUCUGAAAAAGCAAAGAGCGGAACAUAUCUUUCCACUGUAGUUAAACAUUUGUCAGAUUGAUAAUCUAUCAGAAUUAAAUAUAAAUUAUUAUUAAUUAACGAAUUUUAGUUACUCCCUCCGUCCCUUUGAAUUAUAUACAUUUUCCUUUUCGGGAUGUCCCAUUUAAUUCUAUACAUUUCAAAACUUCAUCAAAAUAGUAAACUUUUAUAAUAUAAAAAUCUCACUCACCCACUAACUUCAUAUACUUUUCCCAAUCUAUCACUUAAAUAUUAAUGGGUCCCAUCACUUUACCUACUUUUCUUUCCCUUUCUCGUUAGUGUCCGUGCCCAGUACAAAUGUAUAUAUCUCAAUGGGACGGAGGGAGUAUUGUUUUAUCAAACUUCUACAACAUGCUUUCUUUUGAUAAAAUAGGAGCAUAAGUCAUUUAUAAUAACUAUACAUGCUUUAAUUUAUAUAUAUUUCUGUGCAUUAAAAAUUAUUCGGUUAAUGAAUUUAGUUGAUAGGAAUCGAAAUCUCAAUUUACAUAUUAGUAUUUGUUUUUGUGAUUUUAUUAUAUGUUUUGUGAUUUUAUUAUAUGAAAAGAAAAUCUCAUUUCUACUCAAUAAUAAAUUGUUCAUUCCUUAUCUCUAAAAUACCUAUUCUCAUUUCAUUUUUGUAUCUGAUUAUCUUUCUCACAUUCCUUUCGAAUGCAUCCUAAUUUUGCAAAAUAUAUAUCAAUGUAAUUAAACUAUUUGAAAUAAGUAUUACGUACACAUGUGUUUAAGUUAAUGUAACAGUCUUACAAAAAAAAAUUGAUAGAAUUAUAUGUUUUUAGAACUAAAUAUUUCGAACAAAUAAUGUUCUAAAUUAGGUCAGCAUAUAAAUGGCUCGAAUUCCAGCCCACUGAAUUUCUUAAUAUAGCUGCUAAAAUUAAAGUUAUAUUCGACACGUGUUGCAUGAAAUAGUUACCGGCAGCCAGCGGAAUUCAACAUCUAUGACGACUUGCCUUGUUUAAACAUAUUUUAUUCACUCAUCCUUAUCAUCGUGAUCACCGUCACAAAUUAUAUAUGUGCGUAUAAAUUACAUAUACGUAACAUGUUUGCCGAUAAUUCUGAAUCUCAUCAAAUGUGCAUUAUUCAUACACAUGCAAUUCUCUUAAUUAAAUAUGUUUACGUAAUUGUACCAACUAUGGUACAGCUACUUGUCUAACUCCUCUCCUAACAAAAAGGCUGUGAAAUUAAAAGUGCUGCCUAUAUUCGAGUUUGCGAAUGUUUAUUCUUAACAUGUGAUAACUUUAUUUAUUAUUUUUGUUUCACAAAAGCACAGGAUACUCGUAUGAAACAACAGUAAAGUGGAGUAUUUCAAAAAUAUAGGUCGGGGCAAUAAAAGAAUUAAUUGAAUUAAUCAAACAUAUUGAUUAAAAAACAAGACUCAAUGUUAAUUUAAUCUAAUAAAUAAUAUAUAACCAUUAAAUGUUAUCUAUGUAAUUAUAAAUUUUCCAAAUUUUAUUAAAAUUUGAUAUUUAAUCAAUUAAUACCAAGAUCUUUUAGAGAAUUAUUCAAUUAACCCGUGUAUCAUCAAAUAAUUAACCAAUUUUUUAAAAAUAACUCUUUAACAUAAUUUUCAUUUAAUUGAAGCAAGCAUUCCUCCCUCUUUCAAUUACCGAGGAUCACCCUUUGAAAACAUAAAUAGAGGAUCAUCUUUUCUGAAAACAUAAAUAGACAAGAGAGAAGUAUUUAUUAUUGGUCCAAUUCAUUUUUAUACAAUUGAGUGAUUUGUCUGAACAUUUCACUCAAUUGUAUAUAUUUCAAAAAUUAAAAUAUUUUAUAAUAUAAAAAUUUAAUUACACUCUGAUUUCACUUAUAAUUUUUGUUGCGAUGGGGAAUACAACUUAGCACAAGACUAUGUAGCAUAUGGAUAAUUAGUUAUAAAAAAACAUAGCACAUGGACAAAAAUGAGUUGGAAUCUCGUCCUGUCUCGGCGAUGAAUUCAAGGUCUUCCGAUGUCGUAGGAUUUUGUACCAUAAUUGACAAAUUUUUAUCUUGUUUAAAUCAUUUGAUUAUAUUAUAGUCAAUUAAGUUGAAUAUUAGAUUAAUAAAUUGCUUCAGCCUUGAUAUAAAGAGAGAUUGGAAAAGUAGAUUUAAUUAUAGGAGCAGCAAGUUCAAUGAUCUGAACGUCGUUUUGUAAAUAUAAAUAAUUUUUAUAUAUCAUGAUGAUUUACGAUAUCAUUUUAUUAAUAAAGUCUAACGACCUGUUUGACAAUCAUAUUUUAAUAUUAAAAUGAUAACAUGUUUAAAUUAGCAUGGAAGGAAAAUAAAAUACGAGAGAUUAGAGAUAUGUUGAAAUGAAUGAAAAUGAAUUAAACAUGAUAGUAUUUUUAAAAUGAGACACAUAUUAGAUAUACCAGUUAUUAAGACAUGAAAAGUACAUCCUCAGUAAGAAAAAGAUAUGAACAGUACAUUACUACGCUGCUGAUAAUCUUUAAAAUUUAUGAUAUUGACACUUAUUAUGUGAUCAAAUUUGUCCCUAAGUGUUCCAUUAUUCUCAUCACGGGCCAGUGUCGAAUAUUUUAAAUACCAAUUAAGAUCUAGUUGAAAUAAAGUUAUCUAGCUACAACUAAUCUAAAAUCAUGCAGAACUAAGGGUGAACAAAAAACCGUUCGACCCGUAAAACCGACUCAACCCACCUCUUAUUUCGGCCGAAUAAAUCGAACCGUUCAAAAUCGAAAAAAUAAUUGGAUUCUUUUUUAUCAACCCGAAUAGAUUGGAUUAGGUCAGGAUUUUUAAAUUAUUAACCCCGAUCAACCCGAAUAGAAGUUUUUUGUUGCUUUACAUGACGACACAGAACUUGAUUCAGAAACUUAGAAUUUGAUAUUAGUGAAUAGUGUGUCUGGGUUUAGAAACUUGAAUUGUGUUUAGUGUCAAUGUUAAUUGUUAAACUAUAUAAAUGUGACAUGAGUUAUGUUUUCAGUAUUUAAGUAGUUUUUUGCUUAGUUUUCUUGAUUAUUAGAUCACUUACGUAGACCACGGAAGUGAGGAUUAUGUUUUUGCUAGACGUCUGCUGGUUUAAAUUUAUACUUUUCGUAUACUUAAUUAAUUAUUAGUUAAUUAUAAUAUUUAAAGUGCACUAUUGAAAAGUUGUACGUAUGUUCUUGAGUUCUAAUUUGACGGGAUAAAACCUGAUAAACCCGACCUUACCCUACCCGAUCGACCCGACGUAUGAAUAAUAGUAUUGGGUUCAAAAUAUUUUGCCGGGUUAACGGGUUCGAAUUUUUAUAAACCGAUCAUAUUGGAUUUGGUUGAAUUUUUGCCUCUAACCCGGCCAACCCGACCGUGUUCAACCCUUUGCAGAACUAUGCUCAUGAAAGUCAUCAUUAAUUAUAGGUGUUUAAUCGAUUAAUCAUAUCUUCACAUUUGAAAGCAGGGGUAUAUUUAUUUAAAUUUCUGUAAAUUUUUUAUUUGUAAAAUAUAAUUAAAAUUAUAUAAAAUAUAAUCAAAAAUCCAGCUUAUUUCAAAAUUUUAUUAUUGACUUAUAAUUUUAACUUAUUCAAAAAAAUCCAAUAAUAUCUUAACUAAAAUUCAAUAAGAUAUUCACAUGAGAACUAAAAUCAAUCACAGUCUAUUAAAAUUUAUAGAAACCUGAAUUAAAUACCUAUCUUAAUUACUUUAAUAUCUUCUCCUCGGUCGCUUGCACAAUCAGUUCCAUAAUCAAAACAAAUUAAAUCACAUACUUGUCGGAUUCGAUAGAUUCUUAAAAAUUAUUAAGAGAUUCUAGAUAAGUUUUUAUUUUUAAUAAAAAUAUAUUUUUUUAUAAUUAUUUUAGAUAUAAGUAUUAAAAAAUGUUUCAUAUUCAUUAUUUGACAAAAAAUAAAAAUUUAUUUUGAUAAUUUAAUUUUUUUUCUAAAAUAAAUUUUUAUUUAAAAAAACAAGAAUAACAAACAACCCAAAAAUAUAUAAUCUCUUGUAAAAUUAUACUCCCUUUGUCCCAACAGGUUCAUUAUGUUGCCUUUUGACGAAUAUUUUGAGACUUCCAUGGAACAUAAUUUCAUAAUAUUUUUAAAUUUUUUCUUUUGAAUAAAAAUUUGGUGUUUAAAUUUUUAUUUUAGAAAAUUGUUUUGAAACUAUACUUUAUAAAAGCUCAAAAUGCGUUAAGGUAAACAACCAACAAAGGGGUAUAAGUAACGGGGUGUGUUUGAUUGAGAUAUUAAUGCAUUCUUUUGUCUAAUGGAUAAUGGAUUGUAUUGGAUAAUGAAUUAUAUGUGAUUUUGAUUUUGUGCCGAUUCAUGAUAAAAAUGUCACGGAUAUAAAUUCUUUAGGAUUAAGCACAAUGCUUUAAAAUCUCAUGGAUUUUUGUGGGAUUUAAAAAACCCGAGAAAUCUCACAAAAUACCUCAUUUUAUGAAAUCAAAAAAAAUCAAUUCACAUUCGAAUAUCAUCAUAUUUUAAUGAAUUUUCAAACAUAAUUUAAAAUCUUGAUUAAAUACCACCAGAUUUUGUAGCACAAUUUAAAAUCUCAAUCGAACAUUUCAAGAUUUUAAUAGAUUUUAAACAAAUCUAAAUUGAAUAUUCUCAAAAAUUUCAUAAAUGAUACUCCCUCCGUCUCUUUAUUCUUUUCCUAUUUGGGAUGUCGGUACUGUUCCUAACAUGAGACAAAUUACUAAUUUACAUCUAAUCUAUAAAACUAAAUAUAGUCAUGAGUGAUCUUGUUAGAUUCGUAUUCACGAGUACUUUAAUACAGUGAAGUUUUUAUUUUUAAUGCUACUACGAAAUGAAAGAUAUUAAUGAUUAAAAAUGUGUGUUGGCAAACGUGAAAAGUACAAACAGGAAAAGUAUUUAGAGACGGAGGGAGUAACUUUUUUAAAAAUAAAAUAAAAUCUCAAUGGUAUACUGUCUCUAAAUUGUUCGGAAAAGAAAAGUUAGAGAGGGGUUAGGAUUUAGGAAAGAAAGAAGAGGUCCAACUAUCUGUCUCAAGUCCCUGUAAAUUAGAUUAGACCAACACCAAAGAUUAGAGAGGUUUAAGGUGAGUGUGUCAUACCCUCUCUCUCUCUCUUCAUUCUCUCUGACCGGCUAGUCCGGUUCCCAGUCACCCCCAACCCCCACACAUAUCUAUCCAUCUUUACACCAAAACUAUAAUAAUAAUUACAUCAUCUGCAUAGCAUUUCAAUUUAUUUCUCUCUCUGGGGUUUUAAGAAUUAACUCAACACAAACACAAACAAACUCUCUCAAUCUCUUCCCCUCAAUUCAAUCAACACACAAUCGAUACUUACACCUAUACGCACAAUCAUCAUCGCCAAUCGUCUCAGGUAAAAUCCGAUCGCAAUUGCAUCUGUUUAUUCCUCUCCUUGCUUCAGAUCGUGUUUUAGAUACAUGUGUAUGCAUGUUUGUGUGUGUGUUUGUGUUUGUGUAUGGACAUUCCGUGUUUUUGAGUUGAAUUGGUGUGGAUCGUGUGGGUGUGUGAUUUUAUUUUUUGGGAUUUUUGCUUGAUCGUGUUGAAUUGUUGAUUGUGAUGUUGAAUUGUGGUUUACAUGUUGUUUGAUUUGAGUGGUGUAGUGGGAUCUGUGUUAAAAUUUGGUUUUAAGCAAUGCGGAUUUGUCGUAAAGACAGAGAGAUGUGAUUUGGGCGGGGGAUUUGAUGGGAAAUGGGAAUUUGGGGAGACUGAUCGGGUUGUUUUUGCGGAAUUAUGGCUUAAGUGGAAGUUUGAGGAGAUGUGUUAAUUGUUAAUUUAUGGCGGUAUGAUCGAAUUUAGUGUAGGCAGAUGUUUUGUAAGAUGUUGUAUUGAUUGCAGAGUUAGUUUGGGUUUAAAUAGGGGUUAGUUUAGAUUUUGGAAUAUGCGAAUUGCUAUAAUUGGAUGGGGAGAGCGCGGAUGCUAAUUGUUUGGAUUUAAUUGGUAUUAGUUCGUGGUAGGUCUUAGGUUGUUGUUUGAAUUUAUUAUUGUUUUCAUGCUAAAUUAAAUGAAGUAUACGACUUUAUGUAAGAAUUUGUUGUUUAUGCACUAUUCGUAUCUGUUUUACAGGAUAAGAGCGUUCUACGAUUGUCCUGCAUUGUAUUCUGUUUGAUGAUCUAAUAUUCAUAUGCAUGCCUGAGAUAUGGUUUUGAAGAACAGGCAAGAAUAUGGAUUCCGUGGCUACCAGAUCCCUGCGAUACCAAGAGGUCCCAGAUCUCUUAGGGUAAGUGGACUUUGAUAACUGUGGUAUUUCGUGCUCACUUUAAUUGCUUGUGCAAUAUUAUGUACUGUGUGCCCUUUUGACUUUAUCCUCUACUGGUUGUAGAGGAGGGCAAUGUUUAAGAAACCAGCAGACGAUGGCGAAAUAUGCGCAUUUGAGUUGCUGGCAACUGUAGCGGGCAAAUUAUUGCAGGAGAGUGAGAGUUCUACCUCUAGCAAUGCAGCAGAAUUAAAAGAACAGAUUAAAAUCCAUAACGAUGGUAUAAAAAAGGAACAUCUAGAAGGAUCAGUUAUCAGAUCUGAGUGCCUUGAUCAAGGAAGUUGCAUAGAGAGUGUACAGGUUCCUGAUUUUCCAGUUAUUGACCGCAAUUCAAAGUCUACUGUACAGGAAGUCCCGCAUCCUGAGAGUGUUUAUGUUCAUGAACAUGCUGCUGCUGUUCCAAGUUCUGAAUUCCUGGUUAAGGGAAAGUGUAGUGUGAAAUCAGAAAAACACAGAAGCAAUGAUGCACCUGGAAGUAUCCUCAGCAAAUCAAACGGGACCUUGUGCGAAGGAAAAUUGUAUGACUCGGACUUGGAGAAAGAGCCUCGAAGACAAACAGAGGUUGUAAAGAAACAAAGAGGGCCCUUAGAUAUGGCUAAGGCUAGUCCUUUAAAGAAUCCUACAGAAUUUUAUGUGAAUAAUACUAAUAUGCUGAUUAAUUCAGAGAAUAGUGUAGAUUUACCCUUGUACAGGGCCCAGGAUCUCGAUGCUCCUUUUCCCGGGUACAGGAGUGGUGUAAAAAUAGUUAAUAGAGAUGAUGACGAAAAUUAUUUUAGGAGUAAUGUACUCAAUACCAAGGCAAGGGCUUUUAGGCCACAAUCACGCAUGGGUUACCGUAGAAUGAGAAAGUUGCAAACAUCUAGAUAUUUGAAAGCAUAUCCAAAGUUGAAGGAUUACGAACUUUCUAACAUUUGUAAGUGGAGGGUCUUUUCUUUUCCCAUUCUUUAAUGAAAAUUGUGUACUUGAGUGUAGCUGAUUUUUCUAUUAUAAAGCUCACAAACUUGUUCAUUUCAGCUAGGGGAGCUAGGGCAUUCUAUCACAAAAGGAAAACAGUUUAUGCUCAAGAAAGAUGUCAGUAUGACCUACAGGCGAAAAGAAGGCGGUUGUUUGGACAUAGAUCAGAUCAGGAGGCAAGUAGUGAAAGUAUUUCUAGUUUCCGUGAUAAAGCUUUGAGGGGAAACAAGAGUGGAAUGCCUGCAAUCUGGAACAGAGGUCCCUACUUAUAUACCAUAAGUAAUUUUUUAUGGUUUACUGUUUCUAGCAGUUGCCUGAAUGCGUUAUACUUCUUGUCUGCAGCGACUGGGGUCUCAUCUUCAGGUUCAGGACAUAAAGCCUCUGUGCAGUCCAAAGACCCCCGCGGUAGUAAUUUGUUCCUUUUAAUAUUAUUUGAAUAUUUAAUACAUAAUUCUGAAUUUCCUCUCUCUUGUAAUACAUUACUAUUUUUAAUUUGGGAUGCACAUUUGCUUAGGAUAUUACCUUUUGAGGUUCUUAUUUUUGCGUAUAUUCUUUUGAUCAAAUCAGUGAAUUUCCGCAUAAAGUCCUUUAAAGUGCCAGAGCUUUAUAUUGAGGUGCCAGAAACGGCAACUAUUGGCUCACUGAAGGUACGAUUUUAAAAUGUUAUCCAGUUCUAGCCAAAUUGCCAUUUGCUUAAUGAAAUUCUGAUUCGGAAAUUUGUGUUGUACUUGAAAAAUAUAUCAUCAUCAAUGUAGUAGACUUUGUCUUCUAUUUCGAUUAAGGUCGUUUUACCAAAUCUCUCAUCAUCAAAUCUCCGUUCACUGUUUAUCUAUUGUGGGUAUAAUUAACCAUGUUCACUUUUGAAUGUGUAGUUGAUUUAUUGUUUGUUGAGUCGACCUUUUUAUUAUCCAAACUCGUGAGAUACAGCAAUCUGAUAUGUGAGCCAUUUGGUUUCUUGGUGCUUCACAGUGAGGCUGUAUUUUAUGAGAUUGGCAGUAUAGUCCUGUUACCUCUUGCCUCAAAUGCUUGGACUCAGCAGUAUAGUUUGUGUUAUCUAUUUGAAUGAUUAUUUAAGAUUUUAUCUGAGUCUUAAUCUAUAUAUGUUGUGAUUUUCUUACACAGAGGACUGUUAUGGAUGCUGUGACUUCUAUUCUUGGAGGUGGAAUACGAGUGGGGGUAGUCCUUCAAGGAAAGAAAGUUAAAGACGACAACAGAACUCUUCAACAAUCUGGGAUCUCUCAAAACGAGGAUCUUGAAUCUCUAGGUUUUACAUUGGAGCCUAGUUUUGUAGAAGCCUGUUCACCUUCAGCUCAGAAAGGCUCUCCACUCCUGCUACCGUAUGAUGCAAAUCAAGAAUUAUCAAGGUUAGGCAGAUUUAUUUUGGACAUUGUUUCCCGGCAACUUUACUUUGGAUCUAAAUUGAUAUAGGAAUAUGAUCCCUGCAAAGAAAUAAUCCGCCAUGAGUUCUCACAGUUUAAUAUUUUUCUGAGCUGUAUAAAAUGCAAAAUGUGGAAACCUACAAUGAGUAGGAUGCAAGAUGUUUUCCUUCGUUUUAUUUUCUUUAUCUGUGCCGGGUAUACUUAGUUUUAUACUGUUCAUUAUGCAUAGUGUUAUUCAGAGGAACUACCUUUCGUAACUUAGGAUAUUCGGUGUUAGUUAAUUAGACCUUUAUGUACUUUUUGUAUAAAAGACAUGUCUAAAUUUAUGUUCUUUCCAGGACCCCAGCACCAAUUCUGGAUUCAGGGUUCUCUAAAUCAAUUGAUCAAACUCCACUGACUAAGCUGGACAAUCAUGUUGAGAGUAAUCAUGAAACAGCUCCUUCAGUUACAGAUGUAUCAACAGAUGGAACAGCUACAGACUCAAAAGCAUUGGUUGCUAUUCCACCCAUAAAUGCGGAGGCACUUGCUAUGGUUCCUAUGAGCCAGAAGACCAAGCGAUCAGACCUUUCACAGCGGAGGAUUAGAAGGCCCUUCUCUGUAUCGGAAGUUGAAGCACUAGUUGAAGCCGUUGAAACACUUGGAACUGGAAGGUGUGCAUUAAACUUCACUUUUUUUUAUUACUACUGUCUGUAGUUACUAGCGUGUCUUUGUUUAGCAAUAAUGUUAAAAAUAAUAUGGAUAUUUGGGGCUAAUUAGUUGCCAAUUAAGCUUAUUACUUGUUUAUCCGUCCUCAUUUUGUUUAACAUAUAUAUGCUAGAUUUGGUCUUUUCUUACAUGGGUUUAUAUAUGCCCCCAUAUGAUACUUUCUUCCUACUGCCUGAUAUUCUUCACAACUUCUUGUCCCUACUACCUCUCUUUAAAUUGAAGGUGAUGGCAACCAAUGCCAAAAGAUCUUGUCAGCUUGUCUUACUAACAAAAGCUCAUAUCCCCAAAGACAUUGCUUCUUUUUCCUGCAUUGAACUAUUAGUAUAUUUAUCUUUUGUUCAAAUAAGAGAAUUCUUUUCGAACCGGAAAAUCAAGGUAUGUUUGUUAUCUGAUCCUGCAGGUGGCGUGAUGUCAAAAUGCGUGCUUUUGAUGAUGCAAACCAUCGAACUUAUGUGGAUUUGAAGGUAAGAACUUUAGCAUAAUAUAGCAUUGAAACGCUAACUAGUCUUUAGAUUUUGUCAUUUUGGUAAUUGAAAUAUUUGACAUGCAAUCACAAUAUUUUACUUGUGUUGCGGACAAAUCGUUAGAAAAAACAAGAUAGAUAUAAAUUCCGGAGUUAAAUAAUUUAUGUAAUACCAUGUGCCCGCCUUUUUAAGUAAGUAAUUUUAAAAUGAGCAUCAAUACUGUGAUAUAAGUGAAUUUAUUCUGAGCAUUUUUAAUCUACGUAGAUAAUUAUAAAGCACCUUUUUGUUCAGGGUGAAUAUAAAUAAAAUUGUAAUCAUGAAUUUACAGGAUAAAUGGAAGACAUUGGUCCACACAGCAAGCAUUGCACCCCAGCAACGGAGGGGAGAGCCUGUGCCACAGGAGCUUUUGGACAGAGUCUUGGCUGCCCAUGCAUAUUGGUCUCAGCAUCAAUCUAAGCACGGUAAACACCCCCAGAUGGAACCUUUCAAGUUAGCCGGAGAGGUUGGAGUCUAAGAGGUGGGAUCUGAAUUUCUAAUUGUAACUAUGUAAAAGAAUUUGUGAUUUUAGAAAACAGAUGCUAGAAGGGAAGACUUGAAAAGUCGUUUUAUUUCUUGUAAUAUUUCACAACUAAUUGUGAUGAUUUUUUUAAUAUCUGCUCUUUCCCCUUUGGAGAGGGUGAUUCCUGUAAAUGAAUUCUAGGGAAUAAGCCGCAAUUCAAUAGAACUUGUGGUAUUUACUUGUACAUUAAUUUGAUGAGAUUUCCUUAUUAAACUUAUUCAAGUGAUUUGCUCCUUUCGAAUAUAUCAAACUUGUGGUGUUUGAUGAUUUUUAAUAUUGUUUAUUUUCGGGUUUUAUAUCAAAUUGUCCGAUCUUCAUGGAUACUCAUUUUAGCCAUUAGAAUUAAUUUAUAUAUCAUCCCAAUCAGCAAUUGAUGUAGCAAAUGAUGUGUGAGCGUGAGCCAUAUGGAUUAUAAAAAAAUAAGCAAAAUCUAAUAUUAUAAAAAAUAUAUAUAUAAAAACUUAGUUGCAAAUACAUUAUCUGUUUGUUAAUUAUUUCAUUAACAUUUUUUCAAGAUUUAACGAAGUGGUAUAUAUAAUGAUUAUAAUAAUUUAAAUGAGUAUCCGUGAAUAUCGUUAGUCACUAAUUUACAUUAUACCGAUUUAUUUUCUUUAAGGUAUUCGGAUCCUUUUGGAUAUAAGUUCAAUAAUAAACUUCCACCGACUUCUGAAAUAUUUUUUGACUAGGUAAUAAAUAAACUUUCUCUGAUAAAAAAAAAAAUCUGUAAACAAUGUUAUCUUGUACGAUAUGAUACUCCUUAUAAACAAAGCAGCUAAAACCUUUUUUGGUAUUAAUCUCAAAGUCCCCGGAAGUAUUAUAUUCCACUACCGUAUAUUGUUUUUUUUUUUUUUGAAACUCACACUACCGUAUAUUGUUAAUUAAAAAAUGAGAUAAUUUUAAAAUUUUCUCACAGACAAUACAUUCUUUUUCAUCUUAUAAAUACGUAAAUCAGCUAUCUCAAACCAUAACAAAAUAUGUAAUGGUAAAAAAUAGCAUGUGUACUCAAAGCUGUACACUGACACGAUCUUUAUUUAAAAAACAUUCCAAGGGACUUGAAUUGUUAAGUGUUAACUACUCAGUUUUAGAUCUGAACUUGACAACCAGAAUCUCGAAUCCUGAUCACCUGGCGGUGAUCCACAUAUAUUGUAUAUAAAACAAUUAAUUAAUAUCCAUAUACUCCCUCCGUCCCAAACAAUUAUAUACAUUUGGCUGGGAGACAGUGGAAAAAAGUAGUUGAUGUAAUAGUGUUUUAUAUUAUAAAAUUAUACCCUCUCUGUUUUUUGAUAUAUAACGUUUGAUUUUUUGGCACAGUGCUUUGACCGGAUAGUUAAAAGUAUUAUUUUUAAAAUUUUCUUUUUCUGAAUAAAUAUAUAUAAUCAAAAUUUUAAUUCACAACAAAAAUCGAUUAAAAAAAUUGUUAUCCGGUCAACCCACCUAAAGUUACGCGCUCAAGUCAAAAGUGAUAUAUAAAAUAAUAUUUUUAGAAUGUAUACAAUUGAUGUAAAAAAAACUGUAUACAAAUAAAUCGGAGGAGGACGUAAUUUUAAAAGAGACAUCCACCGGAGCAGCAGGGCAAGCAUAUGGCUAGUCAGGUAUUAGCAGGGAGAUCACGUUAUCUAUAACAACUCAAAGACUUGGCUCAUUUUCUUUUGAGUUGCGUCUCCCUGGAUUUAGCGUGUGCUUUAUGCUUCCUCUUCUACGUCACGUCUUUAUUCUUAUCCUUUUUCUUUUCUUGUUAUGGAGUCAUUCUAUUUAGGUGAAAAAUCUACCACCCUCGACUUUGUUUUCUCAAAGUUAUGGAUGGAUCAUCUUUGGUCAUGCAAUAAACUCUUUUUUCUAGUACUCAUUUUCUUUAAUAAUUUCUUAAUAUUAUUAGACAUAUUAUUUAUGAUUCUUAUAAAUAUAAUUUUAUAAUUUAGUUUUAAAUUUUUAUAUAAAUAUUAAAUUUUAUUCAAAAGAAAAAAAAUUAAAAUAAUUUAUCAAACUAUAAUCUAUGAAAAUUUUAAAAUGUGCAUGAGGGGAUAGAUGGAGUAUAUAGCAUAGCUCAGCUCAUGAAAUUGUAUAUAUUUAGUAUUUACAACUGCAGGGGUUUUAGCAGAAACUUUUCAGAAAUUAAUUAAACCAUUCGUUCAAGACUCUGAAUCAAAUUCACAGUAUUAUAUGACUCUUUUUAUCAGGUACAGCUUUAGAUGAUUUUGAUCGGUUAUGUUUUCAUCUUUUGUACAAAUAGAUAAUCAAAUCCAUAUAUGUUUAUAAUUGUGCGAUGCAAUAUAAUGAUUUUUAAUAAAUUAAUAAUUUCAUUAUGUGUGUUUAAACUAAUAAUACAUUUUAAUAUGUUGACGAUUUUCGAAAUUUCGAAUCUUAGAUUUGUAAGAGAUCCUAGUGAAAUAUACAAAUUUGUUAUGAUGUUUGUUGUUAAUUUGAUUUAAGUGAUCUCACCGUUAUAGUGUAGUCUACGAUAAUAUAAAAUAUCAAUCAAUUUUUUGUUCUUUAAAAAGAUAAUCAAACUUUUGCAUGCUUAAUGAUAUAAUACAGAUGCCAUUUUUCAUGUGUAAUUUUAUUUUAUUUUUAUUAUUAUUAGUUUUGUUGCAUAAAAAAUUAUUUAUAUAAAAGUGCUUAAAACAUAUUUAUAACAAUAUUAUGUAAUCUCAUACUGAUUAAACAUUAUGUAAUAAGUAAUUAGUACUUCACGAGACGUUAGGGGUUUAUUCGAUUGAGAUUUUAAAAGAUUUUUUUUUUCUUUCAUGAAAUCUGGGGUAUUUGAUUUGAAUGUUUGAAAUUCAUUAAAAUCUUAAGGUAUUCUAUUGGUAUUUUAAAUUAUGCUACAAAAUCUUGUUGUAUUCAAUUAUAAUUUUAAACUAUGCUUAAAAAUCCGAUGGUAUUCAAUUGAGAUUGUUUAAAAUCUAUUAAAAUAUGAUGGCAUUCAAAUUCUCAUGGAAUUGUUUGGAUUUCAGAAAAUGAUGGGUUUUGUGGUAUUUCGCAGUAUUUUAAGUUUUUUGAAAUCCUAUCAAAAUCCAUGAGAUUUUGAAACAUUGAGUUUAAAUCCUAAAGAAUCUAUAUCAACUCUCCGACAUUUUAUUAAUAAUCCGCGUAAAAUUAAAAUCACAUGCAAUCCAUUAAAAUCGAAUGAUAAAAAACAAUACAUUAAAAUCCCAAUCGAAUACACCCUCCUUAUUCUACUAAUUAUUUGUAAGUAUAGAGGUUUUUUUUUAUAAUUUAAAAUCAAAACAACCCAAUUUGAUUAUUCUUGCUACUACUUAUUAGAUAAAAAGGGGUAUAAAAAUUGGGAAAUCUACAAAACUACCUACCUUUUCUUUAAUUAUUUACAAAAAUACUACCUUCCAGAAUUCUUUUUAAAAAUACCUUUUCAUAAAAUCUUUUUUUCAAAAAUACUGUUUGCAACUUUUGCAACCUCAUCUGCAACUCCAGGCGGCGCCAGCCGUGUUGCAACCUCUUUUGCAACUUCAUAUGCAACCAAAUUCCUGAUUUCAAGUUCCAGUUUUCAAAUGUCGUUUUCGACCUCAUUUUCGGAAUCGAUAUAUAUAUAUAUAUAGAUAUAUAUAUGGUUGCAUNAAAUUUAGCAAAAGAAAAAAGGGGUAUAAAAGCAUAUUUCACUAAUUUAUUUGUGUGAUUAGAAAACACUUCAAACAAAUUUCUCAUAGAAAUGAGAAAUAAGUCCGCAGCUUAAAAGAAGAAGCUAAAAUGUUUUUUUUUUUUGAAAAGCUGAAAUAGAUAGCAUAUAAUAAAGAAGCAGUACAUCAUCUAAUGUCCCUGAGUUUCUAAAACAAAAGAUAGCCUAAAUCAACCUACCCGGCUAUUUGCAGCAAACCAGAAGCUGCCAAAGGAGAAAGAAACAUUGGGACAAAAUCUACCAAUACAUAAAGUUUACACACUGCUGUUGCGAGAAACUAAAACUGAGAACCUAAUAAACUAAGCAUCACCACUGCCCGAUGCCUUUGAAGACGAAUCCUCAUCCGGAGCCAACCCCAUCAAAGCCAGAACCUGCUCCACUGUCAUAAAACCGCUAAUUUUUUCAAGCUGAUCUGCAGGUUUGGGGGUAACAUAAAGCCUCUUGAUGAUUGUCCAAACAAUCAACAAUAAGCAGAGUCUCACUUCUUGAACAAUUAAGCUCCACUCCCUUCCUCCCAAACAUCCACUAACAAGAGUAUUUGUUAGGAGAAUGGAAUUAAUUCCAGCCCAAGUUAGUAGUGCUUGGGCCCAAAAUUUGAUGUGACAAUUGGACACAACAUAUAUACGGGUAUAUAUUUCUUCAAGUAAUUAUUAUAUUUUAAAAUAAUGUUUAUUAUUUAAACUUAUUUCUCAUACAUCAAUAGUUCUAAGAAAACAGUACUGUAAAUAGUAAAAACCAAAUACACUCACUAACAUGCCUCAAUAUUUAAUAAUAAAUAGUAUCAAAUACAUCAUCAAACCAGGGACCAUUAAUAACACUAAUAUAAGGGAAUUGAUAAAUAAGCUCCAAACUUUACUAUUUAAGCUCCAAUUUCAUUUUUUUUCUUUAUCCAAAUCACAUUAUCACUCAUAAGAUGGACGAAACAUGGGUAAACAUGAUAUAAAUUUUGAAAUUGAAGCUUAAAUAGUAAACUAUGGAGCUUAUUUAUCAAUUCCCUAUAAAUAUCAACACCAAAAUUUAUAAUAAUAGAUGAAAGAGAUAGUAAUAUUUAUGUCAUGUUGUAGCCCACAUUUGUUACAGUAGGCUUCUAGAUGGUCACAAUUUGCAGCCAAGAGCAUUGUUGAGUUGUUCUAGAAGAUGAGAGAAAACGAAAGGGGCCAAUCAAAUGAAAAUUAUAGGUUUGGGCCAGAGCAUGAGGCCUGAGGGUCAGUACAACGAAGUUGACAGAUGGGUCGCAACUCUCUAUCAGCUUUAACUGAUUUGAUGUGUGCUGUCUUGUUUGUUGAUACGAAAAUCAAUGUUUUUACUGGACAUCAUGUUCUUUUGGCGCUUUUGUCCUUGUAAAUGGACCACUAAAAUGGGACAAUAAUUACCUGUAGUACAUUCUGCAGGGAUUUUGAUCUUGUACGCACAUAUAUAUUCUUCAAUAUAAUCUACCAAAAAAAUCAAAAAUUAAGAACAUGGUCACAUGUGAAACAAUUAUCUCAACCUCCGGACUAUUUGAUUUUCUCGCGAGACCCUAUCUCGAUCUGGGAUAUCCGAAACUGUAACUGAGUGCAUCCUUGAAGAUCAUAGCUGAAAUGAUUCAUAAGAAAUACUCCUUUGUGAUAUUUUGAUUUUUUGACACUAUUUUUAGAUGAGUUAUUCAGAUAGUAAAACUUACUAUUUUUUUGAUUGAUUUUUUAAUUUACUUUGAAUAUAUAUAUUUUUUAAUUUUUUUGAAAAAAAAUACUUUUAACCAACCAACCAAAAUACUUAAAAGUGUGUGUAAAAAGUCAAAAUAUCAAAUAAAAAAAUAGAGAGGAUCCUUGAGAAUAUUAGUUUAAAAUUUUAAGUAAAAAGAUACUCUUGUUUUUUUGAAGAAAAGGAGAUAAUUCAAUAAAUAAUGGCCAUACGGCAUCUACAAGAAUGAUCAAGUUGAACAAACAUAGAAAAAAUUAACAUGUCUGUCUUCAUACCUAAGAUGAGACAAAUAAGCGAUGUUGAAAUUGACGAUGGUACAUGUAUAAAUUCUUGCUCUGUGUUCACCAUCUUUUCCAAAAACUCCGUUUGAGCUAUCGACCACAAAUGCAAUUCCCGAAAGGCUUUAUCGAUGAAUCCAAACCACUCUCACAAAAGGAGAGAAAAAUCACACACUCUCACCGGGGAGAGAAAUCAAACUAUAAUCAAAACAAACUAAAACAAUUAGAUCUGCACUACGACGCUCAGGAGAUAAUCGAUCCACUCACAAAUCCAAAAAGGCUUCUGGAAGCGAAUAAGAACGAAAAUCGAAAGUUUCGAUGAUAUAGAUCUAAGAAAACUUUCUCCGAAUAUGGAGAUUUAUUAAGAAACUCAAUGAAAAAGCAAGAACAAUCAAAAACUAGCAAUCAAACGAAAAGAUUUGGGGCUUUCCACCGGAAACCGAUGGAAGCCCCGUCGGAGAUGAAAAUAGGAGGCGGCUGGAGAGAAGAGAUAAAAAGAAAAUUAGGGUUUUGUACUAAUAAAUAUUUUAUUAGAGCAUCUCCAACCAUCGAAAGCCAUAAAAAAAAAAAAAGAUACUCUUGUUGAAAUGGAACGAGAAUAGUGUUCAGCUGGAUAUGUCAGACGAGACACCCAUUGAUUGUUCUGUUUAUGACAGAUUGGAUUUAUUGAUCCAAAUGUAAUUUCAGUUGGCAAAAUUAAGAUCACUUCGGUUCACAAAUCCCCUUCAUUCUAUCACAACAUCGAAUCCUGGCAUUAGCAACCGGGCAAAGUGUAAUAAAUUUAGGUUUCCGAACCUACGGGUCACAACUCACAAGUCACAACAAAGUGGUGCAAUGACAUGUAUAUGUGCAUUACAGAUUUACAGUAAAGUGUAUGUGAAACACGGAGAAAAUUAAGCCCUUGUGUUUUGUUUAUAGUUGUCAUAGUGUGAACAGACCAAACUUCCUGGAUAUGUCCUAGUAUGAACAGAAUCCAACAGCUUAAUUCUCGUCCAAAUCAGGGUUGGACUCAAUCGUCUUGACCUGCAGGAUAAGAUAAAUACGUUUGGAUGUAUCCUCAAGAAAUCAACGUCACGCUUCACAAUUUUACUAUGAAUAGCGGUAAUUCGUCCAAAAAAACAAAGAUUUUUUUUUUUUUCGUUAAACCGGUAUCCAGUCAGUUUGUAUUCAUAUCGACUAAUCNCGUUAAACCGGUAUCCAGUCAGUUUGUAUUCAUAUCGACUAAUCCGGUUGAACACACUAGCCCACUAAUACCGCAUGAUAGCUCACUUAUUUUUGUAGUGUCCAGGAUUCCAGCUCGUGAUCUUAGUAUAUCAAGUUUUAAGCGCCAUGUCAACCAUCUGGGACAUCCUGUGGAGGUAAAAAUAGAAAAGAAAAAAAACAACAAUGGUUUCGCUGCAAAUUUUAUUUCUAUAAAAAUUAAUUUAAUAUAGAUGGAGAUUUAAUAUUAUUUAGUGCCCAAAAAUGAUUUUGGAUGUUAAAAUCGUAACAUGUGACUAGUAGUUGAUUUUUAUGUCAUUCCAAACCCCCCCUACAAUUUUUCGAUCUGCGCUAUUUUCAUAAUUUGAUUAUGUGAUUAUUAAAGUUUCAUUAUAUUUAACACAAAUUAUAAUAUUACUCCUAUUUAAUACAAGAUACGAAACACCUGAGAAAUAAUGAAUUUUAAUUUUUAUUCUAAAAUUAUAAAUACAGACAUUUUCUUUAACGUAGGAACUCGCAGCCGCUAUCCGGGUACGCACUAGCUAAACCCACGAGUUCACGUCAUAGCAUGCAAACUACAUGAACGAAGAUUGUACCGGACUUUCAUGUUUUAGGUACUAAUAAAACAUGCUCUAAAAGGAAAAACUAAUAUAAUCUAUCCGAAAAUAAAGAAUAUACUUUAAAAGCAUAAUUUCUCAUAUAAUUGGACAAAAACUCAUUAAUUACUGGACAAUGAAGUAUGUGUUAUAGGUGUUGCCCGGGGAGGAAAGAAGCUAAGCUCGGACAACGUCAAAGGAUAAGAUAAUUCAGUUGAAAGAGAGAGAGAGUUUGUGGAUGACAACAAAUUUAUACUGUAUCUUACUAUUUGGGUCCAGCAGCUAUUGAUGAUGCUGAACCACUUCUACAUGCACGUAGAAGUUUCCUGCAAUUCUGUUGAUACCGGAUCGUAAACUUUUAACAUAAAUUUACGAAUACAUCUUUUAAAGUACGUGUUCAGUUUUGAUUUUUUCUAUUAGAUUGAUUCAUUUUAAUAAAUUUCAUAUAAUUUUAGACAUUUGAAAAUAUCAUAAAAUAUGAAUAUUUUUUAAUAACACAUUUUUAGUUGUUUACAUAAAAGUUUCGAUCAAAUUUAAAAAAGUUACCGAAAAAAAAUACUGUAUAAAACAUGACAUUUAAACGGAAGUAGUACGAGGGCUUCAAGAUAUUUAAAUCAUUCAAUUAGUAUAUAAUAAAAAGAGCAAAAGUUCAUCCUCGAUGGACCGGGCAAUAUUCUACGGAGAGAGGUAUAAGACUGAUUAUUUAAGUAUUACAGGAAGAAAAGUACAAGUUUUCUUAAAGUUCAAGGUGGCAAGCACAAUUUUAGGCUGUUGGUCAAAAAUAUAUUAAGGCAAAACCAUAAAUUGUACCCCCUCCGUCCCAGUCAUUUGUAUACAAAUGGUUGGGACACGGAGACCAAGAAACUGUGUAAGAAAUGAGUAAAGUUAGAUGAAAAGUUGGUAUAGUGAUGGGACCCAUUUAUAUUUAAUAAUAGAUUUGAGAUAAUGGAGGAAAAUAGUGGGUGUAAUAGUGUUUAUAUUAUUAUAGAAUAGAGAUAGUGGAGGAAAGUAGUUGGUGUAAUGAUGUUUUAUAUUAUAAAAGUUUACUACUUUUGGAAUGUAUACAAUUGAUGGGACGUACCAAAAAGAAAACGGUAUACAAUUCAUUGGGACUGAGGGAGUAGUUGGAUUUUUGAAUAAAAGAAUCUCGCGGACAAAUAUUUUAUUACUCGGAAAUCUAAUUUGAUUUGAUCGUGUUUGUUUGCAGUUGCUUUGCAGCGAAGAUAGCGGAAAUAUAUAUUAUAAAAAUGUUGUGAUGACUUUUAGGAGAAUAAUAAUAAAAAAGUCCUGAAAACCCCUGAUUAGUGAUCAGGGCCAUAUUUUAAUUCUAAAUCUCUGAUUAACUGCUUAUUUUAAUAUAAAUCUCAACUAGUAGUACUAAGUACUUGAUGCAAACACAAGAAGUCGUCAAAAAACAAGAGCAUGUGUAAUACACUUGUACUAGUUAUUUACCGUCAUUUCUAAUUCAUUUCAAUUUUUAAAUCAGUUUUUAAUUUAUUAUAAAAAUAUUUAAUCUUCAAUUUGAAGUCGGAAAUAAUGUUUGUACUAUAUACAAACAUGCUCUUUUCAUAUCUUAAAAAGUGUAGCCGAUUUUAUUUUGGCAUAGAAUUAGAGAUUUGGUCGUACUGAGGUUGAUUCCAUCCAUACUCAUAUUAUACACAAAUAUAAAAUUAAAGAAAGAAACUAAAAAGUGCAUAAAAAGGUCAUGAAGAAUUCACACAGCAAACUUUGAGUCCCAAGCAAAAUGUGAACUGAUAAUCCUCCUGUGGCUACUGUGCAGCAGAGACCGCCUAUAUAAACUAGGAGGAACCCGAUGACCAGAAAGUUGUGGAGUAUAUUAGACUGGUCCACAGUCUUCUACCUCCAAAAUACUAUGAAUAUAAUAUUAUUAGUCUUACUCUGUAUCUCUCUCACAAAACUUCACAAUAUUCAAAGCCAUCCGAGAUUCAAUGUAUGUGGCUCUUUCACUUUGUUCACGUUAUUAUUACUAACUUUACAGUUUACACUAGUCACAAAUUUUAUUAGAGGUCAAACGAUGGAUUUCAAAUGAAGAUUUGAGUUGUCAUUUUAAGUUUUGAGAUUUAUAUUAACAUGUGUGAAAUUCAAAUUUAGAUUCCCAAACAAAUUAUUUGAUCAAAUUCAUAAUUUCAUAUGAGAUCUUGGUUGCCAACAUGCUAUUAGUAUUUCGCUGUAUAUUAGUAUCAGGGUUGUCCGAGAAAUAUAUAUUGAUAAUUAAAAUUGAUCGAUCGAUUAAUUUAUAAAUUUAGAAUUUAUCAAAAUUAUCAAAUUUUAAUUUUAAAUAAAAUGAAAAUAUAAUCGAUAAAUUGAGAAAAUGUCAUUUUAUAAAUUUAUAUAAAAUUAACCGGAUUUUCAAAACACCGACUGAAAACUAGUUUUCAUGUUCCCAUCCAUAUUCCACCUGGAUACCCUCCCCUCCGUCUUUCUACGACCUUUUGGAUAUAACAUUUUCGUACUGUUUCAAUACCAAGUCGACAGCUUUAAAUCAUGUUCGAAAUACUUUCUGGUCUCUGACAAAAAAAUGAAUUUUUUUUUAUCUUUUAGAACAAUAAACACAAAUUAGAGAGUUUUCUUACAUAAAAUUGAUUUUUUGUAUUAAAAUAAUCAAAUUUCCAGAUCAAAUAUAUACAAAAUUUUAAUUCGAUUUCAAGUUUUCCUAUCGAAAUUGUAUAAUAUUAAAAUCAAACUAAAUAAGUGGUGGCUGUAAUAACAACAAGUCAACGCGUCAAACUCAUCAAGUGACCCCGUCUGAUGAGAUAUUUCACGGUUGAGAUCUUUCUGUGCUCAUGUAUAUAUCUCUCUCUUUCAUUUCACAUUUUCUUUCUUUUCUCAGAUUCAACACCCUCUCCACAUACAUCUCUCUAGCUUCUUCCAUUUGGGCUCUCUCUCGUUCAGGUACUCAUUCAUGUCUCUCUCUUUUAUAACCUUUUUUAUGUACAUAUGUUCAUGCUGUAUUUAUCUUUUUGAUGCUGUAUUUUUUAUUAUUUUUUUAAUUUUGAUAUUUGAAGUGGUUUAGUGGAAGUUCAUGAAGAUCAUAGAAAUACCCAUCUUUGUUUUUGUGUUUUUAUGCUUAAAGUUUUUACCUUUUUGUGGUUUUAGUGGUGUAUAGUUGAUAAAGAUUCUGUUUUGCUUGUGGGUUUUUGUGAUUUUGUGUUUAUGUUUAUGGGUUUAAUUUUCUUGAUUCAGGUUUAUGAGUUUGGGGUUUUGCUGCUUUUGGAUUAAUUUUAGACUACUCAGAUAGCGGUUUGUGAUUUUAGGCCACUGGGGAAUAGAUAUUGAGGAAUUUAGGAUUAGAAGGAAGAAGGAUAAAGACUUUGUUUUGAGUUUGGGGGAUUUUUGUGAGGGUUUGAUCGUGUGAUGGAUUAUUCAUGUAAAUUAGGUUUUACGGAUGGCCAAGUUCGACCAUAUUGCACUAGUUCGGUGAAUCCGAUGAGUUUUAAUGAGGUCAGUUCUCAGAGGUUUUUGGAUCAGAAACUUGUUAAUGGGGCCAGGAUUGAUGGUAAGUUCAUUGAUACUGCGAGAGUCGAUAGGCCUGUGAUGCCUGCUGAUCCGAAUUCUAGUGGUUUCACACCAUUUUAUGGCGUACAACACACUACAGAUCUUCAUGAGGAUUUUGAUUUUAGUGAUGUAGUUCUUGGGUAUAUAAACCAGAUGCUUAUGGAAGAGGAUAUGGAGGAGAAGACAUGUAUGUUCCAAGAAUCAGCAGCACUUUUAGCGGCAGAGAAAUCAUUCUAUGAAGUCCUCGGGGAGAAGUACCCUCCCCCGCAUGAGGAGCAGCCAGUAGCCUACUCAGAUCAGAGCAGUGAAAGCUUGGAUGAAAACCAUGUUGAAGCUUACAAUAGUGAUGGUGGAAACAAUCAUCUUAUUAAUAGUCUCUUGACGCCUGGUUGCAUUUGUGAUUCUAGUGAUUAUAGUCUAUGUAAUUCGCAAGGUGGUUCUGUUAGACUUGUAGCAGAAACAUCUCAGUCAAUAGGUUCACUAACUAGCAACGGCAGUCCUGUGGAUGGGCUGGCAGAUUCACCAGUGAGCACUCUUGGAGUUACUGAUAUAUUUACAGAUAGCCAAUCUGCGUUGCUAAUGAAAAAAGGUUAUGAGGAGGCAAGCAAGUUCCUUCCCAGUGGUAAUAAUUUUUUUGCUGAUAUGGGGACUAAUGAAUUGUUAGCAAAUGGGCAGAAGAAAAAGGAUGAGACUGUGUUGGUUAAGUUGGAGGACAAGAAUCAGAACGAGAAAUCACAUAAUGGGUCAAGAAGCAGGAAGAAUCCUUAUACAGAAGAAGAUGGUUUGGAUGAAAGCAGGAGCAACAAGCAUUCUGCACUGUUUUGUGAAUCGACUGUGAGGUCAGAGAUGUUUGAUAUGGUGCUACUUUGUAGUGAAGGAAAAUAUGAUUCUGCUCUUCGUGAAUCAUUGAUGAACGAUGCAAAAAAAAGUGUGCAACAGAAUAAUCAACCAAAAGGAUCAAAUAGCGGGAAGGCGCGCGGCAAAAAACAAGGAGGUAAGAAGGAUGUGGUAGAUCUAAGAACACUUCUGACCCUCUGUGCACAAGCUGUUGCAGCCAAUGAUCAAAGAAAUGCAAGUGAUUUACUGAAGCAGAUCAGACAGCAUUCUUCUCCAUCAGGUGAUGGUAUGCAAAGGCUAGCUCAUUAUUUCUCCAACGGCCUGGAGGCACGCAUGGCUGGCUCUGGGACGCAGAUUUACAAGCAACUUAUUGCCUUUCCAUUAACGGCUGCUGAUGUAUUGAAAGCUUACCAUUUGUUGCUAGCUACCUCCCCAUUUAGGAAGAUUCCCAAUUUCUUUGCAAAUAAGACAAUCAUAAAGGUAGCUGAAAAUGCUACAAGGCUUCACAUUGUUGAUUUUGGGAUUCUUUAUGGUUUCCAGUGGCCUUGUCUUAUACAGCGACUCUCAACCAGACCUGGCGGGCCUCCCAAACUAAAAAUCACAGGAGUAGAUUUUCCUAAUCCAGGUUUUAGACCAUCACGGAGGGUUGAGGAGACUGGUCAGCGGUUGACUAAUUAUGCGGAGACUUUUGGAGUUCCAUUUGAAUUCCACGCCAUUGCUCAGAAGUGGGAUACAAUCAAAAUUGAAGAUAUCGAUAUCGACAGGGAUGAGAUGCUUGUAGUGAACUGUCUGUUUAGGUUUAAGAAUCUUCUCGAUGAGACUGUGGUGGUGGAUAGUCCCAGAAAUAAAGUCAUGAAUCUAAUUAGGAAGAUGAAACCAGACAUUUAUAUACAGGGUGUCACUAAUGGAUCUUAUAAUGCUCCCUUCUUCAUCACUCGAUUCCGAGAGGCACUCUUUCAUUUCUCCUCGCUGUUUGAUAUGCUUGAGGCCAAUGUUCCCCGCGAGACCCAUGAACGGAUGCUUCUUGAGAAAAUGAUAUUUGGACAGGAGGCAAUGAACGUGAUUGCAUGUGAAGGUGCAGAGAGAAUUGACAGGCCAGAGACGUACAAGCAGUGGCAGGUGCGUAAUCUAAGGGCUGGUUUCAGGCAACUUCCUUUGGAUAAGGAAAUUAUGAGGAUGGCCAAAGAUAGGGUUAAGUCGUGCUAUCACAAGGAUUUUAUUAUUGAUGAAGAUGGUCAGUGGAUGCUGCAGGGCUGGAAGGGACGAAUUCUGUUUGCCCUGUCAUCUUGGAAGCCUGCAUAUUAGAAGAAAGUAUCAUCAAAUACAAGAAGAGGGCAAUUCAUAACAUGGCUAUUUCCCUCAAAAUGUCAGGGCUAUUGAACAUUUGAAGUCAAGGUUUGGUCAUCUACAUCAUGUUCCUAUAUGAUAUGAUGUUCAAAGUCACGUGUCUUUAAUCAGCACAUCAGCACGUUUAAUGAGACCUGUAUUUCUGGGUUUUUUCUUGCAAUGCUAUGCAAAGAAAUCAACAUCGGUGAUCUCAAAACCUGCAAUAUUCAUGCUUGGUCGCCAAAUACUUAUCUUCAAGCAUGAGAAAACUGUCGGAUAGUAUUGCAUGUAAAAGACCUGUUCUUAGCAUGUGUGCAUCUUGUUUAGUAAGUAAUCAGUCAUGUUUUUUUUUUGGUGAAUAGGAGCAUCUGAUACAGGUCUUGUAGCAAGUAAUAUUGUUUCAUUUCUAAGUUCUUUUGAUGUAUGGCACGUUUUGCUUCAACAAUCUUUAGUUCUUUUAACCUAAUAAACUUCCUUUUAAUUAUCUGGAUUGGUAUUGCAUUAUCAUCGUUGUGACCUAGAAGUAAUUUGUUGUAAUUUGGCUUUCAUGAAUAGACUCUCUUAGCAACCUUAAAAUUUUUCAGUUUAGUCUGAAAUAUAUUUCAUCAUAUUAAAUAUGCCUGUUCUUAAUUUUGUGCACUACAUGCAGCACUGAUUUUGUUAAUUUAAUGAGGACAAAUACUGUUGGUGAAAUACUAAUUUUUCGCAUUUUUAAAUUUAAAGUUAAGAAAUUGUUUAUAUAUAAAAAUAUUAUCGAAGAUACCUUGAAUACCUGACAAAAUUAAUUAGUAUUAUAUAACGUAAGCAAAAUUAAGUUAACUAUAAUAUAAAGUAAAAUUUGAUUGAGCACGGUUGGAUAACUCAGUGGUAAAGAGCUUAUCCUCUGUCGUCCCAGAACCUGGGUUCGACCCUGGCUCAUCCCGAGAGUUUCGUAGAACAGAUACUCAUCCUGGGUUCGACCCUGACUCAUCUUUAGAACAGAUACUCAUUUGUAAGGCUAUAAGCCAUAUUUGUCGGGAAAAAAAGAGAGUAAAAUUUGAUUACUCUGCAAAUGAUUCACGAAGUUAACUGUCAUAAAAAAAAAAGAGUAAAAUUUGAUUAUUUCACGGAACGAAAUUAACUAUUCUAUAGUCCUUCUGUCCCUCUCCUUUCUUUAAAGUUACUAUUUUGGUAUGUCCCUCUCAUUUCUUUACGUUACUAUAAAUUGUAAGUUUUCCCAUCGUUACACCCACUAUCUUCCCCCACUAUCUCAUAUUUAACAAUAAAAACUACUAUUACACCCACUACUUUCCUCCACUAUCUCAAAUCUAUUAUUAAAUAUUGAUAGGUCCCAUCAUUUUACCCACUUUUCAUCUAACUUUACUCAUUUUUCAUAAAUUGUCUUGGUCUCCGUGUCCCCUUCCAAUGCAAACAAUUAAGGGGACGGAGGGAGUAACAUAAACAAGAUUUGAUUACUGCCGAUGAUUAUAUAAUAUUUCUCUGAAUUUCCCUGGGAACUUCCCCAGAGAUCUCAGGAUCGGGAGUUCUGACAUGCCCCCAUGGAUAAGAUAUUAAGAGGGGUGUAUUGGAUUGGGAUUUUAAAGCAUUUUUUUGCAUUCAUGAAAUCCGAGAGUAUUCGAUUGGGAUUGUUUGAAAUCCAUUAAAAUCUUGAGGUAUUCAAUUGGGAUUUUAAAUUAUGCUACAAAAUCCGGUGGUAUUCAAUUGAGAUUUUAAAUUAUGCUUUAAAAUCUGAUGGUAUUCAAUUGGGAUUGUUUAAAAUCCAUUAAAAUCUGAUGGUAUUCAAAUGCUGAUGGAUUUUUUUUCAUUUCAUAAAAUGAUGGAUUUUGUGGCAUUCUUCAGUGUAUUUUAAGUUUUUUGAAAUCCCACCAAAUUCAAUGGGAUUUUGAAGCAUUGUACCUAAAUCCUAUCAACUCUGCGACAUUUCAUCAAGAAUCCGCACAAAAUCAAAAUCUCAUACAAUCCAUUAAAAUCCAUAGACUAAAAACAAUGCAUUAAAAUCCCAAUCGAAUACACCCCCGUAAGAUUAUUCACGUCCAAUAAAAAUUAUGCUGUUUAGUUUUUAAGCAACCGACAGAUUUCGUAUUUCUUUUAUAUCCUAAGAGUUACUCUUUCUGUCCCAUGAUAGUUGUGAUAUUUCUAUUUUUGUUGGUCAAAUUAUCUAAGUUUUGACCAAAAAUUAUAAAUAAAUUAUUUAUUAUUUUAAAAAACUGAAAAUUACAUUUUAAAAUAGACUAAAAGCUAUUUCCGGUAACAUAUUUUUUUUAUUUUGUCAAUUGAUAAAAUAUUAAUAAAUUUCAGUUAAGCUUUAGUCAAUUUGACCGGCACAAAACCAAAUGUGACAAUUAUUUUGGGACGGAAGGAGUACUUUAUUCGUGUAAGGUGUAACUAGGAACUCUAAAAAAAAUAGUCAAGGAUAUUUGAAGGAACUGAAUGCUGCGAGGAUAUAAUAUAAUCUUACUAAAAAAAUAUUUAUAAAUUUUAUUUUCAAUCUAUUUAAAUUAAGAUUCUACAGUACGUAUUUUGAAAGAAAUACAUAAUUUCUUCAGUCGAUCUCAUUCUUCAUCUUUCCUGUGAAUCUGUGAUUCCCGUAAUAGAAAUUUUAGAUUUCUUUAUACUCAUAUCACCCGUACAGUAUUCCCUGUCCAUAGUAAAAAGUGCAACAUUUGUCGGAGAAUAAUUCAACUGAAUCUCAAAUUAUUAUCUUGACAUUCACAUUUCACAUGACCACAUGUUCUUAUAAGAUUCUCCUUUAAGUAAUCACCUGAUUACAAACAUUACUCCUUAAAAGCAUCUCCAGAUUGGUAAGCCAUCUUGAUUAUAUUGGUUGGCUCAUUGUUGUCCAGAUGUAAAUUUCAUGUCUUAUAUAGAAUAUGAUAUAUAUUAAAAGGACUUAAUUUUUCAAAAAUAUAUAUAUUUAAAUAAACGUAUAUAUAUCUUUGCUCACUGUUGAAAACAAACCACCGUUAUGAUUUGUUGGACAAUACGUUAUUGGUACGAACAAACUUAUAAAAUAUUAUAUAGGAUUAUUUCAGUAUAUCUCUCAAAGCAAGAAAAAGGAGUAAUCAAGUCAUAAUAUAGAACUAGAAGAAUGCGAAAGUAAGAGUUAUCAUUCAUUCAUUACUGCUGCUAACCCCUAAUUGUUUUUCUUUUGGUGUUGGGGGAGUUGGUCACAACAAUGGCACCCGGUCUUUUCUCUAUUCCAAAAUUCUCUACUGGACAUGGAAUAGACAAUGGGAUUUGAUGAUUUUACAUACUUGAACCUAGACCCUAAAUGGUCUUGAAGAAGAAGCCUUCUUUGUAUUAACAGAACCAAUCAGUGAGUGUACCUAAACUGAUACUUGCGAAGCCAUUCUUCACCCUUCUCAUAGUAAUCCAUUUUCUUGAUUGUUUGCUGAGGAAAUUGCACCGCAGCAGCAUAAGCAGCAGCUCCACGCCAUGCAUCAAGAAUCGGAUCAGAUGCUUUGUUAAUCCGUAUAGAUGUCCCACAUGGACGAAUCAUGCGGAUUCCACUUUCGAGCCGCUCACUCAUACCAGGGUAUAAGCAGCUUCCACCAAUGAUAAGAAUUGAGUUGGUCAUCCCUUCCUCUGCGCCUCUGACCUUUGAUGGCAGCCUCCUUAUUGAAACCCCAGCCAUCUCAUCUAGUCCUGCUUGAUCGAUACCAAUAAUGUUGGGAUUGAAUAGAAUUUCUGGGCACCGAAACCUUUCCACCCCAAGUAUAAUCUGAAAAUCUUCCUUGGUAAGUGGACGGGGACGGGAAGCCUCGGAAACAGAGGAUCCCACAUCUGUUUUGGGAGUAAAUGUUGGAUCUAUAUCCUGUCAAAAUAAUAAGCAUAGUAAUUUAAACAUCCUUAAACUAUAUAUCACAAAUUUACAAUGAAGAGGUUUUAUUAACAGACCCGGAGCCUAGAAGAGAUCCGAGACAACUCUGCCUCAUCCUCAUCCUGUUUUUCAUCUUCGUCAUCAUUAUCUUUGCUCAUCAAUUUAUAAAGUUGCCAAUCCUCAUCUCUGAUACCAAAAGUGUCCUCACCUUUCCCUCGAUCAAAUGCUGCCGUUGUCAAGAGGCGCAUCCUUUCCUUCUGUGCAGCACUUAAUCUCUCCCCACGUCCAACACCUCCAGAGACACCAUUUCCAUUUGUAUUACCUCCAUUUGUCUUCAGUCGUUUCUUCUGUUCAAUUUUUUCACAGAGGUCUGUAUACUUUGCACGCAGCUGCUCCAAGUAAGCCUCUGGGUUUUCCCUACAUAAAAACAUGCNNNNNNNNNNNNNNNNNNNNNNNNNNNNNNNNNNNNNNNNNNNNNNNNNNNNNNNNNNNNNNNNNNNNNNNNNNNNNNNNNNNNNNNNNNNNNNNNNNNNNNNNNNNNNNNNNNNNNNNNNNNNNNNNNNNNNNNNNNNNNNNNNNNNNNNNNNNNNNNNNNNNNNNNNNNNNNNNCGCCAAGUAAGCCGCUGGGUUUCCCCUACAUAAAAACAUGCCAUAUUCAACAAUAAAUGAUAAUUUGUGCUAAAUCAUUAGCUCAUGGGUUUCAUGAAAAUAGAUCAUUCGUGACACAAAUUUGUUUCACAUAAAAGCAUGUUGUGCCCAGCUGUAGAUGCAUUCGAUAUUAUUUUCUAUCCUAACCACCUUUCAGCUUGUGAAUUGCAAAGGAAAAAGUUUCAAAUUAUACUUCAAGAAAGAACCAGAAGGCAAUAAGACAUACAAGCGUUUUGCUUCUUCUAGCUUAUUUUGCUUUUCUCGCUGUAAUUCUUCAUCGAUGCGCUUCUGUCUAGCUCGAUUCCGACCUUCUGAUGUUGUUUUGAGAAAUAAUUGCCUCUUCUUUUCCUUUAACUUUACAGCAUAACACAAACAUCAAACAGUUAGAUGUCACAGGUAUCAAGAAUUACUAGACUCUAGUACAUGCAUAAUGUAUCACAUUCACAUAAAUAAAUGCUUGUAUGCAUACAGCAUAUACAUAUAAUGAUACAAGUAUAUAUAUUAAAAAUGCCAAGGCACUGUCUUGGUUGAAAAGAGUGCAUAAUAUUAGCUAUAAUAUGGACUCAUACUGUUAAGAAGCUAGCCUUUCUACUUUAAGCAGCUGACCAGGGCCAGUAAAAACUUCUUUACCAACCCUUAACUAAUAAUAUUCAAAUACAUAAACUGCCUAUGUCUGGCAUUAGCCAAUGGCCCCGAGUUAUUUAUGCAUACCUGCUCAUGAGUUAGUAAGCUGUCGUCAACAUUGAGAAGAUUAUACUUUUCAGCAUUGGAAGUAUCUGCCUUCUCCUCAUUCUCAAUUUGCUCACCUUUGGCCUUUCGUAAAGAUUGUGUUGUUUUUACAAUUGCCGAUUCUAUUUCCUGUUUAGAGACAUAGCCGGUCGUAGAAAGGAAUGAUGGAAUGUCUUUCUCUCCAACAUGCUGAAGUUGCUGUAUAAGAAAUUCCAAGCCAUUCAAUUCAUUUUCUAAUUCAUUUAUCUUAGAAGAUCUCUUUGCCUCUGCCAUUUCACGCAACCUUUGCCCUUGCUUUUCCCUUAAAGCAGCUUUUCUAGAAAUUUCUUCUUCUGAUGGUGGCAGUUCAACUGGAGCCGGUGUCCAAGGGAGUUGCCAACACCUGGCUUUCUGUUCAGCUUCUUUUGUCCCUUUCUGCAUGAUAUUACAAGAACUUGAUGAAGUACAGGAAAUAAUAUAUAUAUUCAUAGAGAAACUUUAUAAAUAAAAAAAAAAAAACAAACCUGGAACAAUCCAACUUCUGAAGCAUAAUCCUGUGCAAUAUAACAGUGUUCCAUUUUCAAGUCUUCAACUUUUUCCCAUGAAAGCCUCGACCUUUUAGCAAGACUUUCACAAUUUAUAACCAAAACUAGGUUGCCAUGAAUAACGAGUUAGAAGUGUACAAUGUAAAAGAUUAACUCUUACAUAUGGUGAGGGUAUUUAAGUGAAAGAAGCUGCUUCAAGUAAUCAGUAACAUGGUAGCCACCAACAUUUGUCCGACAGCAUGCCUCAUAAACAGGCUCUCCAUUAACAAACUGAAUCCACAAUAACAAACACAACUGUCAUAAGUUCUUCACUUAAAAUUGAAGGUGAAGCUGUAAAAUCACACUGAUAGAUUUUCGUGUGUAACAUCCAUUCUAGGCAUCCAAAUGUUGAAACCAGGCAAGCAAAUAGAUUACCCACUUGUAGAUUAGAUGGCGGGGCUUCAGAGCGAACAAACAAACAAUUGUUUAGUGACUCACCUAGGACAGACAUUCAAGCUAACACAGAAUUUAGCCAGUAUACUUUGAUUUGGUUUUCAUAACAUUUGCUGAACAGUUCGUACUGUGUACAUAGUUGUGUGGUGCGAGACAAUGUGGGUUUAUCUAAUCUUCAAGAAAGUCGUCUCCAAAAACGAGUAGUAAAAGUUGAUCUUGGCAGUUCUCUUUCUUUCUCCCAGACUACAGGAUGUGAACAGUCUACUACAUGGAAAGGUUGUAAUUGGAACAUAGACUAGUUGAGCAUCACAUGGUGCAUCACUGCACCCACAAAGGCUAACAUGAAAUUCGAACGAACAAAGAGUGGCAUGUACUCCUAAUGAGAUAGCCAACUGCACACUAGCAGAGACAUUUACAAAAAGGGUACUCGCAUCCAAAUGCCCUGAAUCAUCGUGAGCAUCACUUUCGCAAUUGGAUCCCAAAUAAUUCUUGAAGCUAACUUUUUCAUAUUUAAGUAAUAUUAAGAAGGGGGAGGUUCCGGUAAAAACUUUUUAAAAAUGAAACUUGUAACAUUUUUGAACAUAUUGAACAUUUGCUAGAAAAACCAUUUUAACUAAAGAAUAAGACAACGGUAUUCUUUAAAUAAGUAAAAGUUUUGGGAAAAUUGGUAUAAAACAUUUGCUAGAUAAUAAAACUAGUGGCAUGGUUGUAAAUAGUUUGAUCUUCCGUGUAAGUUAGGUUCAGCACGUGUGAUUAAGAGUUAACAAAUAUAUGGUGGUUGACUUGGGUAUUUGAAUAUUUAACCUUGAAAUAACACGCGUAAUGCAAUAAACUAACUUCUUUUUUAAACCCUAUUUUUAAAACAGUGAACCCUAAAUGUUGGCAUUGAAAAUAAUUAUUUAAACUAAAACAUGCAAUAAAAGUAAAUUUUAAAACGUUCAUAAAUUUCUAAGCUUCUAUUUGACCCGUCCCCAUGUAUUACAUAUACAACAUUAGUGGUCCAAUAUAUCUAUAGUUCUUUCUAAAUUAGAUAAAUCCUCAAAAUAUAGAAAAAGGGGGAUGGAAUCAAGAGGGAUAAUACAUUCAACUAAGAAUCGAAUAUUUUACAACAUAUACAAUGCUGAUAUAUUGCCAAAUGCGGGAAUUAAAUGUAAAUGCAUAAAUUCUGAGAACAUCCAGGAUGAGCACAUGAGCUACAGUGAAAUGUGAGAACUGUCAAAACAUGACCCAGCAUUAACAAGUUGAUAGGCCAUGUCCCACACUUGCACUUCAACCAAGUGCCACAUACCAACACAUAACUAAGAGCAAAAGUAAUUUUGAAUCUCACCUAUGUACCUUUUGACAUUAUGUUGUAUAUCUAUUUCAAUGAGUACAAAACAAGUAGAAAGAAUUAGGAGAUGCUAGAAAUUUCAAAACACCAGUAUCAGUAGAGCUAAACUUCAAACUUAUAGUAAAUAUCAAGUGUAAGAAGGAUCUUUUGUCAGGGGGCUCUCCACCUCGUACUAAAGAUCCACAGAUAUAUUGAAGGUCUGAUAUAACGACUUCAACAAAAAAUAUAUUAAUACAUAUAUUAAUUAUCUGUAUACAAUAACACCACAUACUAACUUUAGCCUAUCAAUUUAGUAGCAUUUACAGAAGAAAAAAACAGAACCAUGAGCACAUAAUUUGGAAAGACUAGCCAAUAAAAGAGUAUGCUAACUUUAUAAACACUGGAUGGGAACGCAUACCGGGAUGACAUGACUUGUAGUAAAUCCUGAGCAGAUUGCAAGACCAUUUCUGUCACAUAUCCCGCGCUUUUGAUUAUAUUUGUAGCUAAAUGCAGCGGCCACACCAAAUGCUGUGAACUCCAAAGAAGGAACACGUUAAAAUAACUCGGUAAAACGAAAAAAUGUACAUUUCUAUCAAAUCAAAUAAAUAGUUUCAACAUUAGCAGCAAGCAAAAUAGAAACUGUGUGUCUACAAGACUACAGCCAUAAUAUCAAAUAUAUUGUUGAAGCAGAUACAAUAUCGAAUAUAAUUUUGAAGUCAAGUACCCCACAAAAACAUGCUAGAUGACACCAUCCACAAAAUAAAAAAUGAUUUAAAGAAUCGUGCGGGACUUCAAACCAUAAAGAUGCUAAGACAAUGUCAAAAUAAAAAGAGUCAGUGCUCAUACCCACUGAAGGAACCCCAUAUGUUUCGAAAAGAAGCUCGGCCAUUUUACUUCGGGAUUGGACUGGGUUGCAUGGACAUUCGGUAAUAAGCACAGGGUGAUCAAUCUGUCCUGCCAUCAAAUUAGAAGGAAGUGGUUUACAAAUGGGGUGAUACUAUUAAUCUAUGUCUUACAUUUUAAGGAUGCGAUUCCAGCUUCAUGCACUGAUAGAAUAGUCAGUAUUGAUCUUCGGCCUAAGGAUUUCAACUAUGAAACCAAAUGGGAGUCCAAAUAUACAUGCCAACACAAAAUUUUACAUAAUUAAACAAUAUUUUAAUUUUACACCAAUAACAGUUCAUUUAACUUGAUAUAAUUUUUGUCUUCUUUUUCAGAAAAUUCCUGUUCUUUAACAAAAUACGACUAAACUUACCUCAGAUCCAUCUGCACCCAAUCUAUCAAAAGCGAAGUCAAGAAUCUACAGCAAGCAAAACAAAUCAGUGAGGUAGUAAAAUAAAAAUAAUUAUAUAAAAAUCAUGGCACACUUCUUUUAUUGAUUUAUAUGGCACACUUCUUUUAUUGAUUUAUAUGAUCAUCACUAGCUGAAGUAAACAAUUAACCAUCUGGUAAUUUAAGUACUAAAAUUUCUUUUCUGGUUGGUAACUGUAAGUUGGCUAAGCCCUAUUACAAAAUAGAAUUUAAGAGAAAUAUUUGAGGAUAUUUUUUCGAAAAGUUGAUAAUGAAGGACCCAGAAUGGAAGUUUUGAGCUUUAGAAGCAGUUUAAAUUUACAGUAUUUAGUAUUGAGAUAUUAGGAGUGAUCAUAGUUUGUUUUGGUCAUAUAGGGGGUCACACUGAAGCCAUACCAAAAGAUAAAGGUUUCUAAUAAACCCACCUCAGCCGCCCCAACCCAACCAGACUGAAACAGGUAGUUGGUACUCGGUUUCAGUCAAUCGGGCUCAGUGGAUCGAUCAUUUUAACCCCACUUGAACACAUUUAGGGCCUACUAUCCAAGUUAUAAUAGAGUGCAUGGCAGCAAGGGCAUCAACGAUUUUGUUUCUAUUUGUACACUUUAUAAAUAAAAUAGAGUGCAACAAGGGUAUGAAUAAAUUUGGGGAACUACGUGUAAAAAUAUAGUCUUACAAACAUGAUAUUGAAAUUAAAAGUUUUAUACCAUUUCUAGCUACCAGUAUUAAUUAUUUAAUCCGGGGGACCUACAUGUAAGAACAUAGCUACCACUAUCCAAUAUCCAUGCGAGAGAACUUGACCCUGUACUUUGUUUCUUGGAGAUUAAUAUUAUUAGGGAUUCAGGCUAAAGUUAAUUUUCUUUAUUUAUCAUAUUAAAUAUCAUUCUCAGAUUGUAUAAUGCUAUGAUGCAAUUAUGUUUUAACUUUUGAUCAUACUAGAACUAGAACUUCUGUAUUCGGCUAACAAAAUAUCUUUCUAUAUAUUAAGAGUGCAUGCAGAUAAGUGACGAUACCUAAUGGCAAUAGAUGUCGAACCCGUGUUCAUAACCCUUUUCGAACUUCUUACUAAUCUCUUUUGUCGGAGAUAGAUAAUCAAACAGGAGAAAGGAAAGCUGAAGUGCAAGAUGUACAAAGGUUGAUAAGAGUAGAAGGAUGACAACAAUCAUGAAAUUGUAUCUCUAAAGAAAGAACUGGAAUUAACUAGGAGAAAAAAUGAGCAGCUCGAAUUAAAAUUUGAAACAACAGCAAAGGGGGGUCAUGAAAUAUAAUCUUUGGGGGAGAGUAAGAAAACGCUAAAAAAAUAAUGAUCAGCUCCACGCCUCCACUCACAAAUGGAUCCUAUGAAAUCACUUGGCUAAAGCAAGACCUAUAAACAAUUUGGAGUAAUCAUGAGCAUUGAUGCUUGCAAAUGCAGACAGACGCCAAAUGGGUUCAACAAUAUAUAAAGGAAGUUGCGGAAUACUUGAAAGAAUCAAGAAACAAAAUUAAGGAGCUGAAGACCUUUAUAGUCUAAACACUGAGAGACUAACUAGAUGAUGAAUGUUAUAAGUUAUAACUUAGUUUUAGCCUGUUGGGGUUUGUACAAGUACAAUAAGAAAUUAAGUUGAGGCACUAAAGCAUAAAGAUUCACUACGAAAUAGCAGUGAAGUACCAUAUAUUGACAAUUUAGUUAAAAACUUAAUUUAGUUGGACUGAUUCUAGAAUUAAUAUUUUAGGCUGAAAUAGAACAUGCAAUAGUAUAGAGUCUAUAGACUUAAAAGGAGUAGAUUAUAAUAGACGCACCCAAACAAUAAACAUAUACAAAAAACAGAUAUGGACUGUUAAAGCAGCUCUAUUUUACAGUGAAAUCUCAAUAAUUUACCUACUGCUAGUAAUCUAUAUAAGAAAUAUCCAAUCUUACAUAUUCCAUGAUUUCAAAUUGAAACACAACAUCAGCAUCGAAUGCUGAACGAGGUCCCGACCGGGUACAGUCAAAGUAUUUCAACAGUGCCGGAUCAUGGUCACCAACUAUUGUUACCGUUUCCCCUGCAUUGAAAAUAUUAAUUUUAAAACAUUACGGAUUGCAAAGUCGUAUUAGUUUCAAAAGUAUCUGAUCUUAUGCAAUCAUAAAAAUAAUAUUUGUGAAAUACAUAUGUGAUGGUGAUACAUAAGCAAGAAAGUCCAUGCAGGAUAAACUAUAUUGUUUAAGAUUUGGAUUUUGGAGACCUGAUGUUUAAGUGAGGAUUCAAAAAAACCUACGAUUAUCUCCUGUCUUUUGUGUGGUUGCGUAUUAAGAUCCACGGGAUACUGCAUCAAAGCUAGUAUCAAAUCAAAAAAUGUUUCAGAUAUAUUAUUAUCAGAAUUAUUGUUUUAUGAAAGGCAGAUCGAUCACCCAAAAUUAACUCCUACAGUCAAACAUUCAUUCGAUUAUGUUCAAUGCCAUUACCACUAGUAAAUGUGAUAAUAACAUAACGUUCUCCAACCCUGGCCAAAGAAAUUUCCAGUCAACUUAAAAUAUCAACUACCAUUUAUCAUCAAGUCCUGCCUACAGUAGCCAAAAACCUAGAAUCCAUGCAACAUCAGUCCAACAUACACUACCAAACAACCCAGAAUCAUGCUAAUUGACAAGAGAAAGGCUAAAGGGGCUCAAAUUGGGAAUGAAAAGGGCAAAACAGAUUAAUUGACUAGGAAGCUGUAUGUUUACAACUUCCCGAGCCUUCCUAAUAUCAGCUAAACAAUAUAGUUGUAAUUUAUAUCAUCUUUAUAGAAAAAUACAAAGUCAUCUUCUAGUGUUCUAUCGUCACAAAAAAAUCUAAUAAACCGACAAUCAUUGCUCAAUAGCCACCAACAUAAGCCAACGCUUCAUCAACAAAUACUUAAAUUCAUGUUAAAAGUAUUUUAUCUUUAACAAAUAACUACGCAAAAUCAAUCAGCAAGCUACUUCACCAGAGGAGAAAAGAACCAUAAAAAAACCAAACAAUUCCUAACUUCAUCAGCUUCUCUGAAUUCAACAAAUUUAAAAAGGUUGCACACACUUCUCUAUUUCAAUUUACAUGGUGAGGCCCAUUAUGGUUCAUUUCUAAAUUUACUCUAGACCCCUAGUUUUUAUAUUCCCACAUUAUCUCGCUUUCUAAUAUCUAGAACCAAGCUGGGUGAAGCACGAAAAUACCCUAAAUUAUAAUUCUUUUAUAAUGUAGCGUUUGUUAUUACAUAUAUCAUCAAAAAAUCACAACACAGUGAAGCAAUGAAGUAAACAUUUUGGACACGCUUUGACCCAACAAGCUGAGAUGUUUAGCGAGAUGUUUCCACGAGCAAGGUAAAAUUAGUAUAUACAUUACUGAUGAAAAUAGCUAAACUUAUAAUUGAAAGCUAAAAUCACAAACACACACUUGAAAUUCUUCAAUUUCCGAAACAAUUGUGAUUUAACUAGAAUUUAAAAAAUAGAAAUGUUGAGAAAAAGGUAAUAACAAAUUCAAAGCGUACCAGUGGUUUUGUGACGAGGUCUUUGAACAAUGUUUCUGAAAAUAAUGCGAGGCUCACUCUCUCCAGCCCAUCUGAUUUACAAUAUUCAUAACAAUCAGAUUAGUAUAUGCUAUAGUACAUAAAAUUAGGGUGGAGAGAGAGGGAGGGGAGAUAGACAAGGAGGGGGAGAGAGAGGGGGGAGGGAGGGAGGGGGAGAGAGAGAACCCAAUUCGGAAAUAGGAGGCGCCAUUAUCGAUGACGAUUGGGACGGAGGGAGGGAAGCGAUGGUAAUCAGAUUGUCUUUGGAUUUGAGAAAUGAAUGGCAUCUUUUGUAACCCUAUACCCUCAAGAUGAAUGAGGAUUUCUUCUAGUCCAGCACUCCAGCUCUUGCUGUUAGUGGUGUUGUAUCAUGUAUGCAGAAUUUAACAGGGACGAAAUAACGUGAAAAGUUCCGCAGCUAAUGUAUAAAAUAUUUGAUUUGUGAUUGUGAAAAAUUCAUUUAUUAACACAUCAUAAUCCGGUAUAUUAGUUUUCAGAAGAAAACGUUCUUGCCUUUGGAUCUGAAAUUAAGUACUCCUCCAUCUCAAAUUAGAUGACGCGGUUGAUUUUGGCCACACAGUUUAAGGUUCAUUGACCGCAUGACUUAUUUUUGAAAUUUUAUUUUUGCAAAUAAAUAUUUAAAUAUGAAAUUCUUAUUUACAAAAGAAAAAAUAAAAUAAUAAAUUUCAAAAGUAGACGGUCAAUGCACCUAAAAUUACGUGCCCAGAGUCAACGGGGUCAUCUAAUUUGAGAUGGAGGUAGUAUAAAUUUAGUAAAAGUCAAAACACACAGAGCAUGUGCUAAAACCCUACACUCUCUCCGCAGCCGCUUCUUUUUCUUUCUUUGGUUCACUGCCACAGGGGCUUUCAUCGAAUUUCUACGGGUGAAAAGCCCCAAACAGUAUUUAUUUUUUUAUUUUCUCUCUUCUUUUAAUAAAUUUUAUGAUUUCUUAUUAGGUAAAAUUCAUCCAAUUUUUCUUAAACUUUGGCAUUAGUUUAUUUUUUGGAUCUAAGGAUUCAGAGCCUUUUCCGAUUUGACCUUUUUUUUCUUAGAUCUCAAUUUCACGGAAUUGCGGAUUUCUUGUUCUUCUAGAUGAUUUAAUUCUAUAAAAUGGUCCGAGUUAUUCUGUUUUGGUUUAGUUAGUAUUUUAUUUAAGUAUUUGCAGAUCUAAAGUUGCUAGUUUAUCACGUUUAGUUCGUGUUUGAUCUUAGUUUUUUAUGUUGUCUCACCGUUUGUGUGAAUUUUGUUAUUUUCUCACCAUUUGUGUGAGUAUGAUGCUUGAUUUAGUAAUGAAAGUUGUUAGGGGAUUACAUUCUCAGCCGAUAGCUCAAACUGGUUGUGGCGGAAGCGAAUGUGGUGAAGUAUGUGUACAUAUCAUCUUCAACAAAUCACGUGAUUUUAUCUCCAAGAAGAAUGGAUUAAUCAGUGAUUGUUUCUGUGUUUUGUUUGUUCGACGCGACUGUUUAUGUAGAUGCCGUAUGGUUUUUUAUUAUUGAAUUAACUCAUUUAUCAAAAAAAAAUAUAAAUUUAGAGGGUGUAUGGUAAUAGAGCCCAAUUCCCUGAAGAAUUCACAUGGUUGUGGGCUUAAAAACGCAGAAGCUCAUUUUUUUCCCCUUAUUUGACAAAUGAUUUGAAACACUUAACUUAAAUAAAAAUAAAAAUCGAGGAAAAAAGAUGAAACCCAACUUUCUUUUAGACUCCACUACAGCUUCUUUCUAAAGAAAAUAACCGUUGUAAUGAUUAAUUUACCCAUUCAAAGCAAUUUACGCGAAGGACUCUCUUUAACAUAAUAUAUUAUUUCUUGCUACGGAGCCCGGAAGAGAGUUGUGGAGCGAUGUUAUUCCCCACCUCUCUUAUCUCAUAGCUGUUUUUUAAUUAACAAAUCACUUGUGAAAAUCGAUAACAAAAAAAAGAUGAGGUCGAAGGUGAUACUAAUAAUAACAAGAAAAGGAAUGUUGAAAGUCAUCUUAGAUUUCAAGAUUUUACUAAUGUGAAGUGUUUGAUUCAAUUCUGAAAAAAAAAUUACGAGGUUACAAUAAGAAUUUCCGGAUCCAAGUAUUGUACCUAGCUCAAAUUUUUUUUUCAUUGAGUUUGUGAAAAUAUAAGAAGCAAUUGUUGAGUUGUCCUUAAGUGAUGAUUUUUUGACAAAAGGGAUGGUUACAGGAAUGAAAGAAAAACAUGACAAGUAUUGGGAUAACAUGGAUAAUACUAAUUCUUGUUAUAUGUUUCGAUAGUUUUGGAUCCAAGGUAUAAAAUGCAUUAUGUGAGGUUGUGUUUUGGUAAUUUAUAUGAAAGUGAGUCUUCUAAAUUUUUUUCAAUGUGUGAAAGAAUCAUAAAGUACUUAAAAAUUUAUUUGAUUAUUAUAAAGUUUAAUACGGGGUUGAAAAACCUUCUACUACAAGUGCAAAUAUAACUGUUGGAAUUAGCAAGAAUGUUGAAUUUAGAAAGUGCAUGGAGGAGGAAGUUCAAGGAGAAAGUAUAUUAAAAUUAAAAUUGUGUUUGGAAACUUAUAUUUCAAUUCAAAUUUUAAAUUUUAAAUGAUGAAUUGAGUUAUCAUUUCAAAUACUCAACUAUAUCAAUUAUUUAAAUAUAUUGAAUUUUAAAUAAAAUUCAAAUCCAACUUUUUUUUUAUUUGAACAUGUAAUUUGAUCAAAUCUUAGUUUUCAAAUGAAAUAUAACUUUCUAUGCAUGUCAUAAAUUUUUUCGCAAUCUUUCUUGCUACAAACACAAUACGGUUUAAAUCAAAAGAACUCAAUGUACUUGUUUAAAGGAAUCAAUGACAAUGAUCACAGGCCCAGCUCCAAAGUUUCGAGUCAUCAAAAUAAUGACAAAGAUGUCUUUUUUCUAAACGACGCACUCAACCCAUCUCAUCCACGUUAAUAAUCAAACAAAACUAAUGACCCACCAUUCGAGUAAGCCCACCACGAAGCGAAGAAUCCGACUAAAGCCCAUGUUAUUAUCAUCAUUAUUAAAUCCCCUCACACUCAGAAUUUCAAAUGGUUCACAUUUUGAAGCAGAGCCUAUUUCAACUUUCCCGCCCACAUUUGUUCCUCCACCUCAGCAAAAUAAAUCCACGUAGGAUCAGUGGCGGAAGCAGGAUUUAAAUAUAAGAAAUCGUCUUAUAAAUUAUAAUCCAACAAAAGGAACUUAAUACAUAAAUCAAUACAAAAUUUAUACAGUAAGACUUAGGCAAUUGUUUUGUUCGUGGUGUCACUGGUGUGUAAUAGUGCUGAUGGGCUUUGUCUUUAAAGAGGGGGCAAAUAGAAAAUUUAAGAAAUUUUAAAGAUUAAAAAAGGAAAAACUAGUGGUCAAGGGUGGGCAUUUGACCCCCCAGCCACUACUCUCCCUCCGCCACUACUAUGCUCCAAAAGCUUCCCCCAUACGAUUACCCUACAAGUCAAAUUAGGAGCUUCCCGAAGAAGCCUAAUUACACUGACAAGUAAUCCAAUACAACCUAUAAAUACGCAUACAAAAUAAUACAAAGUACAAAACACUACUAACAUUAAAUAUUUUUUCGAGUCGUGUUCGUAUAUUUGUCGUUGUCAUGGAAAUGGAGCAGGGCGGGAACUGCUGUUACAUGGAAAAUAACGGUGGCUACAAAACACCGAAGCGCAGUGGCAAGUACGAGAUUCCUGCAGCCACGGAGUGCCCCAAGGCGCCCAGGAAGAAAGCAGGAGGAAUUUAUGGAAAGCAGAAGAGAGUUAAAGAGCCAAAGAAUGGGUAUUUUCAAACACCCGAGCUUGAACAAUUUUUCGCAACUGCAUACAUAAAGCAAAGUAGUUAUGUAAUAGCUAAUAUGUAAUUAAUCUAGGUAUCUCUUUUUUGCAUAUUACAAAUCCUAUUAUGUAAGGCUAAUCUGUAAGAAAUUUUGCGUGAAUGUAAAUGUAUGUACUGUAUUAUAGUAAGUUCUGCUUCUCGACAUGCUAAUGGGUUUCAAUAUUAUUUUUUUGCCAAUUUUUUACAAGACAGAUUGGAAAGAUCAAUAUCAAAUAUUCGUAAAGAAAUUAGGCUCAAACUGGAAUUCAGAAGCAUAGUUCAUGAAGCUUAAAAUAAUUCGAUAGAAUUGCAUUCCAUGUGUUAAUAACUGUUCGAUUAAGUCAGUAUGGUUUGUACUCCCUCCGUCCCUCCCAUUUCUUAUCGUUUGGGUUGGGGAAAUAUGUAUAAAGUAGUGGAAAAAAGAAAGAAAAGUGGGUGAAGUGGUGGGACCCAUGUAUAAAAAGAAGAUAGUUGAGUAAAAGUAGUGUGAAAAGGAAAUAAAAGUGAAGAAGUAGUGGGACCCUUGACUAUUUUGGGUAAGUUUUGAAAUGCAAAAAAUUGGAUGGGACAUCAAAAAAAUGUAAAGAAAUAGGAGGGACGGAGAGAGUAUUAAUUAAUAGGGUCCUGUUCCACAUCAACCACGUGUUAGAUAAGGGUUAUCUAACACACUGUACGGGGGCCAUUGGAUUUAUAUUUCAAGGGCUCAGAUCCAAUUUUGGGUUUUUAAUGUAUCCGCGGUUAUUUUCCGCGGAAGGGAAAACUCCCUAUCCGCGGUUAUUUACCGCGGAAGGGAGUUUUCCCUAUCCGCGGUUUUUUAUAGCGGAUACAUUAAAAUCUCAGAUUGGAUCUGAGCCUUUGAAAUAUAGAUCUAACGGCCCCCGUACAGUGUGUUAGAUAACCCUUAUUUAACACGCGGUUGUCAAGGAACAGAACCCUAAUUAAUAAAUGGACACACUUAGGCGUGCAAUUUAUUUUUAACAAGAUUCGAAUUCUAGAUAGUCUAAGAUAUUUAUAAACCAGUAACGGAAGAGUUCUAUGAAUUUAUCUACUCAAAUACCUCUGGUGAACUAGUAAGAUUCGGCUAAGGGCUUCAAACCCACAUGCUGAACAGGCCUGCAUAUUUUCUUAUUAAAAUCAGGCCGGUGAAAAAACAGCCUAGUCAUUGCUAGCCCAAGCCUGCAUGAACGAGUCCAUUAAUCUUUAAUUUUCUGCUUUCGUAAAAAAAAAAAAAGAACAGAGAACAGAUGCUCCACAAGCAGCAUAACCGAAUUAACCAAAACAUUCUUAAUGUUUAGCAUUACAGCACAGAUUAAUUACAGUACCUUAAAUAGGCUUAAACUAAAGAUCAAGAGGUAGACAUAACUAAAAAGCAAAAGUUCGCAUGUACAGCAGCUUAAAAGAAACAUGGGAAACAAAAACGAUGAGCAGUGCCAGGAAGGACAAUGAAUUACUGUAGUAUGUUUCUAAAUGGAGUAAGCCUAGGCUGUGUGUGUUUCCACUUUGCGCACUAGCUCUGCUGAUUAUCUCGGCGAGAUUCAUGGGCUGUGUUUUUCGAUUUAUCAUUUCAGCUAUCCUACCUAAUAUAGCCACCACUCGGUGUGUUUUUCGAUUUAUAUUCGUCCUGCAAAAAGAACAUUCACGGUUGGCCCCUUCUUUGAGGGGAACUAGCAAUAUACACGAGUCCGAGAUCUAUUGGGCUGAAACUUCAACUUGUUUUGGUAAAAAAAUAGAGCUCACAAAUAAUAAAACAUUUAUCGUUCUGAGAAGGUUAGUCGGGCCGCGGACCAGCCUUGAUUUUGGUUAUCUUGCGGGGAUAAAACAUUAAUGUGUUGAUGAUCAUGUCCGAAUAGUCUAGUGGUUCAGUAACAAUUUUUUUAUUUAUUUGACUUUUUAAUGAUAUAAUUAUUAAGUUUUGAUCAAAUAUUACACAUAAAUAUAAAUAGAGAUAUAAUAAAAUUUGUAUCAAUUUAAAAUACAUUUUAUCUAUCUUAAUAUGUAUUUUUCAAAUCUUGUAAAUUAUAAAGGGCUUUUUUUAUUCAUAACCACGUUUUCAAUCUUAUUUCCAAAAAUACUACCUUAUCCAAUCUUAUUUUCAAAAAUACUACCUUCUCUAAAAUAUUUUCAAAAAUACUAUGGUUGCAUAUGCAACUAUAUAUGCAACUACAAAUCCUGAUUUCAAGUUUCAGAUUUCAAAUGUCAUUUUCGACCUCAUCGUUGGAUUCGAGAUAUAUAUAUAUAUAUAUCUCGAAUCCAACGAUGAGGUCGAAAAUGACAUUUGAAAUCUGAAACUUGAAAUCAGGAUUUUGUAGUUGCAUAUAUGGUUGCAUAUGAGGUUGUAUUCAGUUGAUUCUAUUGAAUCUAAUGGCCCCGCNNNNNNNNNNNNNNNNNNNNNNNNNNNNNNNNNNNNNNNNNNNNNNNNNNNNNNNNNNNNNNNNNNNNNNNNNNNNNNNNNNNNNNNNNNNNNNNNNNNNNNNNNNNNNNNNNNNNNNNNNNNNNNNNNNNNNNNNNNNNNNNNNNNNNNNNNNNNNNNNNNNNNNNNNNNNNNNNNNNNNNNNNNNNNNNNNNNNNNNNNNNNNNNNNNNNNNNNNNNNNNNNNNNNNNNNNNNNNNNNNNNNNNNNNNNNNNNNNNNNNNNNNNNNNNNNNNNNNNNNNNNNNNNNNNNNNNNNNNNNNNNNNNNNNNNNNNNNNNNNNNNNNNNNNNNNNNNNNNNNNNNNNNNNNNNNNNNNNNNNNNNNNNNNNNNNNNNNNNNNNNNNNNNNNNNNNNNNNNNNNNNNNNNNNNNNNNNNNNNNNNNNNNNNNNNNNNNNNNNNNNNNNNNNNNNNNNNNNNNNNNNNNNNNNNNNNNNNNNNNNNNNNNNNNNNNNNNNNNNNNNNNNNNNNNNNNNNNNNNNNNNNNNNNNNNNNNNNNNNNNNNNNNNNNNNNNNNNNNNNNNNNNNNNNNNNNNNNNNNNNNNNNNNNNNNNNNNNNNNNNNNNNNNNNNNNNNNNNNNNNNNNNNNNNNNNNNNNNNNNNNNNNNNNNNNNNNNNNNNNNNNNNNNNNNNNNNNNNNNNNNNNNNNNNNNNNNNNNNNNNNNNNNNNNNNNNNNNNNNNNNNNNNNNNNNNNNNNNNNNNNNNNNNNNNNNNNNNNNNNNNNNNNNNNNNNNNNNNNNNNNNNNNNNNNNNNNNNNNNNNNNNNNNNNNNNNNNNNNNNNNNNNNNNNNNNNNNNNNNNNNNNNNNNNNNNNNNNNNNNNNNNNNNNNNNNNNNNNNNNNNNNNNNNNNNNNNNNNNNNNNNNNNNNNNNNNNNNNNNNNNNNNNNNNNNNNNNNNNNNNNNNNNNNAUAUAUAUAUAUGGAUUCCAAAUAUGAGGUCGAAAAUGACAUUUGAAAACUGAAACUUGAAAUCAGGAUUUGUAGUUGCAUAUAUGGUUGCAUAUGCAACCACCGUAUUUUUGGAAAAUAUUUUCAAAAAGGUAGUAUUUUUGAAAAUAUUUUAGAGAUUUGAAAAUAAGAUUGGAUAAGGUAGUAUUUUUGAAAAUAAGAUUGAAAAAACAAUAUACAAGAUAAUUCCCCAAUUAUAAAAGGAUAAAUAAUAAAUGUAGGUCAAAAUCCGGUCUAUUUAAUCAAAAAAAAAUUAGAUAAGAGAAAAGAUUUGAAACGGAGGGAGUGCGUCUUGAUACCCGUGGGGAUUAUGAUGUCCUAGACGAAAUUUAGAAAUGAUGCCCCUAUCUUUCAAUAUCACAAAGGAAAAUAUUACACAUUCAAAUUAAAUCAAUAUACAAUAUACAAAAUAUAGUGAGAGAAUCUUGUUCUUUUCCAAAUCGAGUUCUUGAUAGGAGAGAUGUUCCUAUUGAAUAGUUUUUGAAUAUUUUGCGUGCUGAUUCAGCUAGUUAAUAAAACAACUUAUGCGUCGGGAAAAAAAUAUACAAUAUACAAUGAUAUAAUAAAAAAAAUAUUGUUUUAAAAUUAACAACACAAUCAAAUCAAAUACAUAAUUUUAUUAUUAUAUAUUACAUACGCAUAAAGUUUUUAGCAUCCUGAUGUAGUGAUGCUCUUGACGCUCGUCUUGAUCGCCUUAUCAAGAACCGGCCGUGAUUUCGACUCCGACUCACAAACAAAUAUCUCAAGCCUGGUUUAUUUAUUUUGAGUAUGGAACGUGCAAACAGCGCAUAAUAUUACUGAGAUGUACUUAUACAAUAUAUAUCGGAUUCUCAUUUGGACCACAGCCUUGUUUGAUGCCCGAGAACAUAAACAUAUUUAGAUGAGAACUCGAUGAAACCAUGGUUACAUUGGAGAUGACAUGAAAGCUAAAUAAUUCUGAGUUGCACCACAGAGUCUCGACGAACCGUUGUAUGAAACGUUUUCGAAUGCCGGUAGAAUAGUUGUGAUGUGAAGCCUCAAAAUUGAAGAAAGUAAUAAUGUGACAAUAUAGAAGUGACUCAAUAGGACGGCUCCUGCCGGUACAACUGGAGACAUAUAAUUAGUACAUAGUGGAAGCAUAUACAAUCAAGUCACAGCUGGUUUGGGUUCCAUGAGGACAAACCAAAACCGAGGUGCUUGUCCUUGAUACAAAAAGCAGCAGAUACACUAGCCAUUUGUAGCCCCCACUAGCUCGCCGACGACCCUAGACAUCUACUCAGUCACUUCGUAUCCUUAAUCGUAUUGUCUUUCUUAAGGUGACCAGACCCCAGCUUAUUGCUAAGCUAGAAGAGCCUAGAGGUGCAGAACAGAAGCGAUCAGAUGAAGAUUUUAAUACAGGUUCUCAAUUAUAUUCACUGCAAUUUAGUACUCCCUCUUCCCUCCCAUUUCUUAUCAAAUGGGUUGGGCACGGAGGUUAAGAAAUAUGUAUAAAAGUAGUGGAAAAGAGAAAGAAAAAUGGGUGAAGUGGUGGGACCCAUUGAUUUUUAAUGUAUAAAAAGCAGAUAGAGGAGUAAAAGUAGUGUGAAAAAAGAAGAAAAGUGGAGAAGUGAUGGGACCCAUUGAUUAUUUUUGGUAAGUUUUGAAAUGUAAAGAAUUGGAUGGGACACCUAAAAAGGAAAGUGUAAAGAAUUAGGUGGGACGGAGGGAGCACUCCUUAUACAUAUGGGGAGUGAGACGGAUAUUAAGAAAAAGUGUAAUUUAGUGAAGAAAAGUAAGAAAAGUGGGUGAAGUGGUGGGAUCCAUUAAUAUUUAAUGUGUAAAAGGAGUGUAGUGUGAGCAAAAUGAUGGGACCUACUAAUAUUUAAUGUAUAAAGUGGGUGUAGUGGAAUAAGGCGGUGGGUGUAGUUAAGUUUUUUAUAUUAUAAAAAUUUACUACUUUUGUUAUGUAUACAAUUGAUUGGACGUUCAAAAAAAAAUUAUAUACAAUCUAUUGAGACCGAAGAAGCAAGACAACAAGAAUAUUGCUCUUCGAAAUGUGCUCCAAAUCCAAAUUUAUUGAGCCUAGAAAUACUGUUUCGAUAUGCCAAACCCGAACCCGACAUCAUUCGAGGGAACGCACCGGCUCUCAAAGAAUAAGAUGUACUACUUCCCUUCCUUUCGAUUCUUAAAUCAUUUUCAUUUUGAAAUACUUCAUUGGAUUCUCUAUAUUUCAAAAUAUUAUAAUGUUAGUAAUUUGAAAAAUCAAAUGGAUCUAUUGUUUUCCACAAUCUAUGUAGCAUCUUCUAUAAAUGUUUUGAACUUCUAUAACCUGAAAUUAGUACUCAGUUUCCUGGAGAUUCUUUAAAAGUCAUGACUCCUUUUUCUAUUCUCUUCUAAAAAUUAUUUAGAUCCUUUUAACUUAUUACUCGUCUGUUUGGAUAUAUUAGUCUCCUUGACUUUUUUGCACACAACUUUAAAGGUUUUGACCGCACAUCUAAAAUUAUGUAUUAUAAUUUUAUUUGCAAUAUUUUCCCUUACGAAGAGUAGCGUUAGAAUUUUUACAUUGUUCCAUGUCUCAUAUUAUACCAGGAGUCAUAUAUUUUACUAAUUUUUAAAAUAUAAUACACUACACGUGCUCCGAUUAAUUUCCCUUAAAUAUUGAUGAUUCACGUAAAGACCAUUUGACUUAAUUUCCAAAAGGUGCUUACAUAGUUUUAUAAAUGAGAAGUUAGUUAUGAGUGAAAGGUAACUUUUAAUUUAUAUGUUUAGAUAAUUUUUUUGAUAUUUAAAAACUUAUAAGGUAUAAAAAUUAUUAAUAUAAUAAUAAAUUAUCUUACACUUUCUUAUAAAACGGUAUUCUACAAUUUUGUAAAAUGAAAAUAAAAUAACUAGCUAAAAAUAGUUAGGAUUUUUUAAUAUCUCAGAUUCUGAUUUAUAAGUCAGAAAUUACCCUAUCAUUAUUUAUACAAACAAUACGUGACAUAUAAAUCCAAAAAUUAGGUUUAAAAGCCCAACCAAACAUCCCAUAAUUAACAUCUCUUUCUUAUUCAAUCCUCGAUCGUGGCUUAACCUUGCCCAAUCCAAUUAAAAUACUCAGAAAGUACGGGAAAGUAACAGAUAAGUGGAGUUCCAAACUCCUAAACCCAGCCUCUGCAAACAAAUUACAUAAGAUGAUUCCCUUUCACAUGACAAGAACACCUGUAAGUUAAAGAUAAAGUGUUUUAUUACUCAUCUCCCUCAAAAAAGUCGUCAGUUAGGGUCACGGCCUUUAUAAAAUCGAGUACGAAAAACACAGUCGAUGUGACUCCAUCUUCCAUGUAUGCAAAAGCAAAAACUGAAUAGCAAUUGACCUUAAAUAGAACAGUGUUUCAACUUGUUUAUGUGAGUAAUGAGUAGCUAGCUAAGAUCACCUCGUUCGUAAAAUUACAAGGAAAGAUAACUAAGUAGUUUCUUUUGCAUUGAGGGAGUGAAACUGGAUGUCAUUAUAUUCUUCGAAUCUCCGUAGCGAAUAGUGAAGAUGACGAUGAUGCAGGUCAAUCACCUUUUAUGUUAAUCUUAUCUUUUCUUCUCAUGUAAAAAGAGAGAAAGAUUCCAAAAGCAGCAAAAGGAGGGACUUAGCAACGUGGGAUGUGACACACCAUUUAAAUAUUCAUGUCCACAAUGAAACCAUUUCUAUAGAUCAAUUUAUUUUCUGUCGGAAAUAAUUUAUUUAUGAUAUAUUGGAGGGUAAUAUAACACUGUAUUCGAAACCCGGCUUCAAGAUUUAUAAUUAGAAAUACUUAUUUGUACCGUUUGUGUAAAAAGUCAAGAAGUAUUUAAAAGAAUUUAGGAUUACUAGUUUUGUUUCGGGACUUCUACUUCUUUCCCAAACAGUUUAAUCACUUAUAUUGUUUCUGACUUCUAUUUCGCUUAUUUACUUUAAGCAAGAAACACUUAUUUUAAAUUCACUCAAACGGCUCGCUUAUUUACUUUAAGCAAGAAACACUUAUUUUAAAUUCACUCAAACGGCCUCAUAAACGAUACUCAGUUAAUAAUGUACACUCCUUAAAAUACUUCUUAUUGGGCCAGCUAAGCGAGCCUUAACUCCACAAUAGUACGAUAUUGUCCGCUUUGGGCCUAGCCCGCAUGACUUUGCUUUUGGGCACCUCCCAAAAGGCCUCGUACUAUUGGAGUUGUUCUGACUGCUUAUAUUCUAGUUUUCUGCCCCUCCCACAACCGAUGUGGGACAACUUCUAACAAUCUCCCCCUUCACACAUCGGUCUCGACACCUGUCAAAUUCUGCCUCCUAACGUGUGAUCGGGCUCCCCCUUCCUUCACACAUCGGGCUCGACACAUGUCGAAUUCUGCCUCCUAACGUGUGAUCGGGCUCCCCCUUAAACCCAUACUGGAAGUCCGUCUGGCUAUCUGACUCCCCCUAGGCCCAAACUGGAAGGCCCACCUGCCUUAUCCUUAAGCCCGUCCGGGGGGUCAUCUGCCUCUUCCUAGGCCCUUUUAUGGAGCCCACUUGAGAUUGUUACAGGCCGUUUCAACCUCGCUCUGAUACCACUUGUUGGGCCAGCUAAGCGAGCCUUAACUCCUCCCAAAAGGUCUCGUACUAUUGGGGUUGUUCUGACUGCUUAUAUUCUAGUUUUCUGCCCCUCCCAAAACCGAUGCGGGACAACUCCUAACACUUAAGACUUGGUCCAUUAAUAUAAUGUAUGGGUCGUUUGGUUGGGUGGUAUGAGGAAUCAGGUAUGGGUAUGAAGUCAGCCAAACUCAUAUCUAGUGUUUGGUUGAAUUUUUUUUGUCUUCAUACCCAUACCUGAAACCCCCAAGAUCAUGACUUUUGAAACCCAAGUGGAGGGGUGGGUAUGAGAUGCUGGUAUGGGUAUCAGUAUUAAAAUUCUUUUCUUAUAUUUUGAAAAAAUAUUAAUAAUAAUAAUAAAAAAAUUUAUAUGUACAAAUAAGUGUUAUUGAUAAUAACAAAAAUAUUUAUAAUUUUUUAUUUAAUAAAUAAUUUAAUUUAAUCAAUAACAUGAUAAUAUAUUAAAUUAAAUAGAUUCAUUUCAACACUCAACCAAACACAAGAUAUCAAGAAUGAUACCUUAACCCCAUACCAUAUUUAAUUCCAACCCGAUACCGCUCUACGAACCAAAUGACCCCUUAAUACAUCGAAACACACCCUAUUACAUGUUGAGUGAAUUUACACAAGCAUUAUAUAAUCGUGUUUUAAUCGAUUAUAUUAGACAAUUAUUUUAGAAAUAAUAUCAAAAAUAAUUCAUAUGAAUAUUUAAGAUUUAAUUUUCACUAAUAAUAUAUAAAUAAUACUUAAUUUAGGGAAUUCAGGCAACUCCAAGCAUAGAGAACUGUACCACAGAGUAUCUUCUCGAUAAAGGUAUCAAUAUAUAUAUAAAGCAGGAUGCGAGCGUCUCUAGAAUUGCUCGAUUCAGUCUUCUAAUUUUUCUUAAAUUUCGGAUAGAAAUUAUAAUUAUAAUUUAAAAAAUCAUGUUCAAGAAUUCUAAAAGUAAUACAAUUCUUUUUUUUAUUGAAUUCUAAAGAUGAUACAAUUCUUUUCUUAUUUAGUGUAAAAAGUCAAGAAGUAUUUAAAAGAAUUUAGGAUUACUAGUUUUGUUUCGGGACUUCUACUUCUUUCCCAAACAGUUUAAUCACUUAUAUUGUUUCUGACUUCUAUUUCGCUUAUUUACUUUAAGCAAGAAACACUUAUUUUAAAUUCACUCAAACGGCUCGCUUAUUUACUUUAAGCAAGAAACACUUAUUUUAAAUUCACUCAAACGGCCUCAUAAACGAUACUCAGUUAAUAAUGUACACUCCUUAAAAUACUUCUUAUUGGGCCAGCUAAGCGAGCCUUAACUCCACAAUAGUACGAUAUUGUCCGCUUUGGGCCUAGCCCGCAUGACUUUGCUUUUGGGCACCUCCCAAAAGGCCUCGUACUAUUGGAGUUGUUCUGACUGCUUAUAUUCUAGUUUUCUGCCCCUCCCACAACCGAUGUGGGACAACUUCUAACAAUCUCCCCCUUCACACAUCGGUCUCGACACCUGUCAAAUUCUGCCUCCUAACGUGUGAUCGGGCUCCCCCUUCCUUCACACAUCGGGCUCGACACAUGUCGAAUUCUGCCUCCUAACGUGUGAUCGGGCUCCCCCUUAAACCCAUACUGGAAGUCCGUCUGGCUAUCUGACUCCCCCUAGGCCCAAACUGGAAGGCCCACCUGCCUUAUCCUUAAGCCCGUCCGGGGGGUCAUCUGCCUCUUCCUAGGCCCUUUUAUGGAGCCCACUUGAGAUUGUUACAGGCCGUUUCAACCUCGCUCUGAUACCACUUGUUGGGCCAGCUAAGCGAGCCUUAACUCCUCCCAAAAGGUCUCGUACUAUUGGGGUUGUUCUGACUGCUUAUAUUCUAGUUUUCUGCCCCUCCCAAAACCGAUGCGGGACAACUCCUAACACUUAAGACUUGGUCCAUUAAUAUAAUGUAUGGGUCGUUUGGUUGGGUGGUAUGAGGAAUCAGGUAUGGGUAUGAAGUCAGCCAAACUCAUAUCUAGUGUUUGGUUGAAUUUUUUUUGUCUUCAUACCCAUACCUGAAACCCCCAAGAUCAUGACUUUUGAAACCCAAGUGGAGGGGUGGGUAUGAGAUGCUGGUAUGGGUAUCAGUAUUAAAAUUCUUUUCUUAUAUUUUGAAAAAAUAUUAAUAAUAAUAAUAAAAAAAUUUAUAUGUACAAAUAAGUGUUAUUGAUAAUAACAAAAAUAUUUAUAAUUUUUUAUUUAAUAAAUAAUUUAAUUUAAUCAAUAACAUGAUAAUAUAUUAAAUUAAAUAGAUUCAUUUCAACACUCAACCAAACACAAGAUAUCAAGAAUGAUACCUUAACCCCAUACCAUAUUUAAUUCCAACCCGAUACCGCUCUACGAACCAAAUGACCCCUUAAUACAUCGAAACACACCCUAUUACAUGUUGAGUGAAUUUACACAAGCAUUAUAUAAUCGUGUUUUAAUCGAUUAUAUUAGACAAUUAUUUUAGAAAUAAUAUCAAAAAUAAUUCAUAUGAAUAUUUAAGAUUUAAUUUUCACUAAUAAUAUAUAAAUAAUACUUAAUUUAGGGAAUUCAGGCAACUCCAAGCAUAGAGAACUGUACCACAGAGUAUCUUCUCGAUAAAGGUAUCAAUAUAUAUAUAAAGCAGGAUGCGAGCGUCUCUAGAAUUGCUCGAUUCAGUCUUCUAAUUUUUCUUAAAUUUCGGAUAGAAAUUAUAAUUAUAAUUUAAAAAAUCAUGUUCAAGAAUUCUAAAAGUAAUACAAUUCUUUUUUUUAUUGAAUUCUAAAGAUGAUACAAUUCUUUUCUUAUUUAGUAAUCCUAAAAGAAAUAGGAUUAUAUUUAUUCAAAUUAAUAAUAAUAGAUAAAAUACAAUUUAUAUUUAAGUUAUGUAAAGUAAUAUAUACAAUUCUUAUUUUCGAUAAUAUAUAAUAUAUUGAAGAUAUGUUUAACGGGAACACGACUGAAAAUAACUUUUAUGGAAUUAUAAUAUUAUUUCGUAUCAAAAUUUAUAAAAAAGAUUAUUUAUUAGUAUUGUGUUUAAGGGGAGGGCGGCCCAAAUUAAUUUUUACCUAAAUAAUAAUAUUUUUUUAUUAUUAUUAUGUUUGACAGGAAAGUAGGCGUCUCUAGAAUUGUUCGAUUUAAUCUUCUGAUUUUUCUUAAAUUUCGGAGAUAAAAUAUAAUUAUAAAUUAUAAUUCGAAAAAUCAGUUUAGAGAAUUCUAAAUGUAAUAGAAUUCUUUUGUUAUUGGAUUCUAAAUACAAUUCUUUUCNNNNNNNNNNNNNNNNNNNNNNNNNNNNNNNNNNNNNNNNNNNNNNNNNNNNNNNNNNNNNNNNNNNNNNNNNNNNNNNNNNNNNNNNNNNNNNNNNNNNNNNNNNNNNNNNNNNNNNNNNNNNNNNNNNNNNNNNNNNNNNNNNNNNNNNNNNNNNNNNNNNNNNNNNNNNNNNNNNNNNNNNNNNNNNNNNNNNNNNNNNNNNNNNNNNNNNNNNNNNNNNNNNNNNNNNNNNNNNNNNNNNNNNNNNNNNNNNNNNNNNNNNNNNNNNNNNNNNNNNNNNNNNNNNNNNNNNNNNNNNNNNNNNNNNNNNNNNNNNNNNNNNNNNNNNNNNNNNNNNNNNNNNNNNNNNNNNNNNNNNNNNNNNNNNNNNNNNNNNNNNNNNNNNNNNNNNNNNNNNNNNNNNNNNNNNNNNNNNNNNNNNNNNNNNNNNNNNNNNNNNNNNNNNNNNNNNNNNNNNNNNNNNNNNNNNNNNNNNNNNNNNNNNNNNNNNNNNNNNNNNNNNNNNNNNNNNNNNNNNNNNNNNNNNNNNNNNNNNNNNNNNNNNNNNNNNNNNNNNNNNNNNNNNNNNNNNNNNNNNNNNNNNNNNNNNNNNNNNNNNNNNNNNNNNNNNNNNNNNNNNNNNNNNNNNNNNNNNNNNNNNNNNNNNNNNNNNNNNNNNNNNNNNNNNNNNNNNNNNNNNNNNNNNNNNNNNNNNNNNNNNNNNNNNNNNNNNNNNNNNNNNNNNNNNNNNNNNNNNNNNNNNNNNNNNNNNNNNNNNNNNNNNNNNNNNNNNNNNNNNNNNNNNNNNNNNNNNUGUGAUCGGGCUCCCCCUUAAACCCAUACUGGAAGUCCGUCUGGCUAUCUGACUCCCCCUAGGCCCAAACUGGAAGGCCCACCUGCCUUAUCCUUAAGCCCGUCCGGGGGGUCAUCUGCCUCUUCCUAGGCCCUUUUAUGGAGCCCACUUGAGAUUGUUACAGGCCGUUUCAACCUCGCUCUGAUACCACUUGUUGGGCCAGCUAAGCGAGCCUUAACUCCUCCCAAAAGGUCUCGUACUAUUGGGGUUGUUCUGACUGCUUAUAUUCUAGUUUUCUGCCCCUCCCAAAACCGAUGCGGGACAACUCCUAACACUUAAGACUUGGUCCAUUAAUAUAAUGUAUGGGUCGUUUGGUUGGGUGGUAUGAGGAAUCAGGUAUGGGUAUGAAGUCAGCCAAACUCAUAUCUAGUGUUUGGUUGAAUUUUUUUUGUCUUCAUACCCAUACCUGAAACCCCCAAGAUCAUGACUUUUGAAACCCAAGUGGAGGGGUGGGUAUGAGAUGCUGGUAUGGGUAUCAGUAUUAAAAUUCUUUUCUUAUAUUUUGAAAAAAUAUUAAUAAUAAUAAUAAAAAAAUUUAUAUGUACAAAUAAGUGUUAUUGAUAAUAACAAAAAUAUUUAUAAUUUUUUAUUUAAUAAAUAAUUUAAUUUAAUCAAUAACAUGAUAAUAUAUUAAAUUAAAUAGAUUCAUUUCAACACUCAACCAAACACAAGAUAUCAAGAAUGAUACCUUAACCCCAUACCAUAUUUAAUUCCAACCCGAUACCGCUCUACGAACCAAAUGACCCCUUAAUACAUCGAAACACACCCUAUUACAUGUUGAGUGAAUUUACACAAGCAUUAUAUAAUCGUGUUUUAAUCGAUUAUAUUAGACAAUUAUUUUAGAAAUAAUAUCAAAAAUAAUUCAUAUGAAUAUUUAAGAUUUAAUUUUCACUAAUAAUAUAUAAAUAAUACUUAAUUUAGGGAAUUCAGGCAACUCCAAGCAUAGAGAACUGUACCACAGAGUAUCUUCUCGAUAAAGGUAUCAAUAUAUAUAUAAAGCAGGAUGCGAGCGUCUCUAGAAUUGCUCGAUUCAGUCUUCUAAUUUUUCUUAAAUUUCGGAUAGAAAUUAUAAUUAUAAUUUAAAAAAUCAUGUUCAAGAAUUCUAAAAGUAAUACAAUUCUUUUUUUUAUUGAAUUCUAAAGAUGAUACAAUUCUUUUCUUAUUUAGUAUUUCGUAUUGAAUUCUAAAAAUGAUACAAUUCUUUUCUUAUUUAGUACUCCCUCCAUUCCAAAAUAAUAGUCGCUUUGACUUUGUGCACGUAUUUUGAGGUGUAAAAAAAACAUACUUCUACAUAUUAUUUUUGAAUUUUUUUUUUCUGAAUAAAAAUUUAACAUCUUUAUUUUUAUUCAGAAAAAGAAAAUUUCAAAAAUAACAUGUAGAAAUGUGUUUUUUUUCACCUCAAAAUACGUGCACAAAGUCAAAGCGACUAUUAUUUUGGAAUGGAUGGAAUAUUUCUUAUUAAAUUCUAAAGAUAUUACAAUUCUUUUAUUAUUUAGUAAUUCUAAUAGGAAUAGGAUUAUAUUAAUUCAAACGAACAAUAAUAAAUAAAAUACAAUUUAUAUUUAAGAUUUGUAAGAUAAUAUGUACAAUUCUUAUUUUCGAUAAGAUAUAUAGAAUAUUUAGUUGAAUUUUAUAUUAUAAAAUUUUAUUUUCGAUAAGAUAUAUAGAAGAAUAAUCUAAUACUAGGUCCGUAAUUACAACGUGUUUAAGAGUCUAAAUAGUAGACACAAAGAAUUGUUCGAUUCAAUCUUAUAAUUUUUUCAAAUUUCGGAGAAAAUGUAUAAUUCUAAUUAAAAAAUCAGGUUUAGGAAUUCUAAAGAUAAUAUAAUUCUUUUUCUUAACAAAUUCUAAAGCUAAUACUCUAAAAUCUAAAAAAACAAUUGUAAAAAUAAUACGAUUCUUUCUCUUAUUUAGCAAUUAUAAAAAUAAUAUACUUCUUAUUUUUAAUUGCGAGCUUACUAACGAAGUCGACCCGAUAGCUCCGCAUCUAUCGCAUCUAAUGCACCAUCAUUCUAUAAGGCCACUACUACUUUCACUGGACUCACAUGGCGUUAAGGUCACGUGGAGUCAACAAACUUUCUGUUUAAUUUUUCUAAUUUUUUGAGAGAAAAUAUGUAAAAUAGCUAAAAAAUAAUAAUUAUAAAAGAGAUAUAAUUCUAAAUAGUUAAGAAAUAAGAAUCUUAAAAGAAAAGAGAGAUAAUUCUAAACAAUCAAGAAAUAUAAAUCUUAAAGAAAAACAUAAUAGCUAAAAUCUAUGAAAUUGGAUAUAUUUAUCCAAAUAUAAUUAUAAUUUUAUCAUAAUGUAAAUAAUUCUUGAUUAGUAUUGUGUUUGAAGGGAGUGCGGUCCAAAUUAAUUUUUAUCUAAAUAAUAAUAAAUUUUCUAUUAGUAUUAUGUUUGACGGGAAAGCGGAUAAAAUAAUUUUUUAUCUAAGUUAUAAUAUAAUUUUUUUAUUAAAACGGGCCAACAGCUUAAAAUAAUUUUUUAUCCAAUUAUAAUCUUUAACUUUAUCAUAAUUAUUAUCAUAAUUAUAAUAAUUUUUAUUAGUAUAAUUUUUUAAAAUAGGAAUCAUAUAUUGAUUUUAUGAUAAUGUAAAUGAUUCUCGAUUAGUAUUGUGUUUGACGGGCACGGGAGGCGGCCCAAACUAAUUUUUAUCUAAAUAAUAAUAAUUUUUUUAUUAGUAUUAUGUUCACGGGAAAGUGGCUAAAAUAAUUUAUUAUCAAUGGUAUAAUAUAUUUUUUUAUUAAAACGGGACCAUGAUUCAAAAUAAUUUUUAUCCAAUCAUAAUCUUUAAUUUUGUAAUAAUUAGAAUAAUUUUUAUAUUUAUUUAAACUAACAAUCAUCGAUAAAAUAUAAUUUAUAUUUCAAAUUUGUAAGGUAAUACGCAGAGUUUUAUUUUCGAUUUAGUUUUAUAAUUUUUUUUUAAAUUUCGAAUAGAAAAUAAAGGAUUGUAAAAAUAAUAAUCAUUAGAAAAACUAAUAGCAAAAAAUUAGAAUUAUAAAAGAAUAAUAAUUUUUAACUAAUAAAUAGUAAUCAUAAAACUAAAAUAAUUAAUAAAAUAAGAUAUAUAAAUUAGGAAUUAUAAUAUAUUGAUUUUAUCAUAAUGUAAAUGAUUCUUAAUCAGUAUUGUGUUUGACGGGCACGGGAGGCGGCCCAAACUAAUUUUUAUCUAAAUAAUAAUAAUUUUUCUAUCAGUAUUGUGUUUGACAGAAAAGUGGCUAAAAUAAUUUUUUAUCUAUGUUAUAAUAAAUGUUUUUGUUAAAACGGGACCACGGUUCAAAAAUAUUAUCCAAUUAUAAUCUUUAAUUUUAUCAUAAUUAGAAUAAUUUUUAUUAGUAAUGUGUUUGACAGUAAGGAGACUCAAACUAAUAUUUAAAUUAUAAUGUUUUGUUAUUAGUAUUGUGUUUGACAAAAGAGCGGCUCAAACUAAUUUUGAUAUAAAUUAUACUGUUAUAUUUAAUUUUAUCAUAAAAAUAAUAAUUAUGAAUUAAUAUUGUUUUUGACGGGAGGUCUGUUCGAACUAAUUUUAUAUUAGUAUUGUGUUUGACACGAUGGCCGCUUAAACAAAUUUUUAUACUAAUUAUAAUAUUUUUUAUUAGUGAUAUGUUUAAUUGGAAGAUGAUUCAAAAUAAUUUUUAUGCUAUUAUAAUAUUAAUUCGUAUCAAAAUUUAUACAAAAUUCAUAACGCCGCCGCGAAACGCGGCUUUAUUCACUAGUUAUUACUAUAAUCCAGUAAAAUAUAUAAAUAUUUUUACUUUUUGUUGUGAUUGUAAUUAUAAUUUUAUUUAUUCAAAACAAGUUUUUUAGAGCAAAUUAUAAUACUACUUUUAGUACAGCAUACAAAUAUCAAACAAAAAGGUAUACUUGUAGUUUUUUUUAUAAUAUGUAACAAGAUAUAAUUAACAAACAAGCAUCCGAACUCAUUCGGGAUAAACUAUUCUUCUUGACGAAUAAAUAAUUUUAUAAAAACAAAACACUUAACAAAUAAGCAUUCGAACUCAGCCGGUACAAACUCUUAACCGUCAACAACAACCUGAUUAUGAAAAUAAAACGAUUCAAAAAAAUAGUUUUGUUGUUUUCAGGUCGCUUAAUAUGUAGAUUAUCCAAAUUUUUUUGAUAUAAAAAUAUUAAAAUCACAUUUCGAGCAAUCAAAGUGAAAGUAGUCGUAUGACUUUUAUAUAAGCACAUGGUGUGAUCAGUAUUCAAAGUUAUCAGUUAUAUCAUCUAAUAUUGUAGUAAUAAAUGUCCAUAUAAUAGUGGGAAAAAAGUUAUGGUGAAAGGUGAAUUCUAUACGCACUACUUCAAUAGACAUCGGCUAAAACCCGAUGUUAAACGAUUUCCUAACCGAUGUCUAUGCAGGUGUAGAGAAAGGUACCCCCAUUUGACAUCGGUUACCGACUGAUGUCUGGGGACCUCGUUAACAUCGGUUUUAGCUUAAAUCCCGAUGUAUAUUCCCUCUUUUUAAACAGAAAGUGCAUUACAAUGGUUUCUAGAUAGCUUUUAUAUGAUCUAAUUAUGAAACUUAACUAUUAAUUUACAAAGUCAAAAUCAGCCUUUACAUCGUUUAUAACAAUAGAACCGAUGUCAAUAUAAGUUUUAACAUCACUUUUUGAGUGAAACCGAUGUAAAAGUAUGGUUUUGACAUCGGAUAUUUUUUCUGGCCCGAUGUGUUUUAUCUUGUUGACAUCGGCUUUUAAAAAUGUGCCGAUGUAUUUGUUCCGAAUUGCAUCAGGUGCUUUGCUUUUUUUAACAUGUGCCGAUGUAAAAGCCUCUUUCUAACAUUGGUUAUAGAUUCUAGCCCGAUGUGUUGUAUCUUGUUUACAUCAGUUUUUAAAAAUGUGCCGAUGUAUUUGUUUCAAUUUACAUCAGGUGCUUUGCACACGUAGCUUUUGAGCACUUUAUUAAACCGUUCGAAAGGAAACAACUUCUCAACCAAAACAUACAAAACUGCCUACGCCUUAGUUAACCAAAUCACCAGCAAGCCAACACAAGAUCAAACCAAAACAAUACUAUCUAGAUCUAGCACAAAAUCCAUAUAGCAACUUUAAAGUACCAGAUUGUUUCAUUACCAAAAGCCAUCAACAUAUAUUCAAAUCAACAGCCUGCGCUACGCGCGUACAACCUUAAAGUAUCAUAAUUAUACGACCAUAAUAGCAGUAGCAAUCAUGGUAAGUUUACGAAUGUUACGACAUAAUUAAUAAGCAUCAGUUUCAUUUUGCAAAAGUUAAAUCAGAAGCAAAGCAGCUAGCUACAUGAAUCCUUCGAUGUAGCCAAGAGUCUCCAUACGAACAACAUCAAGAUCCUUCCUGGUGUAGGAUUUCCGAUUCUUGCUGGCCCACUGUGCACAUUUAACAAAAAAAAACAAUAAUAAACAAAUUGUUCUAGUAAAAAAAUAGGUACUUGACAAUUCAUUUCUCUGUUAAGUACCAAAAAUCAAAUAAAUAAAUCUUACCAAUUUAAAGAAAUUCAUUUCUUUGUCUUCAAUGAUAUCUUUCAUAUAUCGCAUAACACAAUAUCCACAUUCAAUGCCACCAGGCUGUUUAGGGCAGCCCUAUUCCGAUAAUACAAACAAUAUAAUCAAUCAACAAAGUCAAACAAAUUAAACUACAAAGAACCUAUUAAAUUAAACUUCAUAAUUACUUACUGCGAGAUAAUUUUGGGAUUUUUUAUCACCCUUCCUUUUUGAGCAUUGUAAGACCUAACUGCUCUGUAGACAAAAAUUAAGAAUCGUGUCAAACCUAAGAACUAAACAGAUGUAGAGAUAGAAUAAUAUCAAAUACCUAUGCUAAAAAAAUAUUAAUUACUCCGUUAAUGCAUUUUCUAGUUCUGGAAAACGGGUCGCAUGUGACAAUGGAUUGAGGAAAAAAAAUUCUGAUUCCCAAAUUACGACCAACAUCCAGUGCAUACUGUUGUCAUUAGGUCAAGGUCAAUCUUCUUUGCCUUCUUUACUUCUUUUCCAAAAGUAAUUUAAUUUGCUCUUGUUGCUCUAGAACCUGUUCUCCAGAAAGGGGUUUGACGUGGUUGUCCAAAUUCUUGUUCGCCAUUUAAAAGCUGCUUUCUUCCUUCUAUAAGGAUGAUGCCUAGGCAAAUAGCGACGGUGACCUUGAUAACACAUCUUCCUGCUAUGGGAUAAAUAUUUCGCAACAGUGUCGUCACCACAUACAGGACAUGACAUAUACCCCUGAUUCACGCAACCUGAUAAAUUUCCGUAUGCCGGGAAGUCAUUUAUCGUCCAUAACAACAUUGCUCUUAAAGUGAAAGAAGAAUUGGUACUAGCAUCGUAUACAUUUGGCUCGCCUUCUUCCCAUAGCUUCAGCAAAUCAUCAAUCAGUGGUUGUAGAAAGACAUCAAUGUUAUUACCAGGCUCAUGUGGACCAGAGACUAGUACGGUUAACAUCAUAAACUUCCUCUUCAUGCAUAACCAUGGAGGAAGAUUAUAAGUUAUCAAAACUACUGGCCAACAACUAUAUCUAUUAGUUAGACCGUUAUUAUGUGGGUUGAUACCAUCUGCUGCUAAAGCUAAGCGGAGGUUCCUUGGCUCAUUACCGAAGGUUGGCCACCUAUAAUCAACAUUCCGCCAAGAAGGUGAAUCUGCUGGAUGACGCAUUUGGCCAUCCUGAAUUCUUUUGUCGGAAUGCCAAGUUAAAAGUUUAGCGGUUGAAGCAGAUUUAAACAUCUGUUUAAAUCUGGGAAUAACUGGAAAGUACCACAUUACUUUCGCUGGAAUAUUAACCCUAGCUUUCCCAUCCUUCCCCAGCUUCCAUCGAGAUAAACUACACUUGGNAAUUAUAAAGAGGCAUUAAGAAAAUAUAUACCUCAACACGAGUAGGACCAUUGGGGGCGUAGGUUAUCAAAUCUCGAGGCCAGGCUAGAAGUGAGCCAACCGCUUGUUCGACCGUCUCUAUCUCACCAUGUAUCGGUACCGGAACUUGGGCACCUCCCUGAAUAAUUCCGUCCACUGAGACACGAGCAUGCUCCGGUUUGAGAGGCACUCCAUGAACCGUUGAAGCCAUAUCUUCAUCAUCAAAAACAACACCAAAAGCUACCUUGUUGUCAAUUUUAUCCACUGACAGCUCACAUUUACGCGGCCCCUGAAUUUAUAAUUAUAUGGAUCCAAAUAUGAGCCUCCUUGAUCAGACACAAUAAUUAAAAAAGGCAACUUUGCAUUGGACAUAAAACUUGCAUAUAUUUUUUUACCUUUUCAUUUGGUGGAGGUGGAGGGUNNNNNNNNNNNNNNNNNNNNNNNNNNNNNNNNNNNNNNNNNNNNNNNNNNNNNNNNNNNNNNNNNNNNNNNNNNNNNNNNNNNNNNNNNNNNNNNNNNNNNNNNNNNNNNNNNNNNNNNNNNNNNNNNNNNNNNNNNNNNNNNNNNNNNNNNNNNNNNNNNNNNNNNNNNNNNNNNNNNNNNNNNNNNNNNNNNNNNNNNNNNACACACACACACAUAUAUAUAUAAGCUCAUGUGAUAAUAACAUACGUUAAUUUAACUGCCUAAAAGAGUGAAAAUAUGCUACCAUAGAGGUUAAUUACACUAUAAUCAGGUAAGAAUACACUGUAAUGAAUCAUUCAAAACAUUCAAGGAUAACAAAUUGCAAGCAUUAUACAAAAUCCAAACAGUGUGCAUUCUUAAUCGAAACUUUCAGUGAGUAAGCAAAUUGCAAGCAUUUAAAACAUUUAAAAUAACAGUUGUGCAUAAUAAAUCCAAACUCCAACAAAAAACAACAUCUAAAUAUAAAAACAAAGAACAAAAUUUUGAAAGCAACAUAUAUAAGUAUAAAAACAAAGAACAACAAAAAAUCACAAUCGAACAAAAAAUCGAAAGCAAAAUCAAAAUUUGAGAAUGGGUAUAAAAAUAAAGUACCACUCGAACAAAUCCAAAGCCAGACUCGAACCACUCGAACCCAGACUCGAACCCAAAUGAACUCUGAGUUGUAAAUCGAACCGUUAAGCCCUAAAAUUGAAAGCUCCAACCUUUAAUCCCUGAAAUCCAAGCUUAAUCGAACAAAACACAAGGAGAAAAAAGGGAAAUAAGUUAGAACCAAUCCAAACCAAAACUCGAACCAAUUCAAACCAGACUGGAACCCAAAUGAACUCCGAGUUGUCAAAUCGAACCUUUAACCCCUAAAACUGAAAGCUCCAACCUUUAAUCCAUGAAAUCCAAGCUUAAUCGAACAAAACAAAAGGAGAAAAAAAGGAAAUAAGUUAGGUUAAAUCGAAAAAACGAGAGAAAAAAAGGUGAAGAAGAAAUUUGAUUGAAAGAAAACGAAAGUUUGAAAAGGGGAGAAGCUGUCGGGGGGAGAGAGUUUACCUGUGUGUUUGUGUCUGAAAAGGGGGAGAAUGAGUGUUUUUAUUUGUUUUUUAUAUUUAUGUUAUUGUUUUUGUUUUUAGUUUAGGAUUGACGAAAAAGGGGGGGGGAGACAGAUGGAGGGUUUAAGAAAAGCGGGAGUUAUUUCACAAAAAAUUGGCUAAGGCGGGGAACAAUGUGUUGUCCUUUCUGCAACAAACCGUCUCUAGGCCUCCUUACCGACGAAUGCAUACUUCUUAGGAGGCUUAUACAGCNAUAAAAGACAUCAGUUUGUGUGCAACCGAUGUAAAAGAUAUAGUUUAACAUCGAGGUGAUUUACAACCGAUGUCUAAACAGCGAUGUCUAAUCCACUUUUUCUAGUAGUGACCCACCAUUAUCUCAUGAAUCAAUGCGAGUCUUAUAAAUCUCGAAAAUAUCAUGUAAAUCAUUUUUAGGAAAAUUGUCGAAACACGUACAUGACACACAAAAAUAUCAAAAUAUACCACACUAACAUUCAAUAAUGGAUUGGCACAACUAAAACCUUGAUAACAAAAUAAAGUACUCCACAAGAUCUUACCAAAAAACCUGGAUCUAACUUUUAUUGAAGAACUCGGAAAUAGAAAAAAAUUUAAAAAUACAUGACACAUAAAAAUAUCAAAAUAUACCAAACUAAUAUUGUAAAAGAUUGACGACUAACAAUCUUGAUAACAGAAUAAAAUAUUUCACUAAGAUCUGACCCAAGAAAAUUGGAUCUAAACUUUUAUUGAACAAUUGGGAAAUCGGAAAAAAAAAAAACGGGAGAGCGAAGAUGUCAACAUAUACUGCAAAUAAGCUUCUUCCUUUUUCCAAUAUAUGGCAUCACAUACUCGGUGGUUAAUUUUGUCUUGAAUUGCCUCCAUUUCACACCGGCCGACUGUAGACAUGUCUUCUCAAGUUCUGGAGGCACCUUGAAGGUAUCCUAUAUAAUUAAAUGGCAAACAAACAAGUUACAAUAAUUAUUCAACCAUCUGAUUGUGUGUUUAUAUACAUUUACAAUAAAAUGGAAUGCAAUUUCAAAACUAUAAAGAUAAUCAUACCUCAAUAUCAUUCCAAAUCUUUUGUUUCAAUUCUGUGGCUACUUUGGGCCAACUAGGAAUAUCAAUUGGAACCAUUGUCCUCGCUAGCAUGCCAAUGUAGGACUGUAAUGUGUGUCUGGUAUCUCCAACUGGAAUUCCAAUGCCAUUGCAUCGCACUUUGAAUUUCUUUCCUUGAGCUUUUUUCAAGAUUACUUUCUGCAUAGCACAAACACUUCUUUUUGAUCCACAAGAUGAAUUCUUUUUGGACUGUGUACUAGUUAUUGUCAGUGAUGGUUCUUCAGCUUUAGAAGUUUCCUCCAGCGGGGGGGGUUCUGUUUUUUGUGCUUCUUGCGAUGCUUCAAGUUGUGGAGCAUUAGAUUCAUGUUCUUUUACCUCUUCCUGUUUAUCCCGAUCUUGCACAGUUUUGUCCUUAUGUGCAAUGCCCUUCUUUGCCAUUUUUCAAUAUAUCUGUAAAAUGAAAUUAGCUUAUCAUAAGGCAAUAUUUUAUGCAUAUAUUAAAUCAGCAGGGCAAUAUUAAAUCACAGGGCAGUAUUAAAUCAGCAGGGCAAUAUUUUAUGCAUAUAUUAAAUCAGCAGGGCAAUAUUAAAUCAGAAGGCAAUAUUUUAUGCAUAUAUUAAUACAAGGCAAUAUUAAAUCAGAAGGCAAUAUUAAAUCACAAGAGCAAUUUAAAUCAACAGAGCAAUAUUAAAUCAGAAGGCAAUAUUUUAUGCAUAUAUUAAUACAAGGCAAUAUUAAAUCAGCAGAGCAAUAUUAAAUCAGAAGGCAAUAUGAAAUUAUAAAUAAGAGGACAUGUAAAUUGAAACGGAGGGGAUAAAGGAUUUGGUAUAACAUUUAUGAGAUCGACGAGGUUGAUCUUCUAAUAUUUCUUCACAAGAUAUAUUGAUUUCAUAAAUAAGCAAAUUCAUCACGCAAUAGCAUAGCAGGUUGUCCAAUUCCGUACCUUUUCUAGAAAAUCUUCUAAAAUAAAAGUGUUUAAUUAUAUGCUAAAAUGAUAGAAUUUGGUUAAUUUGUGCUGCAUUUAAAAUUAAAAAGAAACGAAGUUAAGAUUGUCAAAACAUCAAAAGCUCUAAAAAUAAAAUCGCUUCAUACCUUAGAAAUGUGAUAUAUUUAAAAUUUGAUUAAUAUAUAACCAAAUUUUAAUAUCAAAAAUCACUUUUAAUAUUAAACUAUGACCCAACAAUCUCUGAACACAGUUUUAACAUAGAGCGAGGAAAACGUGGGGUGUUUGGCCGAGAUUUAAAAGCCCGGCUUUUAUAUUUACAAGUUAGAAACAUUUUUUCGUAUUUUUUGUAUAAAAAAUCAAAAAGUACCUAAAAUAAGUUGAGAAUGGUAACUUUUGUUUAACGACUUUUACCUGUUUCCCAAACACUUUAAUCAUUUAUAAGUCUUAACAUUCUUCCAACUUCGACUAAACUUCUUUAUUUGAAACAAUAAGCACUUAUUUUAAUCUCAACCAAACAGUCCCACAAACUUGUGUUUCGGUGGGCCAACGACUGAUAUUUACUGUACCAUGGAGAUAUUAAAUAGAAAGUGGGUGCGCAUUGUAUAUACGCAGAGAUGUCGAAGAAUCGGCAUACGGCAAAUUAUAUGAACUUGAUAUACAAUGCGAGCAGUGCUUAAUAUCCAACCAACCAGCUAAAUACGUACAGUACACUUUAGAAGAGUUAUCGCUUAUUCGCUUGACCUAAACAACAAUCGGGGAGUAAAAUGAAAAUUUGGGGAAGUGCGUAUGAAUAGUCAUAUCUUUCCGUAAUCGACGCGUGGUGGUAUCAUUACCUUCGGUACUACGUUGUACACAAAAGUGACAUAAAGGGAGAUGGUAUAAUCGGAGAGGAAUAUACGUAUGUAUGUGCGCAAACUGCAGCUAUACUAUAAUUGUGUUCCAGUGUGCUCAUACUACAAACACAUUUUAAUAUACGCAGGCCGUACAAGGUGAGUUAAGAUUGACUGCCAGAUUUAAUGCUAUUCAUGGAAUUACUGUGCCGCUCCUCAGCCCCUCACUGUUCUUGCGUUGUGUUUUCCGUGGAGAAAUGAAUAUCCUAAAAUAAUAAUCCCUCCGUCCCAACAGAAUUUAUUGGACGGUAGAGUCGCGGAAACGCUUGUUUCUUUUAUACUCCCUCCGUCCCUUUUUAUCUGUCCAUUUUGGAAAAAAAACACAUACCAAGGAAUAAUUGAUUGUAUAAACUUUUUCAUUAAAUACCUCUAAUUAAUAUUUUGAAAAUGAUGGAAUACCCCUACUUUAUGUCUUGAAAACAUGAAUUCAACCAAGUUUUAAAUAAGUCAAGCCUUGAAAAUUGAAAUUAUGGAGAUAUAUUUGAAAAACUAUCAUUAAAUUAGUUUUGAAAGUAUAAAUGGACAGAUAAAUAGGGACAAAUUUUUACUUCCAAAAUGGACAGAUAAAUAGGGACGGAGGGAGUAUUUUGGAUCUUAGCUCGUGGAAUAAUAAGCUACUGAAUAGUUUACGUACAUGUUUGCACGCAUUUUGAGGCUCAUAUAAAUUAUGGUUUCAUAACUUUUUUUCUUGAAUAAAAGUUUAAAAAUCAAAUUUUUAUUAGAAAAAAAAAAUUUGAAAAAUAUAUUAUAGAACUAUGUUUUAAAUGAGCGUGGAAAAACGUGCCAAAAAGUAACGUAAAGAAAUGGGGGGCAGAGGGAGUACGAAUAUUGCAUCUACUUGUUUUAUCUAUUUUUUUUUUUAUUUUUAGCUAUAAUAUAUAUGUUUUUAUAUGAAUUAAUUUUUAUACAUUCAAAAGUUUUGAAAAAUAAAAAAUACUUUAACAUAGAAAUUUAAAGUUACCGAAUACUCAACUGACUUAUAAAUAAACCUAUCCAAAUACUAAAUGAUUUGUGAUUUAUUUUAAACACUUUACUAACUUACAAGUCCUAACAUACUCAUCACUUAUAAUCUAAUUUUUUAGUUUAAGCAGCGAAUAAUUUAUAUUAAGUUAAGCUUAACAUCGAUAGCUGAAAAAUAAAAAAUGAUCCAAAAGUAAGCAAUAACAUAAAUUUGAAGUUAAAGAUUAUUAAUUUUCAAUAUAUAACUCACACUGGUAGUGUGGUUGAGAUUGUAAAAAAUACAACUAUGAUCAUCAAUAUAUUCCAGUUCGGUUAAGAUUGCGAUAUUUGAUUUUAAAUAUCAAACUACAUGAUCUCGAUUGCAAUUAUAUUCUAAAAUCGGAGCCGAACAUAUCAAUAUUCCCCCAAAUAACAGCCUGUAUAAUGUUAAUGUUAACAUUUUUAGUUUGUUUUAAUCGCUGUACAAGCUGUAUGGAAUUUAUGAAACCUAAAUGCUACCAUUACUAGUUAUCUUUGUUUUUCUAUUAAGGGCCAAGUAUUGAUGACUUAUUGUUUAGGCCACUGUGGAAAGUGAGCAGAGCUGAGUCAAAAAAGGAGAGAUCGUAAAUUUAUUAAGAGCAUUUAAUAAUAUAAUAAUAUUUAUGGUACUAGAUUGCGAUGGAUAACUGUUGGAGAUACACCAGAUCUCUCUAUCUCUCACCUGACAUAUCUUUAGCAACCAACCAAUCCUUGUAUCUUGUAUUCAAUACUCAUCCCUCCUCUCUCACUAUAAAUAUACACCCCUGCCCUCAUCACUCCUCACAACUUCUCUUCACUAGCUAUAUCUCUCUCUCUUUUCUUUCUUUUUCUGCCAGUGUAUUUAGAUGGCUUUGUUUUGUGGUUAGUUCUUUCUGUUCAUCUUCUUGAAGAUGUACUUUAGGGUUAGGGUUUUUGACAUAGAUCAUGUUGUUAGGUUUUUUAUUUUUGAUUUCGAAGAGAGAUUGUUGCAGAUGAGAUCUAGAGAAGCUGACCAGAAGCCGGUAUUUGCGGGUGGAGCAUCAUCAAGAUUCACACAGCUUUUUAGGGUUUCAUAUAUGGCCCUUUUGUGUGAUGUGAGAAUCUUGAUGAUGCUGCAGCGGCAAUUAAUGGCUAUAUAUAUAUGCAAAUUAAUUAGCUAGAAUUAUAUCACUAAGGCUAAAAGUUUGCGGUUCUCUUUUUUUUUUAUGGGUGAUAGUAUGUGUUUGUUUGUGUCUGUUAGAUUCAGUAUAUAUAAAUGUAUAUGUUAUUAUAUAUAUCUCGAUUGUGUUAAUAUAUUGUUUAUAUAGUUAAUAUAUUUGUUUAUUAGUUUAUGUUGGUUGAGCACAUGGAUUUGUACCAGGUUUCUGUGAAGAUCCAAGUGGUAAUACUAGGUUUAUUUAAAAAAUAUUUAUUCUGUCUCUUAUCUGGAGUUGGCUUUUGUUUUGCAGUCAUGAACUAGAUCUGGCAGCUGGUUGGCUACUCUGAGCAUCCCAUUAUCCCACUCCUUUAGCGGAUGUUGUUUGUUUGCCGAUCUGCACUGGAUCUCUCUCUCUCUCUCUCUCUCUCUCUCUCUCUCUCCCUCCUCUCUCCCUCUCCCUCUCCCUCCCCCUCCCUCUCUCCCCUUCUCUCCCUCUCUCAUCACUUGAGUUAUGACAUUUGUCCUUAACAUAUUCUCAUAUAAUGUAAACAUGUGGAUCAAAUAUUGUCUUAGUAACCACAAAAUAUCCUUUAUACAAGAAAGAGCUGAUUGUUUGCCACCAAUAAUAUCAUGUGUUGUCUGUCAUCUGUUGUUUCUAUAUGCUCUUUUGUUUUGGACCAAAUAUUUCUUAGAUUUGAUGGUACUCUAUCAGGAUCUUUUAUCAGUAUUCACAUUUGUACCAUUUUGGCUGUUUCAGUAUUUGGGGAUUUCUAUUUUCAAAUUCUUUCCGAUUGUUAAUUUACAGAGUUUUCUUUGACAAGAAUACAUAUAUACUUGGGAUCAUUUAUCGGCCUUUAGGGUUUUGUUUCAUAUUUUGAACAGCUCAUAAGUCAUAAGAUUUGAUCGUGUAAGCCAGCUUUGCUACCAGAUAUAUCUGUAUUUCUUAUGUAUGGUCCUUAUUAACCUGCAGGGUCCAUUGUUUUAAGAAGCGCUUUACUGGGAUUGCUCGUUGAAAUAAAAAGAGGAAAAUUGUAUAUGUAAAAUCUGUAUUUUUGUGCGCACUGCAUGCGCUUGUGAUUGUAAAGCUGGACGAAGGAUUCUAAUAAAACUGUGAUCUGUUUUGUAUAAUUAACGAUACGAAAGUACACGACACAUUAGUGAUGUAUUGGAUUUCUUUUCUGGUGUGAUGUGUGUGUACAUUUAGUCAUUUACUGCUAUAUACUUAGCACCAUCUUCGAUUAUUAGUUGUCUAUCAGAUUGCAAGGGUUAAUGUUGGUGAAGUAUAUUGCACAACAAUGAAUGUAAUUUAUAUAUAUAUAUAUAUAACAAGAAGAUUAAUCGAUUAAUAAAACAAAAUACAAACUCGUAAUUGAUUCAGGCGAGAAUAUUUUGUUUGUAAGAACAAUUAUUCUGCAUUGAAUAAUAGUAUUUUUAAUAUUCUCGCGCUAAAAACUGUUCUCCAAUAAAAGAAGAAUCACUUAACUAAGAAAAGACUAUUGAAGAGUAAAUAAUUGCUUAACUUACAGUCUUACACUGUGAUAAGUUACAUCAGUAUCGCUUCAAAUAGAACAACUCAUAGAUAAUCCAUUUACAAACACGGAAGCAAAACAUUGUUGCAUAUAAAUUACAAUUAAAUACAUAUGUAACGGCUGAUACAAUAUUAAAAUUUAUUAUUACGAUUUAAUAACAUGAACAACAUAAUAUAAACCAGCGGUUUAUUUUAGUUCCAACUGGUCCUCAGAGAAUAAGUUUCGACUCAUUACAGUUCACAAACUCUUGUGUGGUCCAUCAGAGUUGUCAACACUGAUAGCUUUGGUGAUACUUGAAUUUUGACUCUUAUAUAUCUAUUUGAAUAUAUGUUGAGUUAAUAAUUAUUUUAAUUGAUCAUUUAAUAUAAUUUACUCUCUAGAUUUACUUGGUGUUUUCGUGUUUACUCAAUAAUCAGUCUUGUCACUUGCUUUUCCAAAUUUCAAGUUAUGAUAGAUUGAUUGAUUAUCUUUUUAUUUUAUCAAUUUUGUUCAUGCUUGAUUUUUUAUAUAACUAGUCAGUCUUUAAUCUUUUUGUAUCUUCUGUGAUUUUGUAUAAAUGAAAUUGUUAAUCGGGAUUUCCCAAGAACUAGAGUUAGAAAGAUACUCUCUUACACAUAUACCGUUAUUUGAUCCCAGGAAGUCCUUGCUAAUUAAAAUGAUAAUUUAAGCUUUUUUGUUAGUUCUAAAUUAUUGUAUUGUGAUAGUCUAAUUUGAUAUUCUGGAAUUACUUUAAAUUACGAGGAGAAUCAUCAAAUUACAGUUAUUAGUUGUUGCCAGGGUUAAAUAUUCUGAUUUUUCUAAUAUUUUUGUCGUAUUGUAGAUUUGGUUAGGGUUUCGUGUAAGCGAAACUAUAUGGAUAUGCUUCAACAUUUUGUGAAAAAUAUAAGAAUAAAAAAAUCUCUUUACCUCGACCGGAAGAUACACGAAUAAUGGUCAAAUCAUAGAAUAUACUUCGUGUUUUUUGAUGUGGCCACCAAUAAUGAAAAUAAAUAUUUGAGCCCCGACUGGAUCUAGCUACACACAACGCUAGAAACAGAUUCAUUUACAGUGAGAUGAAACCAAACACAUUAUUUAAAAAACGCCGCGAGAACCUUUUGCAUAACAAAACCUCCGACACAACUUAAUUACAAAUUGCCGAUAUUCACAAUUGAAAUUCCUAAAGAUUCUUAAAAUAUUAAUCGAUGCAUACUAAUGCCAAAACCCAGAGAUAGUUAAUUAUUCACGCAUCACCUCCUUAUCCCGACACAAAUACAUAAACUAGUAUAAUAUGUCUCAGCGUCUUGGAGUGUUACUGCGACCUUUGUUUUCUAGUUUAACUGCAGAUUCUAUGUGUAUACAUGUACUACGAAACACUGUUUAUUGUGCUAUUCACCACACAUUGAUAAACACACACAUUUACAUUUACACUUUUAAUAUAUGAGAGGAUCAUUUUGCAGUUGUGCACUUUUAAUAAGGUCAUGUUCAGUAGCUGUAACUUGUAAGCUGGACAGAGAUUGUACUUGAUAUAUAGCUGUAAGCCUAUAACUUGAAGUAAUUACAGUGAUACAGUAGUAUUUGGUUCCCAAAUGGCAAGUUCACACAAAUACUCUUCGUUCGUAGGCCGAAGAUAAUAUUCUUUUGAGUGAUCUGUACGCAAAAGCUACAUCCAUGCUGCCAUGCAAAAGAUACUUAAUCAUCAUUAUCCUCUUAUAAUUGAACUGGUCAAAAUCUUAGGAUACAGUAAUCAACUGCGUUAAGCACAUCGUGACAGUAGAACUGGUGGUUAACAGAAAUCUGAACCUCACACGCAUGCGUUGGUAUUUGGAUCAACCAUUUUGUGGUAUGGAAUGAGAACCUCAUUCCCGCCCGUAGGUAAAUCAUUCCCAUACUCUUCAUUCACGUACCCCUCACUCUGAAAUUUUCACACAAAGCAGCUAGUGAACGUAUACUAGGUUCUUUUGUCCGUUCUGUCUGUUGAAAAGUUUGUUACUAAUUAGGAUUCCAAAAUUUAUUUUAUCGUGUUUUGUUAAGAAGUAAUUAAGACGGGGAGGAUGAUUUUGAAAAGGAAUGAGUUUGUGCAAGCGUUUUAUAACAAGAUUUGAUAAAAAAAAAAUAUUUUUGGACUUGAGAGAAAGGCAUUCAUUUUCAAAAGGGGAUUUGAGUUCUCAAAUGUGUUAGAAAUGGGGUUAUAAAAUAUAAAAUUGGCGAACUAGCAAUAGAACUUACAAAUAAGACUCGAAAAUACUGUCUCAAUAAAAUAAUACAUUAACUUUUUUUUUUAAGGAAAUAUAAUACUACCUCUAUUUUUUAUAUGACGUUUUGACUUUUGGCACACACUUUUAAGUGCUUUGACCGGGUAGUUAAAAAUAUUAUUUUUUAAAAUUUCUUUUCCUGAAUAAUAAUAAAUAAUCAAAAUUUUUAUUUUGAAAAAAAAAAUUCAAAAAAGUAUAUUUUUAACUACCCGGUCAAAACACUUAUGACAAAAAUCAAAGCGUCAUAUAAAAAAAACAGGCAUCUAACUUAUUUUAUCAAAUGUGCUUCAACUACCAUAUAUAAAACAUCUUGAACUUCCUCGUGAACAAGCUGUAGACGGCCCCCAUGUAUAUCAUACUCCCUCCAUCCCAUUUUAAGUGUCCACUUUGCAAAUUUCACACAUCUUAAGAAACAAUUAAUGUAAUGUUUUUAUCAUUAUCUUCACACACCUAUUCACCUUGUUUUUAUAAAUAUUAAUUAUGUAUAGCACCACUCCUACUAUGUAUUUGACCUUUUUUCAUGUUGGAACUAGUAAGUUGUAUUUAAUAUUAUAUUGAAACUAAUAAAAAGUUGCAUGGGUUAAAGAGUAUGACACAUAUAUUGGGAAUUUUUUUUUGGCAAAAUAGACACUUAAAAUGGGAUGGAGGGAGUAUUACUUUUUGUUGGUAUCGUGUAAUGCCACAACUCUUGUGCCUCUGAAUGAAUUUAGUCCAGUGAAGUUAUUGUACACGGCCCAAUGUACCCGGGACAAACUAUUGUCCAUGGCCCAGUAUACGUCAAAUAUUUCAGUACAUCUUUUAUCCGGACUUAUUUUCAAAAAAUUCUAAAAAUUGGUUGAUUAAUUAGUUUUUUUUUUGGACACAGGUUGAUUAAUUAGUUAAUCGAUCGACUAAUUGGUAACUAGACGAAUUCUGAUGUUAUUUAUGAAAAUCGAUUGAUAUAAAUUUCUCAAGUUGAUAAUUAAUUGCUUAAAAAUCAGAUAAAUUAGUCAAAACUCGGUUAGAAUCUCAAAAUUUGUUAAAAUUUUGGGGAAAAAUUGAAGUUAAUUAUAUAUUAAUAAGAUUAUAAAUAAUAUUAAUUAAAUACCGAUUAAUUGAACGAUUAAUGAUCUGAUUAAUCAUUUCAAUUAAUCAUGGAUUUUUUGAUUAUUCGCUGAUCAUUAUCUGAGCUGAUUCGUUUUUUGCUAAGAAACUCUAAUCAACUAGCUUCUUAACCCGUGCAAAGCACGGGCUGUUUUAAAUUAUUUUUUUGAUAUAGGUUCAUCUCUUUUAAAUUGAGAGAUAAUAAUAAUAAUUAAGCCUGAAAUACGACUAACCGCUCUAACCGUUCUCUUAUUCUUCUCUCCCAAUCUUCAAGAUUUCGUUCAUCUUUUCUUUCGACUUUGUGCGGCACAUGUAAUCACAUGUUUUGGAAAUUUGUGGAGUUUAGUCGCAUUCACUAUGCCAUAUACAUUGCACACUUUUUUCUCGGUGAAUGAGUCACUUGUUUUGAAUCUUGCAAAUUGAUGUUGUUUUAUGAGGGAGUUUCGAAUGUUUAAACAAUUCCUAAUUGAUUUGCUCUCCCGCUCGAGGGCGCUUUCACGGCAUUGUCAUUUGAGAAUUGUUGUGGUGUGUCUGCUAUCAAAUGGUUACGGUGUAGCGGUUGUCAAAGCGACGCAAUCGCCAAGGUUGUCUGAGGGAGUUUCAAUGAAGUCAUUCCGGUGGAAUGCAGUGCGAUCAAGGUGGAAUGCAGUUCUUCAUCGGUGUUAAUGUGCAAAUCAUUGUAAGAUUUCAAGAUUUUGGGUUCCAAUUUGGUUGGCACCCGAUCUCUUCUCCCAAGCUUUCAACUUUGCAAUCCGUGUAAGUAAUGGUUCUUGAUUUCUCCGUUUGUUUUCUUCAAUGGACUUCACCACUUAAAUCGAGAAAUUUUUAAGUAAGUCCCAUGUGAAGAAGGCUAUGACCUAAGGUAUUAUAGUUAUAUUGUAUCACACACAAUUUUAUUUAUUAUGCACUAAGCCGGGGUCUCACGAAAACAACCUCUCUACUUUAAGGUAGAGGCAUGGUGUGCGUAUAUUUUACCCUCUUCAGACCCUGCUCUAAGCGGGAUAUACUGAGCACAUUUGGUUUGGUUUGGUUCUUUUAAAUUGAGAUUAUUUAUAUUAUAAAAGUAAUUCAUAUUGUAUAUUUAUUUAUAUUUUAAGUCAUAUUAUAUUGAUAUCCAUAUGUACACAUAUUCUCACUAUGAUAUUUAUUAAUAUAUAAAUACAAAAAAAUAUACACAGUUUAAAAUUUUAUUAAAUAAUUAAAUUACCACCCACCUAAAAUUAUUGAAAAUUUGAUAAAAGCAAUGAGAUUUUUGCUGAAUCAGAGCCCUUGUCAUAUAGUUAUAUAUUAUAUUUAUACUUAUUCUAAUAUAUAUAUAUAUAUAAUUUUUUUAAUCAUAAUAAUUAAAUAUUCUAAAAACCGGUUGGUUGACUAAUUAAUCGAUAAUCAGAAGGAUUUUUAAUCCGAUUUAGUAAUAUUCGGUUAAAUCGAUGAUUAUUUGGUCAAAACUUGAUCAAUUCGAUGAAAAUCAGGUUGAAUAUUAAAUUUUACAAAAUUUGUGGGGUAAAUUUAAAAAUUUAAAAAUAAUUAUAUAUAAUAUAUAUAAUAUUAAAUUAUUUUCAAAUAAUGAUCAUGUUAAUAUUUAUACUGAGUAGGGGUAGAUUAGUCUCUUUGAAUUAAAUUACUCAUUAUUGUUGUGUUAGAUAUAUAAUAGAAUUUGACAAAAUUCGGUUAAAAUCGAUGGCUAAUUGACAAAAAUUGGAUUAAUUGGUUGAAAAUCAGGCCGAAUAUUAGAAUUUACAAAAUUAUUUAUUUAUUAUUAAAACAUAAAUAUAAAUAUAUAAUACAUAUAUAUAUUGGAGUUUUAAAUAUGAAGUAAUUAUUAUUAAAACAUAAAUACAAAUAUAUAAUACAUACGCCCUCCGUCCCACCAGGACUGUUUGCACGCAUUUUGAGGCUCUUAUAAAGUAUAGUUCAAUAAUGUUUUUUUUUGAAUAAAAGUUUAAACGUCAAAACUUUUUUCAGGAUUUUUAAAAAAUAUAUAUAUAUGAUGUAAGUAUACUUUAUAAGAGUCUUAAAAUGCGUGCCAAAAAGUAACGUAAAGAACCUGUUGGGACGGAGGGAGUAUAUAUAUUGGAGUUUUAAAUAUGAAGUAAUUUAAUGUAUAUUAAUGGUUAGACAUUAAUGUCUAAUAAAUACAUUAGUGUUAAAAGUCAAUAAUGACAUUUAUAUAAAAAAAAUAUGUAUUUUGAGCGAGGGGUAGUAUAGUCACUUUGAAUAAAAUUACUCAAGGUUGUUGUAUUAUAUAUAUAAUAGAUUUUGUGUUCUCAAUUCCCUGAAAUUUAACUAUACAUGUUCUUUAUUCAUAAGUCCUAUAUCUGUUACACAUAUUUUAUUAUGUUUUAAUUAUAUUAUAAAAAUUAAUAAUUUUAAUCUAUUUUAUCAUUAAUUUCGAGUACAUAUACUUUUAUUUUAGAAAAAAAAUUGAAGCCUCACGCUUCGAAGGGAGUAUCAUUAGUAUUAUAACAAUCUUCGGAGUCAAUUGUCAUAUUAUACUUCUGACCAGAAAAAAAUAUUGUCAUAUUAUAAUUUAUACUCCCUCCGUCCCACCCAAUUGUUUACAUUGGGUUUGGGCACGGAGGUUAAAAAAAUCUAUAAACUAGUGAAAAAGUGGAAGAAAAGUUGGUUAAGUAGUGGGAUCCAUUAAUUUUUAAUAUAUAAAAGAAAGAUAGUGGAGUAAAAGUAGUGUGAAAAAGAAGAAAAAGUGAUAAAGUGGUGGAACCCGUUAACUAUUUUGGGAAAUUUUUGUAGUGUAAAGAAUUAGGUGAGACGUCCAAAAAUGGAAACUGUAAAAAAUCUGGUGGGAGUAAUAAAGGAUUGGAUAGCUCAGUAAUAAAGGAUUGGAUAGCUCAGUGGUGAGUUUAUCUUUUAUUGUCAAAUACUAAUUUGUAAAGUAUAUAAGCCUGUAUUGUAAAAAUAAAAAGGAUGGUACUGAUAUCUCCGUUAAUAGCGGUAUCUUUUGUUAUUACAUGUGAAAUUCUAUUUACAUUAGUGAUCAAACUCUAUUAGGGUGAAAACAUACAUUUUAUUUCAAAUUAUGGAUUUCAAAUAAUAAAAUUUGAGUUGAGAUUUCAAAUUCUCAAAAUUAUAGUAUACUUGAAUGGGUGAAUUUCAAAUAAAAUCUAAAUCCAAGUUUCUAAACAAAUUAUUUGAUCAAAUAUAAAAUUUUAUAUGAAAUUCAGAUUCCCAAACUAGCUAUAUCACAGUAUUAUCAUCGUCAUCGAUAGUUUUUUAACCCGUUUUAAAAUAUAUAACCCUGUGUAGCUUCACACGAGCACACUUAUUUAAGUCCAUUCUUCUUUAAGAGAAAUGCUAGGUCCACAGAAUUAGAUACAGAAUUGUGUACAGAAUGAGCUGGCGCGCCUGACGUGCAUCUGAUGUGUAAAGUCUGUCUGCCACUAACCUAAUCUACGCUGUUAUUUCAUUUUUAUUUCUUUUGUUCUUUGUUUCUCAUUUAACUUCACUUUUUCUAUAUUACAAAAUUUAUUUAAUUAAUUUUUCCUCUUAUGUUUUAUUACUUUUUUAUUGUUAAAUAUUUAAUCUCACUCAUAUUAUUUUUUAAGAUCCAUUCAAUAUCUACUCUCUCAUUUUAUUUGUCAUCAAUUCUUUCCUAAAACUUAUAUUUUCCUUUUAAUUUGUAUUAAAAAUUUAACAAAUUCAAAUUAUUUUAUUUAAUUAGUUUAUGUUAAAAUUAAUAUGCAAAAAACCACUUGAAUUUACAAAAAUGAAGAUUCUAGCAUAGAAUGAAUUAUACUUGUAUUUAAAAAUAAUUUUAAACUUUCCUAUCAAAUAAUGUUGAAGUACUUUUAUGUUAAACAUGUGUUUUAAAAUUAUGCACGUUAAUUUUAUUUUUUAUGAUUUUUUUAAAAUGUGUUUGUCAUUAUAUAUGUUUAAGAUUGACUAACUAAAUGACAUAAAAUCCAAUUUGAAUAAUAAUAUGCUUUACAUAAAUUCAUAAUUAAGAAAAAUAAUAAAAUUCUUGAUUUAAGUAGCGAAACAAAAAUAUCAAGCAAUUUUUGCUACAUGAGAGAACUCAAAUUUCAACAUUUUUUAAUCCAUCCUCUUAUCUCUUCCCUCCUGGAAAAAUGAUUGAAGAAGACUCAUAUUUGUUCCUCCCAUUUGUUGUGGAUUCAUAUUUCUGAAAUUAUGAUCAUUCCCAAAAACACUUCCCUGCAUAUAAAAAAUGUAUAUUAAUAUAUACAUAACUUAAUAAAAGGGAUUAAUUAAUUUAUUAUUUUAUCUAACCUGUAAUCAAAUGGAGUAUAAAAUGGUAGGAAAUGUCCAUGAACAUGAGAAAGUGAGGAAUAAGGCCAUUGACAAAUUAUUUUGAAAAGUAUUCUCCCCACAAAUAUUUGCAUUUUCCUACAUACAUAAUUUUAUAUUUAUUAUUAGUCAGGAAUAUAAUAAAGAAUGGCUAAUACUAAAUAUUUCAUAUACUUACAUUGUGUGAAGACAGAGAACAUGUUUCAGAAUUUGAAUUUGCAUAUGUGGUCUUUACACUAAUAUCCUGUAUUUGAUCAAAACACAUGAUUAAAUUCUAAAUAGUUAAAAAAUAAAUUAGAAAAGUAUAUAAAAUCAUACCACUUGAUUACAGAUAUUUCCUUGAAACUCUGUUUGUAAACCUGGCUGUGAACUUGUCCUGGCUAAAUUUUGCAGAUAAUCAUCAGCAACAUCUGGACUUGAUUUCAAACUUUUAUCCUAAAUUAACAAUUUAUGUAAGUUCCAUGCACACAAAUUAAAAUAAAUUAGAAAAGUAUAUAAAAUCAUACCACUUGAUUACAGAUAUUUCCUUGAAACUCUGUUUGUAAACCUGGCUGUGAACUUGUCCUGGCUAAAUUUUGCACAUAAUCAUCAGCAACAUUUGGACUUGAUUUCAAACUUUUAUCCUAAAUUAACAAUUUAUGUAAGUUCCAUGCACACAAAUUAAUAUAACAAAUAAACAUAAAAUUAUAAUAUUAAAAUCACAAACCUGUAUUAUUUUAUUUUCAGUUUUCCUCCUGCUUCCUUUCUUUUUCACAACAACUUUUUCAACUGCAGACAUUUUCCUCUUAGAUGGUGGACGUCCUUUACCUCUCACAACUACUGGAUCUGUGAUUUUUACUUGCUCAGUAUUAACAGCUCCAGACACAUUUUUCAUCUGAUUAUCUUGUGAACUGUCAAUAACAUUAACACUGGUAUCACCCUGCAAUGUAUUCUUCAGACUAUCUAUCCAUUCCAUCACCUUUAGACUUUUUGAAUCAUCAUCCAUUGCCAAGUCUGCAACCUCAUAGAAGGCAUUACACAUCUUUUCAAAUCUCUGUGUUUCAAUCUUAACUGCCAUAGCAUUGUAAUUAAUCUUCACACGAGUGUGACAUUUUUUUAUAUCUUUUCUCCAUCUGCGUAAGAUGUACUUGGAAGGAAUGGUGUAAAUCCUUCUAUGAAUGAGCACCGAAAUUGCAUGUCUACAUAAUAUUCCUUUAAACUCAAACAACUUACAAUUACACAUCACUUCUUGAUCAUUUUCAUUCAAGGCAACCUUAAAAGAUAAAUGUCUUCGGCUUUCUCCAAACAUACAAUCUUCAACAACUUUAUACUUCGACUCCUCACUUUGAAUCGCUGAAACUUCACAAUAAAGCUUUCCCUUUAGCUCUUGUUGAAAUUCUUUAAAUUUCACAUUAGUGUAGAUGGACUGAACUUGUUUCUCCAUUUCAUAAUCUGUUAUGCACGGAUAAGUAGAGUUAUAAGAAUUAAAAUCUUCUUGAUUCUCCUUGGCCACUUUAUUUGCAAGUGCAUUAUCAUAUUGUUCCACAAACUGCUUCAAUGUUGUUUUUGAGUUGACAUAACCAUCAAAAAAUGAGUUCAUACUUUCACUUCGCUGUGUGGUGGACAUACCAGCCCAAAAUACAUCCUUCACAUAAAUAGGUACCCAACGACUUCUCUCAUCAUAUAACCCAUUUAACCAUUCAUUACUUUGAAGUUGAAAAUUUUCAAUCAUUUUAUUCCAACUUUCUUCAAACUCAUCUCUACUCAAAGAGUUGUAUACUGCAUUUUUCAGGACAACCUUUAUUGAGUCAUACUCAUCAAAACCUUUCAACUUUUCAGGCAAUUUUUUCAUUAUAUGCCACAAACACCAUCUAUGCCGAGCUUCCGGAAAAACUUCUUGAAUUGCAUUUUUCAUAGCUUUAUCUUGAUCAGUGAUUAUUGCUUUUGGAGGACGCCCGACAUACACGCAAGCCAUGAUUUGAACAACCAAAUAAAAUUAUUUAUGUCCUCUUUUGAAAUUAAUCCACAACCAAGCAAAAUUGAUUGUCCAUGGUGAUUUACCCCAAUAAACGGCGCAAAAGGCAUGUCAUACUUAUUUGUUAAGUAUGUCGUGUCAAAAGUAAUAACAUCACCAAAUUCUUCAUAUGAAGCCCUAAUUCUUGCAUCAGCCCAAAAUACAUUUUUCAACUGACCUGUUUCAUCCAAAUCCAUUGUAUAGAAAAAAUUUGAAUUAUCAGCUUGCAUUCUGAGAAAAUACUCAUUGAUGGCAUUAGCAUCCCCUUCUCCCAAUCGCAAGCGCCUCACUUUGUCAAGAAAAUUUCUACAAUCUUUUUCCAUAAAAGGUACAUUUUCAGGCCCACCAGCUUCAACAAUUAUAGACCGAUAACUCUUAUUUGGUCUUAUGCCUGCAAUAUCAUUCAACUCAAGUUUUUUAUUAAUAUAUGGAUUUAAUGCUCUAUUGCAGCGAUAGAAUCGAGAUUUUUCCGGGCUCAGGGUGUGAUUAUGACUAAGUUCAAGAGAAUUUAUAAUGCAACUUCCAUCUGCUCCAAUUAUAAUAUUUAUUCUUGCCUUGCAAUUUAUUCCAGUAGAAGGUUUCAAGCGAAACUCAUUUUUUAAUUUUGAAGCUCUCUGACCUUCUCUACAACAGGACAAAGUUUUAUAAAUUUUGUCUCCUUCACCCUUAGUUGAUGUUCUUUGAAACACAGCAAACCCUUCUUGUUUAGCAUAACUCUCAUAAUAGCAAAGAAGUUGUUCAUAUGACUCAAAAAUCAUGCCAACCUUAGGUUCUCCUACUUUAUCUACUACUGUUUGAUUUUCCAUAUUCUACACCAAAAUACAUAAAAAAAACAAUAAUAUAUAUCACACACUAUUUUCAAUAUAUGAAAUAAAUAUAUACACACAAAUGAAAUUUAAAAAAACUUUUGACAGUACAUACCUGAUGUAUGUUGCAGAUAAGAUAUAUAUGUUCUAGUUUUUGGUUGAUCUUGUGGCUCCAAGGUGUUGUGAAUGCUUGAUCUUGCGCCUUCAGAUUGAAAGUAUUUUUAUCAGAUUGUGGAAGAUGAAAGAGUUGAGUUACCAGGGAGAUGAACACGAUGACCCUGUAUCUGUAUCUGGAGAACUUAAUCGACACAUGACCAGCUUAUUAUUAGUUUAGUUUUAAAACAUGCAUUACUUUAAAAAUAUUAUUAUUAUUAACCUAUUAUUAUUUUUAUUACUAUUACUGUUACAAUUAUUAUUAUUAUUAUUAUUAUUAUUAUUAUUAUUAUUAUUAUUAUUAUUAUUAUUAUUAUUUGAUAGGAAAGUUUAAAAUUAUUUUUAAAUACAAGUAUAAUUCAUUCUAUGCUAGAAUCUUCAUUUUUGUAAAUUCAAGUGGUUUUUUGCAUAUUAAUUUUAACAUAAACUAAUUAAAAUAAAAUAAUUUGAAUUUGUUAAAUUUUUAAUACAAAUAAAAGUAAAAUAUAAGUUUUAGGAAAGAAUUGAUGACAAAUUAAAUGAGAGAGUAGAUAUUGAAUGGAUCUUAAAAAAUAAUAUGAGUGUGAUUAAAUAUUUAACAAUAAAAAAGUAAUAAAACAUAAGAGGAAAAAUUAAUUAAAUAAAUUUUGUAAUAUAGAAAAAGUGAAGUUAAAUGAGAAACAAAGAACAAAAGAAACAAAAAUGAAAUAAGAGCGUAGAUGCACGUCAGGCGCGCCAGCUCAUUCUGUACACAAUUCUGUAUCUAAUUCUACGGACCUAGCAUUUCUCCUUCUUUAAUUAUGACAACAGGAGAUACAUGGACCUAUUUCAUUUGAAGUUGUUAGCGAAGUCAAAUUCUUGGUAUGGCCCAUUGGAAAAUAGAUCAUACAUUCAGAAUACUUGGGCGCAUGUUGACGCUUAGAGCAGGCCCAUGCAAAUCAGCCUAAAGCAUAGGUGCAUACAUAUGUUAUAUGCACGGGCUCAUUGUUAAAAGAGUAAAUAACAAAGUGGUAUAUCUAUUAUCUAGGUUUACAAAUUUUACAAGAUAGAUGGUUGAAUUUUAAAAAUUAUAUAAUGAUGGUCGGAGUUUAUUUUCACUUUUUAAUAAGGUGGCGUACAUGAAUUUCCGUUAAUUAACCUCUGUUAACUCCAAAAAAUAAAAGAAUAAACGAUAAAGUGGUGGAAAUCCGACCAACAUUUUGUGAAAUUUGAAAAACUACGGCCACCAUUUUGUCGUUUAUUUUUUUAUUUUUUGUAAUUAACGGAGGUUCACGCCCGCCACCUUAUUAAAACGCGGAAGUAAACUCCAGUCAUUACUAUGUAGUUUUUAAAAUUCAGUCAUCAUCUUGUAAAAUUUAGAAAACUACGGCCACCAUUUUGUCAUUUACUCUUAUUAAAAUUAUUAAAAAUAUAGACACUUUUUAUUAUAAGGUAAAGAUCCCGGUAGGUUUAGAACUCUGAGUUGAAAAACUGGAUUAGACUAAGCUAUUUAUAUAAUCUAUCAUAAAUCAUAAUUCAGGUUAUUGCAAGCACCAAAUUGAUGAUUAGCAGGCCAAUAAGAUUACAAGAUUUAAUGUGUUUUUUUAAUUCUUUUCACGCCAUAUACAUAAAAUGUAGAAUAUGCAGAGCUCAACAAAGUCUAUGUGCCUCGUGAUCAUCAAUAGUUUGAUGAUUAGGGUAAUCCAUGUAAUUAUGCUAGGUGAUUUAUACUAUUACAACAAAUUUUGUACAAAAUCAAUGGUUGAGAAAGAAAUAAACAUCUUUUCUAAUCACCCUCGAUUUAAUAUGUAAAUUUAUUUUAUUCGCAUUUUAUUCCGUUUCAUCCAAACAAACACAAUUUAAGAAUCAUGUACAAGCCAAAUAAAUAUAAAAAAUACCGAUAAAGAAAAUGUAAUAAAAAAUUGUAGAAAACAGAGCCAUCGUGCAAGGACGAUACGUGCGAAGAGCCAUGAAAUAUGAUUUUAGAAUAAAUUUAAGGAAUUUCUUUUUGUAACAGAAACAAAAGAAAAGAGAUACGCAUGCAGCAAGUUUUCAUUUUUAAUCAAUGAUUACAAAGUAAUAAAGUAUAAGAAAAAUUAAUGAGCCCCAAAUCUUUCCCUCCCACAUUCUUUGAUUUUGGUCGCUUUAGACAUCCAAAGGUUACGCCACUGGAUGAUAUUUAUGUACUUCUUAACUAAUCCAAAACCUAAUAAAAAAAAAAAAAAGGAACUAAUUAAUUGGAUUAGUGUAACAUGGUCACAUGUAAAUUGGUGUGCCGAUUAGACCUACAUAAUCAAAACUGAUGGUUUGGCCAAAUACGACAACAGCCGAAAACUUGACUAUAAGUGUGAUUAAUUAAAAGAUUAUUAAGAUUACUAAACUGACAAACUUUAUCAAAGUAGCUAGAUACCCAUCUUCAUCAAGACUACAUGUGAUUAGGGAGCUAGGAUUGGGCAGUUUUGCUUAUUUUUAGAUUAUUAGGCUCUUAAUUAGACAGGUUUAGUUAAUUAGGACCACUGAACCUGUAUGUAUGCACUCUUACUAACGGUUAAAAUAAUCUAACGGGAAAAAAAGUUUAAUAGACUUGUAAAUAAGAUUAUGCUACUCCCUCCGUCUCUUAAUACUUUUCCUGUUUGCUUUUGACACGUUUGCCAACGCACACUUUUAAUCGUUAAUAUCUUUAAUUUUGUAUUAGUAAUAAAUAUAAAAAUUUCACUGUAUUAAAGUACUCAUAAAUACGAAUUCAACAAGAUCACUCAUGACUAUAUUUGGUUUUAUAGAUUAAACGUAAGUUAGUAAUUUGUCUCAUGUCAUGAACAGUCCCGACAUUUCAAAUGAGAAAAGCAUUUAGGCACGGAGGGAGUAAAGUUUAUGCCCCCCAAUUGAUGAACCAUGCUUACUUUAUGGGAGCUGCUCCUCAUCUUUGUGAUUAGUUUAACGUGUGUUUUGUAUGCAGAGCUUGUCAUUGAUGAUUUGUUAAUCUUUCUUGUCUUUUUUCUCGUGGAAUUAAUUAUGGAUUAUUAAGCUGACAAGAGGAUGAGAACUUUGACCAUAUUUCGGGUGUGUGUGGUUUGGUACUCCAGAAGAUUGAUCAUGUGUUAUCAGUAAACUAAGAAGUUUUGUGUCAUUUUGUAUCUUGAGAUUUCUAUUGCGGAUAAAAAUGAGAACCGAUAAUUUAAUAAAUUAAAUUUUGUUGUUUUCCGAUUAAUUGGGUCAGACUUCUAUGAGUUUUUAUUUGAGCAGAACCUCGGUCGGUGAUCAUCUAUGAAGACGUUUGGAUCAGUGAUCAGAGUAAGAAUCUUGAAUGACACAAACAAUUUAUGUUACCCGGAGUCGACUAAAAAUGUCCAACAUGAAUACGUCUCAGAUUCGGCAAUAAUUUAAAAAUUGUACAUAUUUUUUUGCUUAGAAUAAGUGUUAAAAUAUUUAUAUCAUAUUCGAGUGUCGAGUGUCCGAUACAGAAAUUCAAGAUAAAAUAAAGAGUCCAGGUAACAUAACAUAGAUGAGAACUUGUUAAUGAGAACGGAAAUGAUAUGAAAAUAAAUGAUUUAUCCAUCUGUCGGUAAUGUGGUUCCCAUUUGAAGCAACUAACUUACUUAUCCAAACACCAACAAUGUGAUAAGAUUACAAUUAUGUUAACUGAACCCAUUAACUAUUACAAUUAUGUUAACUGAACCCAUUAACUAUGAAGCAAACGUUCCAAAAUUUGUUAUGAAUCAAUAACAUGACGAAAAUUUGAUCAUGCAUGUGAGAUGGUGUAACUGUAGGAUACACCAAAGAUCUGACAUUAGUUAAAUACAUCAAGAUUUUGUAUAACAGUAUCUGAGAUCAUGUAUAAAUGAAUCUAAACGAUACAUUUAACAUGGACAAAUUAAAUUGAAGCAAGCAAAUCAGGCCUUCUAAAUCAAGAUCAACCUAGAAACCAGAGAAGACAUAUUGCUUUGGCUGCUGCUAAAACCUAAAAUGAUCCCAGUUAAUAAUAUUUAUAGCUGCCUAGUCAAUUCUGAGAUGCUUGCUUGAUAAUAAAACCAAGAUAAAAAGUUUUAAACUCUCUAACUCAUGGCUGUGAUGCUGCAUACGUUAUAUUGGUAGCUUAGCCGAAUCGAAAAAACCGAAUCAACGAAAUUAAUGAACAUGGUUGCAGUAAAAGAGGAAACAGGAUCUUGUAUCUGCAAUCAUUAACCUAUAUAAAAUUCAAUUCAGAAUCAGCAAAAAGCCUUGAACCAAGAAGAUACAGAGUUGCAGCAUGUAUAUCCAGCCUUCUUGGACUAGUUUUCGCUUCGAAACAUCGAUAUGUGGCAUGAAGUGCUGCUCAAUUCAAACACAAGUCUGGGGGUUUGCAUUUUCUGUCUGAUGUGUUAAGUCCUUUUUUUUUUUCAGUCUUUCUUCAAGUGUUUGCAAUGAAACAGGGCUUCCUGCUGAUUGAGUGAUGCACAAAUGUGUAUCUUAAGGCUCAUGAUAAAGAGCUCCACAUGGGGCCAUGUUGAUCUUGAUUAUAUUCUCAUCCAGUUUGCAGAUAAUCAGUCAAAUUAUGGAGCAGUCAGAGUUAUAUAUGCUACUUCUUUUGAAGGUGGCCACAUGACUGGUGAUCUAGUGGAUUUGUUAUAAAUUGAUUACUGAGAUAAUCAAGAUUAAGGAUGGUAUCUUCUUUGGUUGCGAGAUAUUUUUCACUUUGGUAGAAGGAUGGGAAUGUGGUAGGGCCGUGAUAAGCAUAUUGUUACUUUAAAUUCAAAAGAGCGAUUUCCAUGUAACAAUGAGUUGUCCCACAUCAAUUGUGUGAGGGGCAGAAAAUUAGAAUAGCAACUUCAAUAAUACGAAUCCUUUAGGGGUGUCCAAAAACAAAGUCGUAUGGACUAGGUCCAAAGCAGAUAUUGUGGAGUUAUGGCUUACUUAGUUAGUCCAACAAGUAAUAUCAGUAUCUGUCUCUUUCUAGAGACAUCUUUAAAUGGUAUAUCUGUCUCUUUCUAGACUCAUCUUGAGAUGAGAUUAUCAUGGAGACAUGGAUUGUUCCAAACUGGCUCUGUAAUCUAGUUAUAAUACGAGACAACUCCUAAAAUUACGUCGUAACAAUCAAUCCAUUACUCGGACUCGGUUUUUACUAAUGUACAUCAGUUACACAUAUUACGUGUUGCACAUACGUAUUGUCGCUGAGGAGACAUGGAAAACUACUGAACAUAGUUAAGCUGAGCAAGUGUGUUGGAGUAAUUUGAAGCUGCAAACUGUAAACAUUGCAACUUUUGUGCAAUCUGUUCCCCACCUAAAAAUAUAGCAUGCUGAUGCUGAUAAAUAAGCGGCUCAAUAAUUGAAGCACCCCGAAAGAAAUCAAAAGAUUCAGUACAAAGUUAGUCCGUGAAAUAUGGAUGUCAACCAGCUAGCUAGGUCUCCUUUUGUGUAGCAUAUGCCCUCUUUUCUGAUUAUAUGUAGAAACAAAUAACUGCCCCUUAACCUAUCUGCCUCGGAAUAUCAUUUAAAAUUUUGUAGCUUGCAACAAAAAUUAUAGGACUGUUUACUGUUUAGCUCACAUUAAAAGAAGUCAUUUAUUAUUUAAAAUAAAUAAAUGAUUAUAAGUGAGUAAUUGUGCCCGUUUGGGUAACCAAACUUCUGACUUCUUUUCGGAAGAAGCUGACUUCUAAUUUUCUUGGCUUGUUUGUGUAAAAAGCCAGAAACACUUAUAAAAAGCUACGAAUGAUAGCUUGUGUCUCAGGACUUCUGCUUAUUUCAAAACAGUUUAAUCACUUAUAAGUCUUAAUCUGCUUCUCACUUCUAGUACACUUCUUUACUUUAAGCAAUAAGCACUUUUUUAAGUUUAUCCAAACGGCUCCGUUGAUUUGGAUUUUUAAAUUAUUAAAAAUAUUGAAUAUCAUGAUUUACAAGUUAUUUAGGUUAGGUUUUGCUGUUUGAAGAAACUGUUAACAUAAAAAUUUAUAUUAAUAUGAAAGUUAGGAUCUCCAAAAUUUAUAUUAAAAAUGUGACAUGCAUCAACAAAUUUUAGCAAUAAUCUGAAUAUUGGAGCUCGUCAAACCUUUUCUUGCAUGUUAUACAAAGAAAAUCGAAAUGAUUUUAGUAAGCGGGGAUGUCUCUUUUAUCACAACAAUACAGAAAAAACCAAAAAGGAAAAAGUUAUCACAUGUCAAGUCAAAGCAUGAAAUGCAGUAAAAUAAAACAAACCAAAAAAUAAAGCACCAAGGUAUUACUUGAGAUUAGUGUGGAAUAAUCAGAGAUAAUAUGAUUCCCUUUUUAAUUAGGAGAAGUUAAUCUUUUUCAUUUUAUAAUUAAUAUCUGUGGGUGAUACAUGUAUGUAACACUGUGCAAGUUGAUUGUGUUUGACCAGAAUGACUGGUGAAGACUUUUGGUCUGAGGGCAAGGUGACACAGUACAUGCGUUGCGCCGACCGACACGUGUAAUACAAUGGGCCAAUGGCCCUUGUCCAUAUUAAUAUAGGUUGGGUUCACCUGCCCUAGGCUUUCUAGAACGGCUCAAUAGUUAGGAAUACAAUUAUUUUUGGAGUUCGUAGUUAUUUUCUAAAAGGAUUCUUACUGUAUUUUGAAUGAUCCGUAAGUCGUAUCGAUUCUGGUAUCACGGUGAAUAUUGUAAAAACUCAUCUUUCACAAUAAAAAUUUGUACAUAUUUUAUGAGUCCUUGUUGCUCAGAUAUCAAUUGAUAUAAUUGAAAGUUCUGAAUGUGGGCGACAGAUGAUGUUUAUGUGAAAAUCAAUUGUGAUGCUACUAGUUUCAUAGUUUCAUAGAUGAUGUAGAUUGGAUUGCUGGACAUGUCAUUGUAUUACUUUUUGGAUCAAAGAAUUUGAAUAUUCUAUGUGUGUUAAGCGAUCUGAAAACAAAACGGCUACUUAUUUGUUUAGCUCGUUCUUUGUUUUACAAUAGAUUGUAGUUGACAGUUCGGGGAUUUGUCCUCACUGGAUGCUGAUGAGUAAUUUCCGUUAAUAAAAUCAUUUGUUUGUAAAAAAAAAAGAAUUAUUAUAUAUAUUUUAACUAAUAUGAGUUGCUCAAAAUUAGUCUUAACAAAGAAAUCAUCAAUAUACUUAUAUAAAGGAGAAGCGAGGGGCGUAUAGGUGGCGCCUCUCUGAGAGCUCCGUUAUAUUUUUUCAAUUUUCUAGAAUUUUUGGAUGAAAAAAUAUCAAAAAUAAAAACUGUCUUUUUUAGUUUCGGAUAUACUGGAAGAAAGUUUCAGAACUAUCUUUUUCAAAAUAUCAAAAUCAAAUCAGAAUUUGAAACUAUCAUCAUAUUUUUGAAAAAUGUGUAUAUCAAAAAUAGAAAAUAUUUUUGAUAAGUAAUCUCUUCUCAAAUCAACUUCUAUAAUUGUAUCAAAAUUAAAUCAGAAUUUGAAACUAUCAUCAUAUUUUUGGAAAAGGUGUAUAUCAAAAACAGUAAAUAUUUUUGAUAAGCGGUCUCUUCUCAAAUCAACCCCCUAUAAAUUGAGGUCAGACAUCAUAAAAUUUAAUGCACACAAUUUUUUUUAAGCUUAUUUGUCUUCUCCAACUAAUAUAAUAAUGAGUUACACUAUGCUAGAUAUUUGUGCUAAAUGUAUUGAAUGGUGAUAGAGAUGAUUGGCUGAUAAGAGCAAGAGUUCGUCGGAUGUGGGAAUAAUACAGUCUUGACAUGAUAUUGUUGGAUGAAAAGUUCAAUAAAUUAAUUGUUAGGCAUACAUGUUUGUUCGUUAUUUUUUUAUAAUGUUUGUUUUGUUCAUCGGACAUGUUUGUUGUUAAUUUUUAUAUGAUUUACUUUGUAUACAGGAAAAGAUUAUUCAUGCAACACUUCCACAAUAUCUGUUUGCUCGGUUCAAGCAUCUUUUAAGUGAAAGUUGUUUAUAAAGUAUCAAAAAAAAUAAAGAUUUUUGCAACUCGCAAGCAAGGUCAGUUAUAGAUUGCGAUCGCAUGGAUUUAAAUUGAUGUUUUUGCGGACAACCAAUCCAAAAAAAAGAAGGAGGGAAUCACUAAUAAACCUGUGAAUAGAUUGGACUUCAUACAUCCCGAGAUGAUUAAUGUUCGUACAACUAGAACAUAAUGUCUAGGAUGGUUUCAAAGUUGUAUCUCAAUAUUUUUUAGACUUUUACGCACCAAUGUUAAACACAUCUAAAAUUAAAAUUUGUCGUGCUUUGAAUCAUUUGCAUCCAGAUUUUUAUUUUCAUUUUUCCACUCAUGAAUUAUAGUCCAAUUUUACAAUUUUAUAUAUUAAUAUUGGUAUUGUAUCGAGAUGUUUAUAAUAUAAAUUUAUUUUUAUUCUAUAAAUAUUAAUUUUAAAUCAUUAAUAUAAUUUUUAUAAGUUGCCUCAAAUUUAUUUUAUUUUAUAAAUAUUAAUAUUAAAUUGUUAAUAUAAUUUUUUAUAACCCGCCGCAACGCGCGGCUUCUCAACUAGUUUGAAUAAACAGAAGAUGAGAUCCGUAAUAUUAAUCAACUACUAAAGUUCAAGUAUUUGGACUAUCAAAUUUUUAACAUUUUAAAUUUAAUAUAUAAUAUAAAUUUAAACAUCAAACGUUUUAUUUACUUAUAAGCAUAUAUUAAAAAUAUUAAUUCACUACUCUGUGAUUUAUUUGUCAUGUUCAUUUAUUUGAAUGCUUUCUAUAUAAUAUCAGAGUUUGAAAUUUUCUUUUUAAAUAAAAAAUGAGAAUACUAUUAUUUUAUUCAAUUUAUCAAUUUAUUGGCCUUAUAUGUUUAUACAUUAAAAUUUGAAUUUAUUCACUUAAUUUUAUUUCUUUGGUGACACAUACGGGUACACCAAUAUAAGUUAUACCUUGUAUAAUAAAAUUAUGUAUAAAUAUUUAAAUAUUCCAUAUUAAUCUUGUGAGAAGUUAAAUAUGCAUAUUUUCGCCCAAACCUCUUAGAUAUUUUGCGUCAUUUAAAAAAAUAAAAAUAAAUUUUGAUGCAUGGCUUGUUUAAUGUUCCCACACUUCACAUGUGAGUAGUGAGUGCAAGAUCUACUGGUUACAAACUUGAUCAUUCUUGUCUUCACUCCUGUCUUGUGAAAAGAAUCCGUCAAGUAAUUCAAUUAAAACAUGUUAUUUAUAUAAUAAAUGAGGCAAAACAUCACGCCAAGGGCCCUAACCUUAAUUAUUGAAUCAUUGAAAUCAUGGGUAUAGGAUUCUAUUGUCAAUGCUCAUGCUCAUCCUGUGCCCAUGGACCCAUUUCUGUUGUCACUCACCAAACCAAACCAAGGGCAUGAACCUGUCGACCAUCAUCUACUACAAAAAUGGGAGAGUAAAGCUCGGAAUCAGAAUUUCGAAACAUCCGAGUCAGGAUAUUUAAUUUCCACAAUUUUAUCAAAUACCCAAAAAUAGUAGAACUAAAAAAAUAAAGGGUCCGUUUGGUUGAGAGAAGCAGAAGCUGCUUCUGGUUUCUACUUCUCUUGACCCGUUUGUGUAAAGAAUUAGAAGCAUUUUUAAGAAGCUGAGAAGAAUAGUUUCUGCUUUUUUUCCAAACAAUUUAUUAACUUAUUUACUUCUCACUUCUACUUCACUUCUUUAUUAUAAGUAAGAAAUUACUUUUUUUAAGCUAACCCAAACGGUCCCAAAAUUUACUCACUUUUUAAAGACGAGAAAUAUUAUACUAAAUUUGGAUUUUAGCUGAUCGGUCGAGAUUUGAGUUCAGUUUAUGACAUUAAGUUAGCCCCUCUCUAGUUGGUCUACUGGGCAUCAAUAACAAUGUUCAUUCAUACUACCCCGUAAGAUUUUUUGUUUUUACCUAGCUCCCGAAUGUUACUACUCGGUUAACAUUAGUACUUGUAGUAAAAGAAGAAUGACCAGAGUGGUCAGUGGAGAAAGGAGGAAAAUAAAUGUCAGUUACUACAUUACUAAUGAAGGGUGUGUUUGUUUAUGAAGUUGGUUUCAAUUGACAUAUUGAGGAAGCUGUUGGCCUCUAUGUUCUCUGUACUCAAAGUGGGGCUGUGUCCUAAAAGAUGCAAGAGAGAAGGCCAGUGGUUGUCCUGUCACAUGGCAGGUACCUAUCAAACAAGAAACUUAUUUUAUCUCUUUUCUUGGACGCAAGCAUUUUCUUCACUAUAUUAUCAACACAUUAUGCAUAAUAAUAGAUAUCCUGCAAGACUGCAGCUUCAUUUCAUUUAACCCCGCAGAGAUCAUACUUAGACCAUCUACAAUGCAGGGACACAUUGUGCCUCGGGGCAUGCAAAAAAGAAGUGGGCACCUCAUAUACACAUGUUUAGCAUUGGAGAGAAGUUAAAAAAAGCGGCCAUGGACAGCAUGGUGUCCCUGGACAACUUCUGUAAAACCUGCUUAUUUAUAUUAUUUUAUUACAAAAACUGAAAAAUGCUGCAGCUACUUUAUACACAUACAUCAACAAUUGAAAUGAGGAAACGGUAAUAUUAACGUUACGAAUGUAACGUUAAUAUAUUAACGGUAAGAUUUUUUUUUUAUAAAUACCUAAAAAUUCACAUUUUAUUAUUCACACUCUUACUUCUUGAAAAAUUAAAAUUUCUCUCAAAAGAUGAAUCCAAAUAAUCCCCCACCUCCAAAUUCUACAAAUCCGAACCCUCAAUUUCCAUAUCCAUAUCCAAAUUCUUAUUUCCCAAAUCCACAAAAUUUUAAUUCUCAAACCCCAAAUUCUCAAUACCCAUUUCCACAUUCUCAAAAUUCUCAAUAUCCAUUUUCAUAUCCUCAAAAUUCUCCAUAUCAGUAUCCAUUUCCUACAUUUUCAAAUUCACAAUUUGAAACUCAACAAUCACCUCCUAAUUUCGAAAAUUCUCCACACUCACAAGUGCCCGCCUUUAAUAAUAGAAAUUUUAUUGAUCUAAAUGAUGAUUUUGAGGAAACUGAAGAAGUACGAGAAAUUACUGGACAGUGGAAGUGGGCUGAAGAUAAGCUUUUAAUAAGUGCAUGGUUGAAUGUGUCAAUUGAUCCCCUAGUGGGCACUGAUCAAAAAGCCGACGCAUUUUGGGACCGAAUUCAACAAUAUUGCGAGGAAGAUAAUCCCGGUGUCAUCAAGAGAGGAGCUGCAGCUAUGAGAAAAAGGUGGCAACGCAUAAAUGAAGGUGCUCAGAAAUUUGGAUCAUGUUAUGAAGACGCUUAUAAGAAAAUGGGGAGUGGUGCAAAUUUGGAUGACGUAAAUGAGAAAGCUCAUAUUUUGCAUUCUGCCAAAUACAAAAAGAAGUCUAACUUUGAUAAGCAUUGGUUUGAGCUUCGUAGACAACCCAAGUGGAGAACUCCUUCAACCACUGACAGUUCGAAAAGAACUAAAAUAAGCAGCUCUGGAGCUUACUCAUCAUCGGGAAAUAACGAUACACCAACAAGUGAGAAUGUUGCUGAAUCUCCUGUUCGUCCUAAAGGUAGGGAAGCGGCUAAAAGAAAGGGAAAGGGAAAGGCAAGAGCGGUACAAGCGUCCGAUGAGUGGGAAGAAUUACGAGCUAGUACAUGUCGAAAGCUAAAUCUAAUGGAAGCAAUAAAUGAAACUCGUCAAAAGGAAAUUGAGACUCGAGAAAAAGAGAUUGAGGCAAAGCAAACUGAAAUGGAUUUACAAGUCAUUUUGGCAGAUACUACUAAAAUGAAUGAUAUUCAGCGGAUGGCUCAUUCAAAAUUGCUUGAAAAAAUUAUGGCAAGGAACUAGUUUGUUUUUAUUUGUUUGUAAUGUAGCCGUUGGAGGCUAGUGUUUGUUUUCAUUUGUUUGUAAUAUAGCCGUUGGAGGCUAGUGUUUGUUUUCAUUUGUUUGUAAUAUAGCCGUUGGAGUCUAGUGUUUGUUUUCAUUUGUUUGUAAUAUAGCCGUUGGAGUCUAGUGUUUGUUUUCAUUUGUUUGUAAUAUAGCCGUUGGAGUCUAGUGUUUGUUUUCAUUUGUUUGUAAUGUAGCCGUUGGAGGCUAGUGUUAGAAUAUAUUCGUUUUUUUCUUCUAUAUAAACUACUUGUGUUAGUUUGUUCAAUUCACUUUACAAUGGAUCAAACACCUUCACUAGAAAAGUUUACUGAAGAAUUCAUCGAUGAGUUUUGUUUCGAUGAUGCUGAAGACAAUCGUCGUCUUGAGUUGUAUCAUGAAAUAUACGGACAGAGCUCACGAUCCAAGCCUCGAAAAAGUAUAUUCAGAGACCGUGAAUCAGGUCAUCAGCGUCUCAUGAAUGAUUACUUUUCACCGAAUCCAGUAUAUCCUGAACAAAUCUUCCGCCGAAGAUUUCGUAUGGGAAGACAUGUUUUUCUGCGUAUUGUGGAUGCUCUUUCAAAUUCUGAUCCAUACUUUCAACAAAGAAUCGAUGCAGUGGGAAGAAAAGGCUUAUCACCUUUACAAAAAUGCACUGCAGCAAUACGUAUGUUGGCGUAUGGAGUAUCUGCUGACGCUGUUGAUGAUUAUGUUCGUAUUGGAGAGACUACGGCGAUUGAAUGCUUAAAGAAAUUUGUCUCUAAUAUCAUUAUGAUAUUUGAGAGUGAAUACUUGCGCAAGCCGAACUCCAAUGAUGUAGAACGUCUACUACAGAUGGGCGAGGCUCGUGGAUUUCCUGGUAUGAUGGGCAGCAUUGACUGCAUGCACUGGCAGUGGAAAAAUUGUCCUAAAGCGUGGAAGGGAAUGUUCAUGAGUGGUCACAAAGGAGUUGCAACAAUUUUACUAGAAGCUGUUGCUUCAUCUGAUCUAUGGAUAUGGCAUGCAUUUUUUGGAGUUGCUGGAUCAAAUAAUGACAUAAAUGUAUUAGACCGAUCACCAGUAUUUGAUGAAGUGUUACAAGGUCGUGCUCCAGAGGUAAAUUAUACUAUCAAUGGGAACAAUUAUAAUAUGGGCUACUACUUGACAGAUGGAAUAUAUCCUGAAUGGGCAACAUUUGUGAAAACAAUAUCACGUCCACAAGGUGAGAAAAGAAAAUUAUUUUCGAAAUAUCAAGAAAGUCAGCGAAAAGAUGUUGAACGAGCGUUUGGUGUGUUGCAGUCUCGUUUCGCAAUUGUUCGUGGUCCUUCACGUUUUUGGGACAAAGCGGAUCUUGGGAGAAUUAUGAGAGCAUGCAUCAUAAUACAUAACAUGAUUGUUGAAGACGAGAGGGACACGUACGCCACUCAAUUUGGUCCUUUACCAACUUAUGAUGAUGCAACAAAUGGCUUAAUGCAACCAAAUUUAGGUGAAGAACCUUUUAUCCCGUAUGAAACGUAUAUUCAAAAUAUCAUACAGCUGCGUGAUAAACGGACACAUCGUCAGCUCCAAAAUGACUUGAUUGAGCAUAUCUCGCAGUUUCACAACAAUCGUUAAUUUUUAUAUUGUAAUUUUUAAAUUUAAUGCUUUCCUGUGUGAUGUUUAUGUAACAUUUUAUCAUUUAAGUUUUUAAUAAUAUGAUGCAUUUUAAUUACAUGAUAUGUUUUUUAUUUUAAUAAAAUUUUUUAAAAAAUAAACACAGAAUAUGAGAAUUAGAAAAAUUAAGUUAAAUUGUAACGACAUAGCAUACGUAAAUUUACUACAAAUAUGAGACAAUAAAAUAAUUAAAAUGGGUCCUACAAAAAUAAAGCAAAUGGGCUGUACAUUGCAUGAGCUUGGAUAGUUUUGGACGGUGGACAGUUUUGUGAUGAGGUGGUAUCCAAAUGGGGCCCAUUGAAGAAAAACUUGUCCACAGCAUUGUGGAUGGUCUUACUACAUUGAUUUCUGCAAUUAGUCACAGGUACUGCUGGCCAAAUGAGAGGUUUCGAACCACUCGUGCAGAACCAGACUGUUAAUUAUUCGUUUAAAUUUAAUCAAGUAGCGGUUUGAACCGGUCCGGCCCGAAUUGUUAAAAAUAACGAAUCGAAUACAGGUCGUUAAGUUUAAAAUCACAAUCGCCCGCAAAUCCGACAAGUUGGGCAUAUUUGGGAAUCAACAAAUUAUUCGUGAAUUAUUCAGCCCGCGAAUCAACUCCUGUUGUUCGGUUACGUGCUUGUUUUUCGGUGCACCAUGGUUAACGUGUGUUAACACUUGUUUGAAUUUAUUUAUUUGAUUUUUAUAAUUAAAUUAAUGUAACGAUGCGGUCUGUUCCAUUUUUUUAAAGAGGAUAAUGGUCAGUCAAAGGUUGUCCUCUACUCAUUCGAACUGUUGCCAAGUCGACCCAGGUCGAUUGCCCUAGUGGCCAAGACCAGUUACAAAGACCAAGUCCACCACAACGUUAUCUUCUUAUCACUCGUUGUAACUGGCAACGCUUCUUUUAUAUGAAUACGUUUAUUCGCUAUAAUGCCGUUGUAACUGGCAACGCUUCUUUUAUAUGAAUACGUUUAUCCACAAUAAUGUUCAUGUUAUUCGUUAUACUUAGUAAUAAUUUUAUUAUACGAAUACAAUUAUUCAGUGCAACGCUUUUUUAUCCGUUAUAAUAAUAACACUUAUGAACAAAACUUGUGAUUUUUUUUAAUCUUAUCACGCUUUUUAUUCGCAGAAAAAUAUGUCACAAACUGACCCAAUUGUUGAUGAAUUAUUGGCGAUUCAUUAUAAAGGACCCUGUCUAGAUUGUUAUUAUCGGUUAUAACUAGUAACGCUUCUUUUAUAUGAAUACAAGAAUACUCCGUCCGUUCCUUAGUUGUUUACACGAGGCGACGGGGGCGCAACAUGUACUUUAAUGCUUUCAUAAAAUAUAAUUUGACAAAUUAUUUUGAAUUUUAUUUUUUUGACUAAAAGUUUAAUAUUUUUAUUUUUGGGAAAAAAUUUAAAAUAAUUUAUGAAAUUCUAUUUUAUAUAUAUUUUAAAGUACGUGUUAAACAAUGUAAAAAGACCGUAAAAAAAAGAGGGAUAAAGGAAGUAACACUUUCUUUUGUAUCUAUACAAUUAUCCGUGUAAAGUUUUUUUACCCAUUAUAUAUAGUAACACUUUGAUUUAUAUGAACAAAAUCUAUGAUUCUUUUUAAUCUUAUCAAAUUUUUUAUUCUUCAAAAUAUGUCAUACAUUGACCUAAUUAUAAACGAGUGAGCUCUGCAAUAUUUAAUCAUGAGAGACAUAGUCUACAACAUUUACGUUUUUAUUAUCCGUUAUAACUAGUAACAUUUUUAUUUAUGUGAAUACGCUUGUUUAAUAUAAUGUUUGUAUAUCCGUUAUAAGUAGUAAUAUUUUCUUUCUAUAUGGAUACGAUCACUCAUUAUAACAUUUUUUUUACCCGUUACAAAUAACAACACUAAAUUUAUAUGAACGAAACUUGUGAAUAUAUUCGUCAUCCCACUUCUAAUAUAAUUCACAAAAAAUAUAUCACGAACUGACCCAAUUAUGAAUUAGUUUAUGUUACUAUGUUUAUAUGAUCACCAGAAUGCAGAAACAAUACAAAGAGGAAGAGAGAAAUGUAAAAAAAUCAUAAAGAAAUGAGAGGAACAAAUGAAGCAACACUUUUUUGUAUAUGUAUACAAUUAUCUGGUGUAAAGUUUUUUACCCAUUAUAGAUAGCAACACUUGAUUGAUAUGAAUAAAAUCUAUAAAUUUUUUUUUUAAUCCUAUCUCAUUUUUUAUUCGCCAAAAUAUGUCACAUAUUGACCCAAUUAUAAAUGUGUGAGAUCUGCAAUUAGUCAUAUGAGACAUAGUCUACGACAUUUACGUUUAUUAUCGGUUAUAACUAGUAACGCUUCUUUUACAUGAACAUGCUCGUUCAAUAUAACGUCUAUACAUCCGUUAUAACUAGUAAUUUUUUUUUAUAUGAAAACGAUUACUAAUUGUAACGUUCUUUUAUCCGUUAUAAAUAACAACACUAAAUUUAUAAGAACGCUUGUGAAUUUUUUCGUUAUCACACUUUUAAUUCACGAAUAAUAUAUCACGAACUGAUCCAAUUAUAAAUGAGUUUAUGUUACUAUAUAUGUUUAUAUGAUCGCCAGAAUGCAGAAACAAUACAGAGAGGAAGAGUGUAGAAAGUGAUAGCUCCAGAAGUUGAGUAAAUAUUCAUUCCAUUGUAAUAAAUAAAACAUACAUAUCUCCUCAUUAAUGAAAUUGAAAACCGAACUAACUAUAUACUCCCUGUCCCAUUUUAACUGAUGUUUGACUUUUUGACACGUAUAUUGAGAUGCAAAAAACCUAUAUCUACACUUAAUAAAAAAAUUCAAUUUUUAUAUCAAAUUAAAGUUUAGAUUCUAAACUUUUAUUUGAUAUAAAUUAUACAAAGAAUAAUUAUGUUUAGAUAUGAUUUUUUUAACACCUUAAAAUACGUAUAAAAAAGUCAAAAGCAGUUAAAAUGGGACGGAGGGAGUAUAAACACUGUCCGUAUGUAUGCAUCCUUUUAACUCAGAACAGAUUCUGUUAAUACAUUUCCUCAAAUGUCCAUGACAAUUCAUAUUACUUUAAUCUUCAACUUCAUAACCUGCUAUUUCAGUUUUAACCUCUCUCACUGGAACUUUAACAGUGACAUCACUCUUACAGGCUCAGUGAGAUUUACUUUACUUGCAUUUAGUGCCUGCCUUUAUUCUUAAGUGAUCAACCCAUUUAUUGUGUUAUUUAUUUAUGUAGAAAAAAACUGACAUUUUAUUUAAGUUUCAUUGGGAUUUGUAGUGCUAACUCUCUCCGCAUGAUUCUGAGUUCAUCACUUCAAGCAACAAAAACACAUUUUCCUGGUUAAAAGAUCUAAACCCUUUAUUUGUUUGAUUUAUAAUUUAUAGUAUAACUUUAUAUAAGAAAAAUAUCGGGUCAUUCUGAGCUCAACCAGUGUUCUGAAGAUCUCCGAUUAAUUUUGAUUAUUUUUUUAAGGUAUUUUUACGCGGCAUGGAUUGGUCGAUUGACUAAUCUUGGCUUGUUAACCCGCCGAUCGAUUUAUCGACUACACUAUGAUUUAAUUGAAAAUUAAUUCAUAAAAUCUACUACAAAUCCUGAAUUCAUAUAUCAACUGAUCCGUUCUGAUUUUUGAUUUUUAUAACCAUGAAUUUCAAUCUAUAAAAUUAUUCGAGUUGAUUAAAUAAAAGAAAGGGAGUGCUAGUAAAUAGAAAAAGGUGAGUCUGCUGUAAACAUACAAGGCCCCAGCCCCCAGGUGAUAACCACUGCCAUACGUACCCAUCUACUUUAAACUUCUCUUUUCUCUUAUAAAUACUCCCCCUUACUCAUUUCAUCUCUCUCAGUCUCUUUCCUCACAAUUAUCAUCUUCAACAAACCCAAUCACACAGAACCACAGUUUAACUCUCUCUCUCUCUCACCUUUGUGUAGUCCCAAAAAGAAACCCAAAAGUUGCUCGAGAUUUUACUCCAACAUGGCUGCAACAACAGCUCCUAGUGUGCCUAGUACAAGUGGUGGAGGAUCAAGAAACACAGAGCUCUGUCUAGAUGAGAAGUGGAAGCUCUCCAAGAAAGAAGGCUCAUUCUCCUCAAGAAACUCAGCAUCCAUGAACCAAUCCAGCUCAAGAACUCAUCACUCAUCUUCUAGAAGAAGAUGUGCAUUCACAAGAAAGUGUGCUAGGCUUGUCAAAGAACAGAGAGCCAGAUUCUACAUCAUGAGGCGCUGUGUCACCAUGCUCAUCUGCUGGCGUGACAAUUUCUCUGAUUCCUGAUCUUUUUCAACUUUUUUCGAGAUUUUAUCUUGUGGGUCAGUUUUUUUUUUCUUGGUUAGGAGGAUUCAAGAAGACCCUUUAUAUGUAAAUACAUAUGUGAUAUGGCUAUAGAUUUUUGUUUUUUGAGGUCUAAAUCUCUGUAAGAGACACAGAUUCUUUAUGUUUAUGUAGGAUUUAUUAAUGUUAUGAAAUACAAACAUCAACUCAAUAUAUAGGUGAUGCCUUUAUAAAUUUCAGUCUUGAUGAUUGACUUGAAUUGAUGGUGCUUCUUGAAAUCUCUCCGGGAGAGAUAGGGAGAGAGAGAGAGAGAGAUUCCCAUUGAAGCAUAGCAGUGGGCAGUGCAGCACUGUGUGGAUCCGGUGUGCUAGCCUGACACUAAUCUUAUUUUAUUACAAUAAUUUACUAUAGAUUAUCUUGUAGCUCUAAAUUUUUUACCAUUUUUUAUUACUAGCGUAGAGUAGUUCAAAAUAUGUGGCAGUCUCGCAAAACUGGAUCAACGUGGGAGAGAGAAUUGACAACUUUACUUUCGUUUCUUCUUAUACUAAUGCCACUUAAUAAAGAUGCGAUUUUUAUAUGUUACCAUUACUGCUGAUCAGUGAUCAGUAUUAUAUUGAUUUGAUUUCAACGGUGGUCAUUUUAAGUUGAAAAAAUUUGGGAUAGUGGUGCAUAUGACUUUAUUGUGUAAAAUGUACGAGAAUGGAUUUUAAUAGUUACCAAGAGAAAGUAAAAGGUUAAAAGUUUUACCAGGUUUUCUGCAACUAGUACCAUCACUUUCAUUAAACAGAUUCCACAGCUGUACGUAUAUAUCACAAGAUUCACCGCGGUUAAAGUUCACUCUACCCGGUGUAACACCUCCACCUCUCGUUUAACUUAUAAGUUACUUAUAAACGGAAAAAUCUAGCACCUUUUUGGCAACCAAUAUUUUCAUAAAAUAAGUCGUUCUUUUAUUUAAAAAAAAUUUUGUUUUAGAGUUAUUUUGGAUGUAGAUGUUAAAGAAGUGUUUCAUAUUCGUUAUUUGACAAAAAUAUAAAGACUUAUUUUAGAAAAAAGUAAACUAUUUUUUUAUAAAUAAGCUCUUGUUUUUGGAAAAUAAGAUUAACCUAAUUGCAUGUUAGUAUUUUUGAAAAACUACUUAUAAGUCAUGGCCAAAUAGUCAUCGUACAAACUCGAUUGCGAGAUAUUAUGGGGCUGUUUGGCUGAACUUAAAAGAAUUGAUUUUUUAUUGCUUAAACUAUAGAAGUGAAUUAUAAGUGAAAAGUUGGCUUAAAUUUAUAAGUUAUUAUUAGCUGUUUUUAACCAGAUCGAACCUAAUUGGUUGUCACUUCCAAUUAUUUCACAAAAUAUUUACUGAAAUGUAAAAUUUACUGGAAAAUAUUGUUGGAUGAGGAUAUGGAUGAAGUCUGCAAGGGCAAGGAAAAAAAGACCAUAUGGCAGCUGCUACAACUGUUGCUUAAAAUCUUUGACCACAACAGCUGCUGGACCACUCUCAGGCUUUGACUCUUUCCGUGGAGUGGAGUGGAGGCCAUAACUUUGGGCUUUUUCACACUGCUGUGCUGCUCACUCUUUUUCACUUGUGAAUAGGACUGGGUAAAACAUAAAGUAAGGUUAAAGGCAAGUAUGAGAUUGAUGGCCUCUGCUUUUCAUACUUAAUUCUUUUUGCUAUUAUUCAAUUCUUGACCAUUUUUAUGUUUUCUAAUUACCUGGAUUACGGACUACUAAUCAAACGGUGCAAGUCUAGUUUUAUUUUAUAUUUCUCUAUUUUCACACGAAGUAAUAUACAAAAUUUCUCUUUGACCAUUUAGGUGAGUUUAAAAUAAGCUCUUCUUGAUAAAGUAAAGAGUUGAAGUAGAAACAAGUUAAGAAUUAUAAGUGAUUAAAGUGUUUAGGAAAUAAGUAGAAGUUACGAAACAAAACUUUUUAUAAAUAAUUUUUAACUUUACGGUACGAAUAAGUGGUUAUAACUUAUAGAGUCCGACCAAACACUCCCAAAAUAAUAAAUCAUCCUCCCAGCAUAUAUUGAUGUUCUAUCGAUAUUUAGAAGUGACACGUAUUCAGAACUUAGAAGUAUAGGUUAAAAAUAAAAUUCAUGAGUAGCAAUUUUUUUUAUGUUUAGACGAGCUCAGAUAUUGAAUUUGCCAACAAAAUUGAGAAUUUUCAACCAUCAAUCAAAUAAGAAUAAAGAACGGUUAAGAUAUCAUCUGACUCAUAUAUCAUGCGUUAGUGUUUCGAUUAUGACAUUAAUCACUACUCUUAUGAUUGUUUUCACAAAGCGUGAUUCUAAUUGGGAUCAGUGUAAGGGGUAAUCUGUGUUUAAGAAUUAAGAGAUCCUCCUCAACAUUUGUGCUCGAUGUAGUUGGAUUGUGUGGGUCAUUGUGGCAAUAAUGGUAAAUCGAAUUAGAUUUUGGGUGCCAUAUUUUCAAUAAUUGGAUUUGCUUUAAACUGUUGAACUUGAUUAUUUUUCUCCUCGCAAUCGACAGGUAUAUCACGCUGAUAUAAAGUUUGUGCAUUAAUCAUUUCUAACCUUAUCAUUGCUAGGGCGUGCUUUUUCAUUUUGAUUUAUUAGACUUCUAUUCUACUGUAGCCAGAUCUUCGUUCCCUCCCCGUUUUUCUUGGAAUACCAUCGCGAUUUUACGAAGUGGCUGUUUGGCGGGGCUUUUAAGCCAUGCUUCUGGACUUUUAAGUUAGAAGCACUUAUUUCGUACCGUUUGUGUAAAAAAUCGAGAAGCACUUAUAAAAAGCUACGAUUCCUAGCUUUUGUUUCAUGACUUCUGCUUUUUUCCCAAACACUUUAAUCACUUAUAAGUCUUAACUAACUUCUAACUUCUACUUCACUUUUUUAUUUUAAGCAAGAAGCACUUAUUUUAAGCUCACCCAAACGGCCCCGAAAUCUCACUCAUUUAUUGAUGAUGCAGAUCUUGUAAUUUGUUGUGAUUAUAAGGGGCUAGGUAGAAGCAAGAAUCUAGGUUCCUAGAAUGUCGAAGUUACCAUGUCAAACUUGAAAUUUAAUGUAGACGUUCAUCUGAAGUUGUUUACAUAAGUGAGUUGCAUGAAAAGCAAAAACGACUCUCGACAUCAUCUGGUGUCCGAAAAAGAGUUUUAUGCAUUUCGGGUAAAAACGUAAACAGAAAUAAACAUAUUCAGUAUAUUUUACUCGAAAUAUCAAAAUAAGAAGACUUUAAAAUGCGUGUUACCGAGCACAAUUGGAUAACCCAUGUGGUGGGUUUAUCCUCUGUUGUCUCCGAAAAUCCGGGUUCGACUCUGGCUCAUCCGAAUAGUAUUAGAAUGUGUUACCGUUACCACUAACCACUAAAACGCUAAAGUCUUGCAACACUAUGGGUAAACCUAUAUGAAGGCUCUGCUUGCGUUGCAGAAAACAUAAAAGCCAAAAUAAAUGCAUUUUGUACUGAAAGCAGUCCAAAAAAACCAUAAAUACUCAUCUUGACAAGUGCUAGGGUCAAAUUCUCAUAUCUAAUCUAUAAGCACAAACUUUAAUGCUCCUGUAAGGAUAGUUCGAAAUAUUGUUCAGUAACUUAUUUUUUAAGUACGUGUCAAGCAGUGCACGACAAAAUUGAAUGAGACAAAGAGAGUAAAAGGUAGUAAAUAUGUAAUCUAUACUAUAUUAUUAAAACUAGACAUACAAAAGGUAGUCCAGUACGGUGCAUCAUAAAUAUUGGAUCACUUAAAUCAAAUUAAUGAGAACCGUAAUAUUGAAUUAUAUAUAUUUCACUAAAAUGCUACUAAAGUUCUGAUGUUCAAAUUUCGUCAAUAACAUAAUAAUAUAUUAGAGGUGCCUCGCUUUCCCACCACUAAUCACGGCCUUUUGAGUGCUGGAACAUUUUCUAGUACGGGAGCUGAUUCACUACAUUAAGUUACACGGGAGAAUCUGCUUUGAGAAAUUGGCAAGAGUCAAAAAGGAAAGAACAUAGGACGAUUAAAGAGGGUCUCUAUAUUUUAUAGUGAGGAUUAGCGCUGUGUUAAAGAUAACUUUUUUCUAUAUGCCACCAAGCACCAAAUGGGACACAUUUGGAGCUUAGGGGGAUACCUGUCUCUCAGCUAGAACCACGGUUAACUAACAACAAAGGGUGAGCCGUAAAGAAAACGCAUACUCAGUGAAUGAGGUGGCCACACUAUCCCAUAGGUCUGCUCCAGCUCUUUUAUCCCUCGUCCUAAGUCCAUCUAAAACAUGUACCAUGUCCCAUUGGUUUCAGAAUUCAGAAUGUACCAGUAACUAACAAUAUUUCCAUCAUGUUCAGCUGUGGCAUGGCCUUAUUCUACUCAACUACCACCAUCGAUUUAAUCCCACCUUCAAUUAAUUCUCUGAAAUUAAUGUCUAUUUACACUUACUUGAACAUAUGAAUGAUCUCUUCACAAUGAUACCACUCAUCUUACAACUAAACUAUUGAUUUCAAUUAACCAGUUAACUAUCAUUAUAUAAUAGUAGACACCAGGAGAAUUAUUUUUUUAAUAUUCUCUCUCUUGAAGCAGAAAAGCAAUUAGGUAUAUUUAUCUUCAAUCGCCUUAUCUUCAAGUCUCUUCUCUCUAAUUAUGUUUCUUUCACUAAAUUAUUGCUAAUACUAAUCUACAACUUAGGGUAUUUCAAAAAUUUGACUUGUGCCAUUCGCAAAAAUUCAUUACUAUCGGAAUUAUUGUAACAUCACAAGAAGUAAAGAGCACAACAGUGCCAUUAUGAAUUCCCCAUUAAAUUAUCGUGAUUCAAGUUUCACCAUGUUUGAUCCAAAUAGUCCCAUAAAGAUUCAACAUGAGCUUUUAUAAUUCCUAUAUUUGCCCAAGCAUUCAUUUGAUCUAUUUUCAACUAUCAAUUAUAUGCAAAUUAAUUUAAGUUCCUUCAUCAGUUUAUACCUAGACACACAACAAGAAUGUAAUGACGUAACAGAUUAACCAUAAAGAAACAUUUCUAGGAUAUUAAGGUACUUUGUGCCUACAUAUUCGAACAUAAGAAUAUGAAUACUAUCUACUUUGUCAAAACAUAAUCCAAAAGGGCAAUCUUAAAUAAUACCAUAAGGUGUGAUAUUAAGCAAUAUGCUUCAACAAUUAAGAGGGGUGUAUAGUGCAUACCUGAGGUACAAGAUCUAAUAAAGAUGCACAUGGGAGCACAGAUCGUUUAUUAAAGCAACUUGCAAAAUCAUAUGGCAUAUUCACCAGCAUAUUCUCUAAAAGCCGUCAUACGUAAAUUUUCCCGGUUUACUUGGAUAAAGAGGAUAUGGCAUAAAAUAAUGAAACUUUACAAAUUCAAAAUCCGUAAAAACAUCUUGCAAGGAAAAACUAAACAUAGCUAACUACAAGUGGAUAAACAGAUUACAAUCUAAGAAACCCUUCAGAAAUGUCAUAUUUGCGCAUUCUCAGUGUAAAAGAAUCUGUGUACCUUAUACUUCAAAGAAGUCAGCUCAGAUAGUAAUAAGGCUCUACCUUUUCAGCUAACCUUCUGCACAAUAAGGUGCCGUAAUAUAAUGAAUUAUUCCAGGGGAGUUCUGUUCAUCAAGAUUAAGUCGUCCUCUUUAUUAUGUACAAGAUCCACAAUCAUGUAUGUCUCCCAAAAACAUAGAAUGUUCAUCUUUCUGAAAAGACAAUUACUAGCAUAUUACACAAACAUACUUGUAUUCAUGUUAUCGUCGAUCAAAAGGCAUGUGUCUAGGUGAAGAAGAGUUGCUAAAUACCGACGUCACCGAAUUACUCCUAACAUUCACCCUAGAAUCAGAACUUGAACUAGCAUCCAAUGAUCUUGAACCGCCAAAACAACUAAACAAAUUCCCUAAAACUCGCCUGAACCCACCUCUUUCCNNNNNNNNNNNNNNNNNNNNNNNNNNNNNNNNNNNNNNNNNNNNNNNNNNNNNNNNNNNNNNNNNNNNNNNNNNNNNNNNNNNNNNNNNNNNNNNNNNNNNNNNNNNNNNNNNNNNNNNNNNNNNNNNNNNNNNNNNNNNNNNNNNNNNNNNNNNNNNNNNNNNNNNNNNNNNNNNNNNNNNNNNNNNNNNNNNNNNNNNNNNNNGAAGCCCAGGAAAUCCUCCUCGGAGCCCCAUUAUUAUUAAACCCGCCGUCCAUCUCUGUAAACACAACAGGUAAUUCUCGUUCACCUCUCCUACCACCUGAAAACCUCCCCACAGCAAAUCCACCUCCCGGCAACCUCCAUAUCGUCAACCCAAUACUUUCAUCUUCAUUAUUCUGCUCCACAUUUUCCUCAUUCUCAACUCCACUAGACUCAAUAGGCAAUUCAUAUCGACAAACAGGACAAGAAUUACGAAUAGACAACCAAGGCACAAUACAAUCAUAAUGAUAAAUGUGCUUACAAGGCAUUUCUCGAGCUUCGGUCCCAAACUCAAACAAUUCAGUACAAACAGCACAAUGCAGCUCACUACAAACAUGAUCAUCACCAAUCACCACACUGGGCAUCGACUCAAUCGCCACUUUCGAAGCCGGUGGAUGAUCAAUCCUCCCAACUCCAUUCGCUUCAAUUUGCGAUAGCUGAUCCAACAACCGAUCGAACCCCGAACCCAACAAAGACCCCGACACACUAUUCGGCAACGGCCUCAAACCCGACCCGGCACCAUCAUCAUAAUACAACUCAAAACCCGACCCGGACACGGAUCCGGAACCCGACCCGGAAUCACCCAUUUGCUCAGACCCAUCACUAUUUCCACGAAGAACAAUGACAGGAUUGAACGGAGACCGGUCGUCGCCGGUGCGGCGACUUCGGCGGAUCGCCGGCGUGGAAUUCUGAUCUAAAUUGGCGCGAUUUCCGAUCAUGAACAAGCGGUUUCGGUUCGGGUUAUCGAUGGACUCCACAAACCCGGCGUUACAAUCGGGGCAAGAGAGAUUAUUAAGAGAUUGUUGAUUUAAAACCCUAACGUAUCGGCUGCAUCUGUAGCACCAGUGAGAAGAAGAAGGCAUGUUUGUGUGUGUGAAAUGCAAACCGUAGAAAUUUGUGUGUAUAUAGUGCGUGUAGAUCUAGAGAGUUUAAAGAUAGAAGUACAACUAGUGCGUGUGUGUGUCUGAAAAUGAAAACUAAAUUUUACAAGUAACUUGUGUGUGUGGUGUUUGAUUGAGAAUGUGAAUUUGGGCAGGUCGAGGGGACUGAGCAAAAAAUAGAAUAUAAAUUAAAAAAAUUUAAAACCGCAUCGAACGGUGUCAAAUCGAAUCUGAAACUGAAAUCGGAAUUAAAAAUUUAAUUGUUCGAUUCCGGUUAUAAUUAGAAAUCUAGCCGAAAAAAUUGUGUUGGUCUAAUUUUUAAAAUUAAUAUUAUAUAUUUUAUUAUUUAUAAUUUAUAUAGAAUGGCGAUUGUGGCGGGGUCGCGGUAAAGAACGUUCAUCCGGCGAUUCAAUCGGACCAAGAGCGGGGCGACCGUUGUGACGGAGCCGCGGCGGAAGACGUUCACUCGGCGAUUCAAUGAGAGCAAGAGCGGGGCGGUGAAUUAAUCCGACGAUUAUGUUGAUGAAACUGUGAAAAAGGAGAAGAAGAUAGAGAGGGAGGUGGAGAGAUAAGUAAUAAAGAAAUGAAAAAGUGAAUUAAAGAAAGUAGAAUAUUUGCAAAUUUUAAAAAAUUUUAUAUUUGAAAGAUUUUAGAGAGAGUAGUACUCCCUUUGUUUUCUAUCAUUUGACGUUUUGACUUUCGGCACACAUUUUUAAGUCAUUUGACCGAUAGUUAAAAAUAUUAUUUUUGAUUUAUAUUUUUUGUGAUAUAAAUCAAUACCUUCCAUUUCAUGCAAAUUAAUCACUCAACUUUACAUCACCAUUUUAAUAUUACACUAAUAUCACACUAAUGAUAUAGUUUAAAUGUAUAGCAAAUUAAUCACUCAACUUUGUAUCUAUUUUCAAUUAGGUCAACGGUUAAUUUUAAAUUUAUAACUUUCAAAAUUAUGAUUUGCAUCUUAAAUUUCUAUCUUAAAUUAUGGUUUUAAAACUUCUAUUUCUUCUCUCAAAAAAAAAAAAAAACUUCUAUUUCUAAUAACUUUCAAAUUUAACUGAUAAUAAAUCAUGUAAAAUAUAAUGUUAGAAAAUUUGAUUUCUCUCUCCGCCUCAACAUUCUUUACUGGUUACUCCCUCCGUCCCUAAAUACUUUUCCUGUUUGUACUUUUCACGUUUGCCAACACACAUUUUUGAUCGUUAAUAUCUUUCAUUUCGUAGUAGCAUUAAAUAUAAAAAUUUCACCGUAUUAAAGUACUCGUGAAUACGAAUCUAACAAGAUCACUCAUGACUAUAUUUAGUUUUAUAGAUUAGAUGUAAAUUAGUAAUUUGUCUCAUGUUAUGAACAGUACCGACAUCAUAAACAAGAAAAGAAAAAAGAAACGGAGGGAGUAUCGAUUUUCUGUUGGCUCAGUUGGAAGGGAGAAGAAGAGGAGAGGAGAGGUAGAGCUGACAAUUUCGGGUUUCGGAUCGGGUUCGGGUCGGGUUGACUGUUGUGGGUCAAAAAUUUUACUCAAUCCGAACCCGAUCUGAAAUUUUAAUGGGUCAGAAUACCCAACCCCAACCCGAACCCGACCCGCACUACCCGCGAGUAACCCGAACUCGAUCCGAAAAAUAAUAUUAAUUUAUAAAUAUAUUUUAUAAAUAAUAAAUAAUUAUUAUUUUAAUUGAAAUAAAUUAAUUUUUAUUAAAUUAAAUAAUUUUUUAUUAAAUUUAACAGAUAAAUAUUAUAAAAAUAAUAUAAAUAUAUAUAAUAUUUAAUUAUAUAUUACUUAUCGGGUAAUUUCGGGUCAAUUUCGGGUAACCCGAAUUCGACCCGUUUUUUCUGGGUUGAUUUUGGGUCAACCCGAAUUCGACCCGAACCCGAAAAACUCCAACCUGAAUUCGUAUUUUACGAGUCAAAUUCGUGUCGGGUUGUCGGGUCGGGUCCAAUAUUGUCACACCUACCUCCUAAGGAGAGGGGGGCGGAAGGCUGUUGGUCGAAGGAGACAGGAGGUGAUUGAAAUCGACGAAGGGGAACGAAGGUAAGAUAAUUAAUAGCGGUGAAAUAUUUUUAAUAUACAAUGUCCCAGUUGAAAGUUAUAUCGAAUUAAAUAAUUCGUCUGAAAUAUUUUUUGGAUUGACGGCCCAAAUAAAUAAUUUACUAUAUUACAUUGAUGGUUUAGUUAUUUUUAUUUUUUUUGACAAAUGCAAGAAGAUUUCAUUAACUUGAAUAUAAUACAGUCGGGACAAAUCCCCAACUGCCGAUACAACCAGGUGGUAAAACAAAUAACAUACUAAAAACAAUUAGAUGAUUUGUUUCCUGAUCGUUUAACACAUAGAAUUUAAAAAUUCUUGAAACUAAAAACGAAAUCAAAGACAUCCCAAGUGAUCCAAACUGCACCAACAUCUCUCGAAAUAGUACCAUCGCAAUUGACCAUAUCACGUAAAACCCAUUGUUAGCCCAAUGUUCAGAAACACCAAUCGCAUGAAUUGAGAUUGGAGAAACGGCACCACAGCUAUCUACGUGCCGGACACCAGCUAUAGACAUGCCGAAGGCACCCCAGCUAUCUACAUGCCGGAUACCAGCUAUAGACAUGCCGAAAGUGUAACCCCGUGAAGAAUGAACAAUCUUUUAUUGUGAAAGGUGAGCUCUUACAAUAAUCACCACCGUCUCAGAAUCAAUACAGUCUUUGCAGAUCACCAAAAAUAUCAAUAAACUCGUUCUCAAUAUAUCCAACAUCAAAUGAACCCAAUCACAAUUAGACAAAAACAUAACAAAACACUCCAAAAGGAGAGACAAGACACACACUCCAAGAGGAGAGACACACAAACACCCAAAAGAUUAGGUUUUAUUGAAAGGAAAUUAACGAGAAUAAAGGAAAAAUGAAGGGGUUGGGGCUUUCCACCGGAGAAAACCAGUGGAAGCCCCUUAAUUUACUUGAAAAUGCACAAACCCUAGAUGAGAGGGAGAGAGGAGGGAGGCGGCUAAACCCUAGAUGGUUUAGUUAUUUAAUCACAUGGAUAGACAUUCAAAGUGCACGUUAGCGUUGAAGAUAAGUUUGCAUUGAGCAGAUUGCAGAUUAGUUGAACUUGAUUUUGGGUAUUUAGAUUCUGCAGCGUGGCAUUCGAGGAACUUAAUUUAAUGGUGUAGAUUUGUCGACACAAUUCACAGGCUCAACUAAUACUCCCUCCGUCCCACCGGGUUGUUAACGUUCACUGUUUGCACGCAUUUUGAGGCUUUUAUAAAGUAUAGUUCUAUAAUGUUUUUUAAUUUAUUUUUUUUCUGAAUAAAAGUUUAAACAUCAAACUUUUAUUCAGAAUUUUUUUUAUAAAAAAAAACCUCAUACAACUAUAUUUUAUAGAAGUCUUAAAAAGCGUGUCAUGUUAACAAUUCAACGGGACGGAGGGAGUACUAAACAUAAGAUAUUGGCAAAUGGCAAGGUAGGUAACAAUAAUAGUGGUGAGAGCGGUGCAAUUUUAAUUUGAUAAAGCAAAGAGAAAAAUUCAUCUUAAUCGAAAUUUAUUUUUCUUUCAAAAGUAACACCAAAAUAUUUAUCUUUAAGAAUAAUUUAGAUUUUGUUUUCUAUCAUUUUCUGUUUUCUGUAUUCAGAACUAACUAUUUAUUAUUUUUAUAUUUAAAGACUGUUAUCUUAGUAUAUAUAUUCUUAAAAAAUUUUAGAAAUAAAAUCAAAUAUUAAAAUAUCUUUUAAAAUUAUUCUUUUGUCUUUUCAAAAAAAUAAUUUAAUUACGAAAUCAAAUAAUUAAUAUACUAAUAUAUGUUUUUCUAUAACUAAAUUAAUAUCAAAAUUUUAGUGAAUAUUUAAUUUUUGAAAAAAAGAACGAGCAUAAAGUGAGCCCUCAAGGUUGGUUGGAAAUCAAAACAGAGUUUUCCCAAUGCUAGGCUUCUAUGCUUGACAAGGUGACGACGUGACGCUCGCACAUAUGAAAGUUUUCUAUUUCGCCGAAUUGUACAAUUAAGUUAACCAAUUUUAAUUAAGUUAACAAUUUUACUAAACACUAGCUUAUAGCCCGUGCAAGACACAAGAGCUUUUUAAUUAUUUAUAAAUUUUUUAAAUAUAUUUUAAAUGGUGCGAAAAAAAUUAAUUUAUAAAUAAUAAAUCAAAAUUUUCAAUAAAAUAAAUUUUGAAAUUAUGAUUUGUUUAUAAGUUAGAACUGUUGUAAAUACAUCAUCACAACCAUUAAUGACUUCAAAUAAACUAUUGUAAUCAAGUCAUUCCUUGUCUCGUAUGUAUCAUGUCAAAGGUAUUAAAUUCUUUCUAUCAAAUUGUAAUAAAAUUUUGAGUUGAAUAUGUGAGGCCAACUUCUAUUAGAUUAUAUUUAUAAAUAUAUUUUAUAUUAAAAUUAUUAUAAUGUGAUUUAAAUAUUUUUCUAAAUUAUGGUUCUAGAUUAAAACUGAUAAAUAUAAUUUGUUUUGAAUUAAGAAAAGGAAUCAUAAACAUGCAAUAAGAAGGUUGUUUUGGAUUAAGAAAAAGUUUUUGUAUUCGUUCCUCACAUAAACCCGACUUAUUAGUUUUAAAAUAUAUAUUUUAUAAAAAAUUAUGACGGUGCGAUUUAUAUAUAUAUAUAUAUAUAUUAUAUAGGCUCAUGAUCAAAUAGAAACCACUUUUAAAAUAAAAACUAGAAACCAAUACAAGUUAGUGAUAUUCGCAGUACAAUUUAAUGAUAUUCUCUUUAGGAUUUAGUGAUCUGUGUUGCAAGAAUUAGUGAAAACUUGCAGAACAGCCCGGAAUCUCCAUAUAUGUUCCAAAAACUGCUCAAAUCUCCAGAUCUGUUCACGUUUUCGAUUCAGAUGGUAGUGACGGUGGUGGAGAUGGUGGAGGUGAAGGUGGAGAUGGAGGAAGGAUGAUUGUAGCGAAAGUGUGGGUGGCUUGAAGUAGGUGGUUGGAGCUUUGCCGGAAUAGUGGCGGCUCCGCCGCGUUUUGAAGUUGAGCCGAGGUGGAAAAAGAAGUAUGAACGGGGCUGAAGAAGGUUGAAGCAGCGACCAAGACGGGGUUGGUGAAGAUGGAGGUGGAGAUUGUGUUGUCAGAGAAAUAAUGUAGGUGGAGAUGGAGGGGGCGGGCGGCAUAGAGGUGGUGGUGGUUAUAGAGGAGGUGAGACGGAGGUGGUGGCAGUGGCGGAUGUGGAGGUGGGGUUGGUGAAGAUGGAGAUGGAGAUGGGGUUGUUUAAGAAUUUGGUGGUAUCUGUUUUAGGAUUUAGUGAUAUUUCAGUUUGGUUUUUAGUUUCUAGACUAAAGAGGUUUCUAUUGGAGUAAAACUCUCUCUCUCUCUCUAUAUAUAUAUAUAGGGUCUUACUCUGGUACAAACCACCUUAGCGUACAAACUACAAACUAAAAUUAAAAAGUCUCUAAAUCAAAUUGAAAUAUAGCACAUAUGGUAUCUUAAUUUAACGGUGCUUAUUUGUUCAAUAUACGAUCCAACGGAUGAUAAGCUUUUGGACCAUGGAACCAUGCGACCAAAUUAUCUCCCUUACGCUUAUUAUAUAUAAGUAUAUAAUAUGCAAUGUUAUGCAAUUAAGUUAACAUGUUUCAUGUGUUUAUUGUACUAGACGAAACUUGUAACACCUUUUUUUAUAAUCCUAAAUUUUAAAAAAAAUUAAUCAUCACAUUUUUUUAUAGAUAUGUAAUUUUUAAUUUUUAUUUAAUAUUAUUUUUUAAAUAUCCGAAUUAGACCCGAACCCUAACCGAAACCCGAAAAAACCCUACGAAUCGGAUCUGGAUCUUCAUUUUCCAGAUCCGGACCCGGACCGGAACUGACCCGAAAUAUAAUAGAUCGGGUCGGAAUCUAAAGAAACCCGACCCGACCCGUUGCCAACCCUAUUUAAUGCGUAAUAUGAAUUCAAGAUGUGCGUUUGAUAUUGCAGCUUAAUUAAUUUGCUAACAAUUAUAAUAUUAUAUUAUAAGAGUAGAGUUUGCUGUUUUGAGAGUCGACUUCCAAAAUUAGGGUUCUAAUUAGUCAUCACUUUUUUUCUCUUCCACCUUCAUCCUCUUUAUUAAUUAAUCAUCUUCCUUUUUUCAUCUUCCGUCUUCUAUCUUAUUUAUUGAUUUUAUUGAUAAAAUCAUGAUCUAACCCUUUUUGGGUGAGUCCUUGGUCAGUGCCUUGUCAUCAAGGUUGUUAGUCGUGCUCAUCUUUUUGGGAUGUUUGUGUUUGUUUUGAUAUUUUGGUGUGUUUUGUUAUGGGUUUCGAUAACGCUUGUAAAAAAAUUUUACAUGGUACUUUGGGUGAUCCGUAAUGCUUGUAUCAAAUAUGGCACGGUGGUGAAUAUCGUGAGAGCUCAUCUUUCAAGAUAAAAAAUUGUUCAUGUUUUAAGGUCAUUUAUUGAUUCAAUAUCAGUUAAUGUAACCGAUAAUUUUGAAUAUUACACUACAGAUACAGAUACUGUUACGUCCCUAGCUGAUGUAAGCUCAAUAUUCGAUUGUAUAUUUAGAUAUUCAAAUAUUUUAGUUAUGAUAAAAUAGAACUCUACAGUUCUGAGGGGUAGUUAGUCUCUGGAGCGGGACGGGUCGUAAUCAGAAUCGAGUUUAAGGUAUUAUUUUUGAUAUGAAUAUGUUUAGUCGAGUGUUGUAACUUGUGAUGAAUGUGUACUUUCAAAUAUUAUUUUGUUAUUGAUUCAAUUAUGUAUUUUUAGAUGAAAAAGCAAAUACUUUUAUUAUUAUUACCAACAUUUAUUUGUACAUAUGAAUAUUAUUUUUAUUAUUAAUAUUUUUCGAUGAAUAAAAAAAAUCAUUAAUAAUGAUACUCAUACCCACAUCUCACCCUAUGUUUCGAGAAAAGUUCUAACCAAACACUAGGGGUGUAUUUAACUAGGAUUUCAAUGAAUUGUUUUUAAUUUGUGAAUUUCACUGAAUUGUAUUUGAUUUUAAUCUGGUGCGGAUUCUUAAUAAAAUAUCGUAGAAUUGACAUAGAUUUUUUAGGAUCUAAGUAUAAUGUUUCGAAAUCUUAUGAAUUUUGGCUAGAUUUCAAAAAACUUAUAAUACAAUGAACAAUCCUGCAAAAUUCAUCAAUAUAUAUAUAUAAAGGAGGAUGCGAGCAUCUCUAGAAUUGUUCGAUUCAGUCUUCUGAUUUUUCUUAAAUUUCAGAGAGAAAAUAUAAUUAUAAUUCAGAAAAUUAGGUUCAAGAAUUCUAAAGGUAAUAUGACUCUUUUCUUAUUAAAUUCUAAAGGUAAUACUCUAGAAUCUAGAAAAAGAGUUCUAAAAGUAAUACAAUUCUUAUUGUUAAUUGUAUAUUAAUAUAGAAAUUAUUAAAAAAUUACAAUUCUAAAAAAUCUAGAAAUCCAUUUAAUUUUUCCUAAUUUUUUUUUUGUAAAUUAAUAUUCAAAUUAUUAAAGAAGUACAGUUUUUAUUAUAAGUAAUCCACUAAAUAGAUCAUCGUACAUGUUACAAAAACUCAUGUACAUAAAUGCUACCGCAAUUUUAAUAGAGGAUGCAGGGCGGUGACGUGAUGUCUCUAGAAUUGUUUGAUUCGGUGUUAUAUUUUUUUUUAAAUUUUGAAUAGAAAAUAAAAUUAUAAUCUAAAAAUUAUGUUCAAGUAUUGUAUAGAUAAAAAGAUUGCAAAGAUAGUACAACUCUUUUAACUAUUUAGGAAUCAUAAAAAAGUAGAAUUAUAUUUAUUCAAAAUAACAAUUAUUGAACAAAUAUAAUUGAAAAAUACAAUUCUUAUUUUCAAAAGUUAUAAAAUUUAUAAUCUUAUUUUAUUAAUUUUUUUCAAAUUAUAUAUCUAAAAAUAAAAACCAGCAUCUUCCAUAAUCUUAAAUUGUCUAAACAUGUUUGUAGCACUAAAUUCACGUCGUUCCAUCGUGACUAAAAAGAUAACAUCUCUAUCAUGAAAACAUUCUUUUGAGAUCUCCGCAACCUCAUUCAAAUAAUUUUAUUGAAUUUUGAACAAUAAAAUUUUUUUCUUAUAAUUUCUUAAAUUUUGAAUUGAAAAUAUAAUUAUAAUUUAAAAAAUCAAGUUCAAGGAUUCCAAAAGAUAAUACAAUUUUUUUUUUGAUUCUAAAAGUAAUACAAUUCUUUUUUUAUUUAGGAAUCCUAAAAGGAAUAGGGUUAUAUUUAUAUAAAUUAACAAUCAUAGAUAAAAUACAAUUUAUAUUUAAUACUUGGAAAGUAAUACGUACAAUUUUUAUUUUCGAUUUAGUCUUAUAAUUUUCUUAAAUUUCGAGUAGAAAUAAGGAUUGUAAAGAUAAUAAUCAUUAAAAAACUAAUAGCAAAAAAUUAGAACCAUAAAAAAAUAAUAAAUUUUAACUAAUAAAUAGAAAUCAUAAAAUAAAAAUAAUUAAUAAAAUAAAAUAGGAUAUAUAAAAUAGGAAUCAUAUAUUGAUUUUAUGAUAAUGUAAAUGAUUCUUGAUUAGUAUUGUAUUUGACGGGCACGGGAGGCGGCCCAAACUAAUUAUUAUCUAAAGAAUAAUAAUUUUUCAAUUAGUAUUAUGUUUGAAGUGAAAGUCGCUAAAAUAAUUUUUUUAUCUAUGUUAUAAUAUUUUUUUUGUUAAAACAGGACCACGGCUCAAAAUAAUUUUUAUCUAAUUAUAAUAUUUAAUUUUAUCAUAAUUAGGAUAAUUUUUAUAUUUAUUAAACUAACGAUCAUAGAUAAAAUACAAUUUAUAUUUAAGAUUUGUAAGGUAAUAAGUACAAUUUUAGUUUCGAUUUGGUCUUAUAAUUUUGUUAAAUUUCAAGUAGAAAAUAAAGGAUUGUAAUGAUAAUAAUCAUUAAAAAAACUAAUAGCAAAAAAAUUAGAACAAUAAAAGAAUAAUAAUUUUUAAUUAAUAAAAAGUAAUCAUAAAAUGAAAAUAAUGAAUAAAAUAAAAUAGGAAUUAUAUAUUAUUUUUAUGAUAAUGUAAAUGAUUCUUGAUUAGUAUUGUGUUUGACGGGAACGGGAAGCGGCCUAACCUAAAUUUUAUCUAAAUAAUAAUAAUUUUUCUAUUAGUAUUGUGUUUGACGGAAAAGUGGCUGAAAUAAUUUUUUAUCUAUGUUAUAAUAUUUUUUUUUGUUAAAACCGGACCACGAUUCAAAAUAAUUUUUAUCCAGUUAUAGUCUUUAAUUUUAUCAUAAUUAGAAUAAUUUUUAUUAGUAUUGUGUUUGACAGUAAGGAGACUCAAACUAAUAUUCAAAUUAUAAUGUUUUGUUAUUAGUAUUGUGUUUGACAAGAGAGCGGCUCAAACUAAUUUUGAUCUAAAUUAUAAUAUUUAAUUUUAUCGUAAAAAUAUUAAUUAUGGAUUAAUAUUGUCUUUGACGGAAGGGCGGUUCAAACUAAUUUUGUUAUUAGUAUUGUGUUUGACUGGAUGACCACUUUAAUAAAUUUUUAUAGUAAUUAUAAUAUUUUUUUUAUUAGUGAUAUGUUUAACCGGAAGAUGACUCAAAAUAAUUUUCAUGUUAUUAUAAUAUUAAUUCAUAUUAAAAUUUAUACAAAAUUUAUAACGCCGCCGCGAAGCGCGGCUUUAUUCGCUAGUUAUUUUAUGAAGUUCAAAAAAUCUAUAAGUAUUUGAAUACUAUCAAAUUUUAAUGGAAUUUAAACAAUCCCAAUAGAAUACUAUUGGAUUUUAAAACAUAAUUUAAAAUCCUAAUUGAAUACUACAAUAUUUUGUAGAAUAAUUUUAAAUCCCAACUGAAUAUUACAAAAUUCUAUUAUAUUUUUUUAAAUCCGAGUUGAAUAUCCUCGAAUUUUAUGAAUGAAUUUUUUUCUUCUUAAAUUCUCAAUUAAAUACAUCCCGUAGAUAUGAUUUCUUUGAUUUCAUAUUCAUUUUUUACUUCCGAUACCAACCAACCAAAUCACCCCAAUAUAUGUUUUAAAAUAUUUAUUAUAAAAAAGGAUGCAUUUUUAUAACACAACAAAAAUACAAAAUUGAAACAAUAUUUUAUUUAGAUGGCAACAAGAAAGGUAUGAAUCUAAAUGAUUCCAAUUUAGCAAAACAUAAAAUCAAGAGUUAAUUAGUGCCCCGUUUGUAUAGUACUAAAAUUAAAAAUAACUAAAAGAAUCUCAAAAAGGGAACGAUAUCCAAACCCAUUAAAACAGCGUAUCCUUGAAAUAAAACCCUAACACAGUCCUGUAAGAACAAUCACCUCUAACUCCAUCUCUACCGUCCAUAUUAUCAAUCCAACGGUCCAGAUCUCUUCUCAGAUCACGCUUAUCAGUCUCUGUCCUGAGCUCACUCCUCUUUUUCACACACACUCGCACACUCUUAACUCUUUUCUCUAUAUAAAAAUGUCAUCUUCAGUCGCCGAUCAUCGAGUAUCCUCAUCGCAAAAUUAAUGAUAUUACACACAAAAUCAGCUGUAUCUAUAUGUUUAUGACACAUUGUAUCGAUUCAUGUAUUUUGAUCGGUGAACUAAGUGAUUAAAGCUUAAAGUUUUGAUUUUGAUCGGUGAAUUAAGUGAUUUGAGGUUAAAGUUUUGAUUUUGAUCGGUGAAUCAAGUGAUUUGAGGUUAAAGUUUCGAUCUUUGAUCGAUUUCUGUUAAAUUUGAGGUGUUUGUGUUUGGGUUUAGGUGAAAUGAUUACGGAUAGUUAUUCGAAGAUGAUGUCGGAUAUCGGAAUGCGAUCGAUGAUGCAGAAUGAGGAUUUAGGGUUUAUGUUGAGGAAUCAGGAGAUUAGUGAUAGGGAAAGNNNNNNNNNNNNNNNNNNNNNNNNNNNNNNNNNNNNNNNNNNNNNNNNNNNNNNNNNNNNNNNNNNNNNNNNNNNNNNNNNNNNNNNNNNNNNNNNNNNNNNNNNNNNNNNNNNNNNNNNNNNNNNNNNNNNNNNNNNNNNNNNNNNNNNNNNNNNNNNNNNNNNNNNNNNNNNNNNNNNNNNNNGGGAAAGAGAUAGAGAGAUAGAUUUGAGUAUGUAUCGAAGCGGUUCAGCUCCGCCGACGGUCGAAGGAUCGUUGAAUGCUGUAGGUGGAUUGUUGAGUGGUGGCGGCAGUGGUGUUAGUGAGGAGGAAAUUAGGUCUGAUCCGGCUUACAUUUCGUAUUAUUAUGCGAAUGUGAAUAUGAACCCUAGGUUGCCGCCGCCUUUGUUGUCGAAAGAGGAUGGGAGGUUUGCGCAGCGGAUGCAGGGGGCUGGGAGUUCAGCUGCUAUAGGUGAUAGGAGGAAGAUUGGGAGGGAGGAUGGUGGUGAUGGGAGUAGGUCGUUGUUUUCGGUGCAGAUGGAGAAAGGACAGCAGCAAGGGAGUAAUGGAGAGUGGAGUGGUGAUGGACUUAUCGGAUUGCCUGGUUUGGGAUUAGGUGGCCGGCAGAAGAGUAUUGCUGAACUUAUUCAGGUGAAUUUAGUUGGUAGUAAUGAAUUCUUUUAUUUGUGAUUUGUUUCGUUAUGUUUAUUUAUGUUAUACACUGUUAUCGAUUUGUAACGUUGCUGAUUGUUUGCGUGUUGGAUUGAAUUUAUUACUAAGCAGUGUUGAUGUAUUUUGGAUCUGUCAUACAUUAUGGUUUUGUUCUUCAGCAGGAAAGUGUGGACUGUUAAGUUCAUCUUCCUUUAAGUUAUUACUUACACAUAUAACAUAUGUAUAUAUUAUUUUGAUUGAGAUUAAAAGGAAUAUUCUUUACUGCUACUAAUGUGAUCUUUUCCUGAUUUUCUUAAAUAACCUGUUAUAGAUGUUUUUGAUUCAAAUGUUCAUCAUUGAUGGUUGAUCUUGUUUAUUUUAAUUGUUACUUGUUAGUUUGAAUUUAAUACUUAGCUUUGUUCAUACUUUCGCUACAUAUUGAGUAUAUCAAAUCCAUGAUAUGUUAUGUGCGAGUUUUGUUUGUGCUUAGCGGAAUAGUGUGGUUUUUUGAGUUCCUUUUCUCUCAAUUACUACUUACUAGUUUCUUAAUGUAACAUUUUUUAUGUAAAGGUAUAUUUGAGAUUAAAAAAAAUUAAUUUUCCAUGACCGAGUUUUUACAAAUUCAGUACUAAGACUCUAACUGGUCGUACUACACAAUUAAUAUAUUACUAUCUAAUUAUAUUCAUUGUCAGGUUGUGGAUGUUGCAUAGAUUUUGGGGCCUAUAGGGUGGCUGUUUAUAUUGUUUUCUCCUAUCCCUUUAGUUAAACAUAAACUUUGAAUCAGUUGGGAUGAUUUAGUUAAUCAGAUAUGGGACUAAUUAAACUUCAGUCCAAAAUUGUUUAUCUGUUUUUGCUGUAGAAACCAUGGAUUGAAUUAUUGUUUCUUGUAAAUUCUGUUUGACAACUCCUCUUUCUACCACUCUCCAUUUUUGUUAUUUCAUAUUAAAAAGUUGUUUGUCAUAUGCUUUUAUGGGAUGCUUUACUUCUCUUUUGUCUCUCCAUAACAUCUUUACUUUCACCACCCUUGAAAUUAACAUGCUCUUCCAUUCACAAGUUUAAAAUCACUACAGUUUGCAUAUUAUUAUAUACUUGAGGUUCCUUUAAUCAAGAGGUUAAAUCUUCAUGCAGGAUGAUACUACUCAUCAGACAUCUGCUUCGGGGCACCCUUCUCGUCCAACAAGCCGUAAUGCUUUUGACAAUGGUGUUGAACCUUCUGAAUCUCACUUUGCACAGUUUAAGCAGGACUUGGCUUCACUGGAUGCUGUGCAUGCUUCUGCAAACAUUCAAGGCCUGUCUUCUACUCAGAAUGUUAAUUCCUCGGUUUCACAUACUUAUGCUGCUGCAUUAGGUGCUUCCUUGUCAAGAAGUACGACUCCAGAUCCGCAGCUUUUAGCUAGAGCUCCUAGUCCUCGAAUCCCUUCUGCUAGAGGAGGCAGAAGCUCUCUGGAUUUACAAAAUGUUAAUGGGUCAAUUUCAUUCAAUGGUGCAUCUGGGCGUGUGAGUCAGCAAGCAGAUCUGGUUGCUGCUUUGUCAGAAAUAACUCUAUCAAACAACCUUCUGGAUGAAGAGAACCAUGCCAGGUCUAGAAUUCAGCAAGAGAUCGAUGACCAUCAAAAUUUAUUCCAUCUGCAGGGUGAUCAGUACAAUAAUAAACAACAUCCAUACUUAAACAGGUCCGAACCUGGGCAUUUGCAAUCUAUAUCCCAGUCAGGCAAAGGAUCUUAUGGCUAUGGGGUAAGGGCGGAACUGAACAACUCUUCUUUAUUAUCUGAUGUGCAAGUCAAUCUUCACAAGCCUUCGCUGGCAUCUGCAAACUCUUACUUGAAAGGGCCAUCCACACCAACACACAAUAGUGGAGGAAGUUCACCUUCUCAAUAUCGUAAUGUUGGUAGUCCGAAUUCAUCAUUUUUAAACUAUGGUCUAAAUGGGCACAACAUCAAUCCUGGAUCGCCGUCCAUGCUUGGAAAUCAGUUUGCAAGUGGAAGUUUGCCACCUUUGUUCGAAAAUGUUGCAGCUGCUACAGCUAUGGGGGACUCCAGAAGAAUGGGUGGCUUGGCCCUGGGGCCCAAUUUAAUAGCUGCGGCAGCAGAGUUGCAGAACCUCAGCAGAGCUGGAAAUCAAAAUGCAUUGAAUGGUCUUCAGGUUCCACUUGUAGACCCAUUAUAUCUUCAGUACUUGCAAUCAAAUGAGUUUGCUGCUGGCGAGGGUUUGAAUAAUUACAUGGAUCUUGCUGGAAUCCAGAAAGCCUACUUAGGGGGUGUCCUUUCACCCCCCAAAUCACAAUAUGGUCUUCCUUACCUCGGAAGUCCAUCCAGUCUGACUCAUGGUUACUAUGGUAACCAAGCAUAUGGACUCGGAAUGUCAUAUCCUGGCAGCCCAUUAGGUGGCUCCCUUCUACCAAACUCUCCCUUCGGACCAGGUAGUCCUAUCAGACAUGGCGACAGGAGCCUUCGCUUUCCCUCAGGAAUAAGAAACUUUGGUGGGGGUGUAAUGGGACCGUGGCACCCCGAAGCUGGUGGUAUGUUAGAUGAAACUUUUGCAUCCUCUCUCCUGGAUGAGUUCAAGAACAACAAGGCUAGGUGUUUUGAGCUUUCGGAAAUUGCCGGGCAUGUUGUGGAAUUCAGGUAUAUCUCAUUGUAUGCUUUGAAGGUGAUGCAAUUGUAUAUAUGUAUAUUUAUGCUUUCUUCAGAGGGUCAUUGGUUCUUAAAAUUGUCUGAGCAGUGCGGAUCAGUAUGGGAGUCGCUUCAUACAACAGAAACUUGAAACUGCCACAAGUGAGGAGAAGAACAUGGUUUUUGAUGAAAUCACGCCACAAGCACUUUCACUGAUGACUGAUGUGUUUGGCAAUUAUGUCAUUCAGAAGGUAACUUGCUUGCAUAGUAAUUUGCAAGUAUUUUUUUUCUUCGUUUAGUUAAUUUUUUAUGUUUCCUUAAUAAUGUACCUAAAACAAUCAUCAUUAAGUUUCAGCCUUAGUUGCAAUUUUCUCCUUUUUUGAUCUAGUUUUUCGAACAUGGAACUGCAACACAAAUAAGAGAACUGGCUGAUCAACUCAAUGGGCAUGUUUUGAACCUCAGCCUUCAAAUGUAUGGUUGCCGAGUGAUUCAGAAGGUAAAUAUACUUUGCAACGUAAUCAACAUUGGUCUAAUAUAUGUUUCAUUUUGGGACGUGGCUCUUGGGUUUCAUAUCAUUAUCUGCUAGCCUUUUUCAUACACUAAAUACAGCAGAAUGCAUAGGAAUUCAGAUACAUAGCAUAUGGUGAUAAUCCUGAGAGGAAUUUCAUCCUCUCUAAUAUUUAGUGGAUUGGUUUUAUGUAUUUCAUUGAAAAUAUUACAAAACUAUAUCUCAACUGCAGACUAUAUUAUUUACUUGCUAAGCUUCUAAGAUUUAUGAGCUUAGUAGAAAGGGGUGACUUUUAAUAUACUUUUAGGAGGUCUUUGCAGAAGGAAACUAACCAGUUAACUUCUAUGUCAAAGAUAUGUAAUCUAUAAGCAGAGAUAUAACUAUAUCUACCACUUGCAAUAGUUGGAUUAUCAUCACUCAUGUCGAAGGUUCUGAAUACUGUUUUUUGUGAAAAAUGUUCACUAUGCUUAAACUUUUGUUUUGGUUUUAAUUUGUCAAUAGUUUUUCUGCUAUGUGUGUAACCUUGCUGUAUUUAUCCAGGCCAUUGAAGUUGUUGAUCUGGACCAGCAAACUAAAAUGGUUGCAGAACUUGAUGGCCACAUCAUGCGCUGUGUACGAGAUCAGAAUGGAAAUCAUGUUAUUCAGAAAUGUAUUGAAUGCAUCCCUGAAGAUGCAAUUCAGUUUAUCAUUUCUAUAUUUUAUGAUCAAGUGGUGACAUUGUCCACCCAUCCUUAUGGUUGCCGUGUAAUACAGGUAUUUAAGCAAAACUUAUCAUAGCCACCUUUUUCAUCAACUUUGAAAUGCUUGAAACAUGCAAAUAUGUGUAUAAGUGUAUUUGACUGUGUAUAUGUUUAUUUUCAUGUGACAGAGGGUUCUGGAGCAUUGCAGUGACCCAAAAACUCAACAGGUAGUGAUGGACGAAAUUAUGCGGUCUGUCUGCAUGCUGGCUCAAGAUCAGUAUGGAAAUUACGUUGUUCAGGUUUGUAAGCUUUUCAAUAAACAUUCCUUUUUCUUUCAGUUAUUAUUAUUAUUAAUAUAUUUCUAAAUGAUAUUGUAAUCUUCGUAUUUUAAAUUUCAAAUUGGCUAUAUGGAGUUCUUUUAAGAAAGAAAGUAUGAGUAUGCAAAUUCUUGUUCACUCUACUAGAUGCUAGCAUAUUUAGUCAACUUCUUCCAGCUCUUGUUUUUGUGGUGCAUAUGCAAACCACUCGAAUUAGUUUUAUUGCUGCAAAAUAUGUACAGUAAUAUUUACAAAGCAGUAUUCUACUACAAUGAUUCUAUUGACUAAAAAGUACCGUAGUUAGUCUUAUGUUCCUCCCUUUACUUCUUGUGAUUGCCCUUUAAACUAGGUAUCUGGAUUUGUGUUGUCUGCACAUUCUACUUUAGUAUUUCGGUUGUUGGCAAUGUUUUAUUAGAUUUGUUUAUCCAUGGAACUUGCAGUAUUUCCGUAGUUAGUCUUAUGGAGCACCUUUCCUUGUUGAUGGUUUUCUAUUUUGCAGCGUAUGGUUAGUGAUGUAUAUUUGUUUCUCAAAGUAGUGAGUCAUAAGAUUUCUUUGUCCCAAGUCACGUAUGCUUCUGGUUCAAUACUAUACUGGCGUUUAGCAGCUUGAUUGUUCAUCUUUGGCUGCUACGACAUGCAUGCAAGAUAUUACCACUGUAUUGCAUUGUUUUUGUUUCAAUUUGUUUGUCAUAAAGCUGUGGUGCAACCUCGUCUGUAUGCUGACUAGUCUUUGUGAUUCCCUUGGCAGCAUGUGCUGGAGCAUGGGAAGCCUCAUGAACGUACUUGUAUAAUUAAUAAAUUGAUAGGCCAGAUAGUUCAGAUGAGCCAGCAGAAAUUUGCUUCCAAUGUUGUGGAAAAGUGUUUGACUUUUGGUACUCCAGAAGAGCGCCAAUCCCUAGUUGACGAGAUGCUGGGAACCACUGAUGAAAAUGAGCCUCUCCAGGUUCGAUCAGUUUCUCAUUUCACUUAUAUAGUUAAAGAAGCUCAAUCUAAGACUCGUUUUUUAAUCUAGUACACGUAACAUUCCUAUUUCCUGGUGAUCCUUUUCUACCUCUGGAAUUUUCUUUGACUUGGAAUAACAUAUCUACAGACUACAGUAAUUGAGUUAAUCUACCAGUUUCUGAAUUUUUUCGCAUGUACUGUAAAGCAUCUUUUUUGUGCUUCUGUUGUCGUGGUAUAUUCCUGGUUUAUUGUGUCAUUGAACUUGAUUUUGCAACAUUUAUAGAAAUGUAGCGACAUGCAAUUAAUUAAAGGAGUUUUUUUUUCGGGACAAACCAAUCAACUAAAGGAGUUGCUCUGCAUUUUUGUUCUUUUUACGUCAGUGCGAGGCAAUAUUCUACCGGCUCACCAAGUGAAGUUUAUAAAAUUUAUUGGAACCUGUAUCACUCUAGCUGAUGAUUUAUGUAUAGUGCACUAGAGAGAAGUUGGUUUUUUGUUGGGUCACUUGGAUGCUCCUUUUUCACAUGAUGUGCAAGUAUAUCUGUAUGAAGUGUAAAUUAAUGGUGUUUACAAUUUAAGGAACACUAUAAAAGUCAUAGGUGUCCUGGAAACGACUGUAAAGUGUAUUGUUCGUAUAUUAUGACAUUUAGAAUCAAGCUUAUUCAUAAUUUCGUACUAGGAACCCCAGUUUGGGGUUUGCACUGAGUGUCAUGCUUUCCCUUAUCACAAGUCCAUACAGGAGAAAUAAUUAAUCACAUUUACAGAACGAAAAGUGUAUCAUUUGUAUAUUAUGACAUUUAGAAUUAAGCUUAUUCAUUCUAGGAAACCCAGUUUGGAGUUUGCUAAACACCUUAGCACUGAGUGUCUUGCACUCGUGCUUUCCCUUAUCGCCAGUCCAUACAGGAGCAAUAAAAUAAUCCAUCACAUCUACAAACUAAAAAUAAGGAUGGCACUAUUCUCUGAAUCAUAUAUACAUAAAUAACUACAGGUAAUGUUUUUGUUUGAAGUAGAGCUAUAGUAUUGGCAAGCUCUCUCAUAGCUCCUGUUAUAUAAUGACUUUAGUUAUAUAUCUGAGAUCUAAUUAUGUUUGCCAUUUCUGACUUCAGGCAAUGAUGAAAGAUCAGUUUGCAAACUACGUUGUACAGAAAGUGCUGGAGACUUGUGAUGACCAGCAGCUUGAGCUUAUACUUAACCGUAUUAAGGUUCAUCUUAAUGCACUGAAAAAAUAUACAUACGGAAAACAUAUAGUUGCGCGUGUAGAGAAACUCGUUGCUGCUGGAGGUAUUUUAAAUAUCCCUUGAUCCUACUUUUACUUUUUAUACGUUUUUCUAUGAGUUGGUCUUAAUGAGCUGAAAUUAUUCAACUUGUCAUAUAUAACAAAAAUGUAAACUGUGCCUCGUAUCUUGAUCUUGUGUUAAUAAUUGCUUAUAAUCUGUAUAUACAGAAUUGUAUAAUUUUACAAAGUUAUGAAAUUUGAUAUAAUUAUCUCCCACUUAUUUACAAUUUGUCAUGCAUAAUGGUUGUAUAACAAUAUUUUGAUGGCUGAAUUGUGAGUGGUUUAUUGCAUCAUCAAUAGAGUACAAAGAAAUUUUUAGGGGUGAUUAUUAUCCAGAAUUUCUUGUUGUUGGUAAACUUGAGUCGGUUAUGUAUUUUACCCUUUCAUAUCUACUGCAAGACUUUUGACCCGUUUUAAAAUUUAAAAUCUUGCAGAAAGGAGAAUUGGCGUGCUGGCUUCAUAUUCUGCUGCUGCCGCCGCAGCCGCCGCAGCCGCUACCUAGCCUACAAAGAAGCUGUACAGCUAACUUGGUUUAAUAUAAUUGCCUUUCUAGUCUAUGUUUUCACGUUUAGCUGUGUAUUGGCUCAAUUUAUCUGUUUAUUAAGAUAAAUAAGAGCCAGUUGCAAAUAAAAUCUGUUCUUUGUAAAAUGUACAUUGUUAGUUUUGAGGAUAUACCUAGAAUCAGGGUGGCUUAGCUGAGGCUAAGAUGGUGAAACACACCCAAUGCCCCUGCAGAGGAGAUUUAAAAAAGGGUCACUGUACACAGUGGUGUAAGAAAGUGGGAGAAAGAUGUAGAAGUUUGUCAUCGUGACUGUACAAAUGUUGUUGGGUGCAUAGCAUAGCCUUUGAUGUUUAGAAGUGGCCAGAAUUUUUCCUUAAUAUAUGUAUGAAUUUGUUUAAGUUUCCCUUAAUUAUAGAACCUUUUCCGGUUUUCCCUGAAUGCCUUGAUAUUUCUGGCAAUUGCCUGCUUGGUUGAUUUACUGUCUAUGGUUUGUUUCAGAGCUUGUGUUUUAUUUCAAAUUUUGGAACUGAAUUCCAAAUUCCAUCAUUACAAGCAGCCUUAAGUUGUUUUUGUUUGUCGUUUUUAAAGUUGCUCAUGUCGGUGGAAAAGAAAGUUUCUUACAAAAUGAUGGAAAGGGACUAAUUUUAGGCAGCAGACUUGAUAUAAUUCAAAUUCUGGAGUACUACUCUAUGAUAUACAACUGUUUUCCUGAAUCCAAGAUUCAUAAAAGAGAUGCGCGGCAUAAUUUUCACAGAUGACUCAGAUUCAAAAUCGAGUCGACUCGAAUUCUUCGCAAGCGACUCGAACUCGGCUCGAAUAGGGGAUAUUUGUUUAUUUUAACGAUCAAACUCUACUCGUUAUUUAUGAUUUUUGACGAACUCAAGUUUGAACAAUAAGAAUUAUUUGUUUCUUUUAACUAUCAAACUCGACUCGUUUUUACUUCAACACGAUUCAAUUAUGAUUUUAGAAAUAAAUAAAUAAAAUGUCUCCCAAUAUCAUUUAGUAACACCUGAUAAUUUACCGUUUUUAAUUUGGGAAUAAAACGCUAGAUCGUGCAACGUUUGGUAAUUUAACCCCAACAAAACGCUACACGAAGGAGCGUUCUGUUAGGAUUUACCUAACGCUAGACGAUAUAGCGUCACAAAACGCUAGACGAUGUAGCGUUUUAUAUGAUUAUCUAAAACACACGAUGUAGUAUUAAUAACGGAUAUCUUGGAUGAUUUUUUCAGAUACAGAGAGGGAAAAACAUUGGCCCUGUUUGUUUCCGAGAAGCAGAAGCAGCUUCUGACUUUUGCUUCUCUUAAACCGUUUGUGUAAAUAAGUAGAAUCACUUUUAAGAAACUGAGAAUGCUAGCUUUUCUCCCGGAGCUUCUGUUUUUUUUCCAAACACUUUAUUAACUUAUUUACUUUUAACUUUUAAUCUGCCUCUAUAAUUUAAGUAAUGAAUCACUUUUUUUAAGUUUCCCCAAACAGCUCCAUUGUUUAACUAAAGAGGACCUUUAAUCCUUCAUGUAUCAUCGGAUGAAUCUUCACAAAUCAAAAGUAACAUAAACCCUAUACCACAUUUCUAAUUGCUACUGAUCUGCAAUGGCUGCUACCUCCUCGCUGAAGAAAAUGUGGGCUUCUUCAACCCUCCUCGCUAAAACCCAAUUCGCUUCUUCGCUAGCUGCCGCCUCUCCCUCUACACUCUUUACCACCAGCAAUCUCUCCCCCAUUCGCCGCGCCUUUCCUCUCUCAGGUUGUCAUCUACCUCUCUCUCUCUCUCAGUCUCUCUUCCUUCCUCUCCCUCUCUCUGUAUUUUCAUCUUCAGUUUGGUGCUAAUUAUUCCUAUACAUAUAUUUUUCACUCUUCAAGGUAUUGAAAUUACAUUUAGAUUUAAUCUGAUUUGUGCUCUUUUCAUUUGAUUGAUUGAAAAAGAUGUGUUUGAUCUGAUUUCUGCGCCGACCAAGAUCCGCCUUGCAUCACCAUUGUUCAAUGGAAUUGGUUCCAGUGUCAGGCCUGGCUGGGAGGCGGAUCGUAUUCGUAGCUAUAGUACUUUGAAUGGACUCGGCAAUCAGGAUAUGAUUCGACUCGCCAAAGAGGAGGAUGUUAAGGUUCCGGUUAAAAAGAAGAGUUUCACCAAAAUAUGCAUGGUUAUUAAAACUUUUGACAACAAAAAUGCGGAGGAACAAACUUAUCCAGCUCACCAGAAUAAAAUUAGAUUGCCAACAAAACGAUCCCUGUUUACUGUUUUGCGAUCGCCUCAUGUUGAUAAGAAGUCAAGAGAACAAUUUUUUUUGACAACAAAGAAACAGCAUCUGGUCAUACAAGCGGAAAGGCAUGAAUUGGCCAAGAAGUACUUUUGGUUGAAGCGCCACCGUAUAAUGGGAGCUCAAUUUGAAGUCAAGUUUUUUUGCAAGACCCGUUUUCAACUUGCAAGGGAAAGAGAUGGGUUAAGUGAUAGCAGGGAGAGCGAACCUGCUCCAGCCCUAGCUUCUAUUUGAAAUUGAAAGUGUUGGGACUUAGGAGAUAUGACUGUCGGAUGAAUUUGCUGGAGAAGUAGUAUAAACUUGAUGCACUUAAGGCGGGAGUGUUGCAGGUUGCGGUUCCUGAGUUGUAUGCAUGCCGCUUUUAAUUUUUGUUGCUAGUUUAUUGCUGUCUCCCUACAAUUUCUAAUGGUGGUUUGUCAACCUUUGUGUUGUUGUUGGUGUUUACUUUUCAGAGUCGCUUUCCUGUGAACACAAUUUUACUUGGCAAAAAAGAAGAAAAGAGGACUGAUGUUUUCCAUGUUUCUAUUGAUUUUAUAUAUAAUUUUCUAAUGUAGUUGGUCUCGGAGCAGUAGUGAUUGUGAUUUUAAGUUUUAACUGGUGAAAUGCAAUUGAAUCCUUUGAAAUGGUGAAAAUGUUGAUAUAGAUGUUACUAUGUGAGUUUAUUUGUGAGUUCAAAUCUUGUUACUUAUAAUCAAUGUUGUGUAUACUUUAUGGUUCUUUUAUCUUCUCUAGUCGGUUCAUAGAAUUCUGAUGAGAAAAGCAGAUUUUAUAGAUUGUCGAUGGAUGAUACUUGUUUGAUUUUAAGUCCAUGGGCCAUGGCAUAGAAGUGACUUACUAGAAGUAAAAGUGCUCUUUGAUGAGAACAUUCUAUGUCAUUUAUGAAUGUUGUGAAUAUACUGAUUUUGUUGAUGAUACUAACUAGUAUUACAUAUGUUUGAGUUCAUGAUCCUCUUGUCAUCUCACAUUACCUGUUUGAAGAGAUUUGGCGGGCUCCUAUUCCUUGAUUGUAGCCUCUUGGGUGAGUAUCUAUGUAAAUUAUAAUAUUUGAUGACUGAUUUAAUCUUUUUUGAUCUUUCCACCCUUCACUUUUAUGUUAUACACUACUUAAUAUGCCAUUCACUUUACCGUGUAUUCUAUGUAUAUUGAGUAUACUUUAUACUAGCUAUUGCUAUAAAAACAUUAAAUAGAAUAAUUGAAGCAAAUGCUUCCAGAAAUGCAUAAACUACUAUCGAUAAAACUAUCUAAUUCGUUAAUUUUGAGGUCCAAUGUCUGUUCUUACAACAUUUAGGAAGUUUAUAUAUGCGUAUCCAUAACAGCGAACAUGUCAGAAGCUAUUGGUUCUGAAUGUUAAACCAGUGAAACGUCAUCAGUUCAAAUUAUAUGCUUGCAGUUUCCCCCAGCUUUUUACAUAUGAAACUUUAUUAUCUGCAAAUAUAACUGAGAUAUAUGUAUGACUCAAUUUUCGUUUUCUAGUCUAACGUCAGCCACCAUAUCUGUUAUUGCAAUAACUAAAAGAAUAAAAUCAGGAAAAAAAGAAAAAGAAGAAGAGAUAUGCAUGUUAAAAGAGAGUACUACUGCAUAAUUUAUAAAAGUACAGCCGCCGAGGGAGACCUCGAAAUGUAGAGAAAACACACAUUGAAAAUGACUGUACUAGUGCAUUUUCCUACUCUUUUCAAAGUUGUUUAUUCAAACUUUUCCCUGGCUGGCGGGCUGGCGGGCGCUUUAAGCUUCACCACACUUCUAUCUACGAACAUGUUCAUAUCAGAUAUCCCUAUAAAUGUACAUGCGAGGUGUUCUAAGGAAAUACAGAGCAACUUCAACUAAACACACAACAAAAACCAAGAGUGAGGGAACAAUGGGUGCAGGUGGGCGAAUGUCGGAUCCUCCUACAGCCAAAAAAACUGAAACAGAAGCACUUCGACGCGCUCCUCAUGAGAAACCUCCUUUUACCAUUGGUGACCUCAAGAAAGCCAUUCCUGCCCAUUGCUUUGAAAAAUCACUCAUAACUUCUUUUCGUUACCUCAUUCAAGAUCUCCUCAUGGCCUAUGCCCUCUACUUUGUUGCUACUAAUUACAUUGACCAGUAUCUUCCCCAUCCAAUCAACUACUUGGGUUGGGCUGCUUACAUUGCUGUCCAGGGGUGUGUCUUGACGGGAGCUUGGGUUGUAGGCCAUGAAUGUGAUCAUGACGCCUUUAGCGAUUAUGGUUGGGUGAACGACCUUGUUGGCCUUAUUGUCCACUCUUCUCUCAUGGUCCCUUAUUUCUCUUGGAAAAUUAGCCACAGACGUCACCACGCCAACACCCAGUCGCUUGAGAAUGA